GCCUCAAGCUGUAAAACUUCAAUAGCUGGAAGGGCAUUCAAAAAUCUGGCAAUCCAUGCCCAACCUUCUUCAAUUCCAUGCAGGUUACGGAAACCCUCAACUUCAGUCUAAAAAAAGACAAUAAUUUUCCUGUCACUUGUGAUCCUUCAAACUAGAAAAGAGCAUGGAGUAACUUCUUCUUUUUUUACAGGUAGAAUGUACAAUAACUUAAUCUUAUAAGACUAGCUAUUUGUUUUCCAUGGCUGCUAAAAUCCUGCACAACACACAAAUCGUCAGUUACUGAUCAUGAUAUAAUCCCUCGUGUUAAAAUACAUAUUUACGUAGGUAGUUUACAAUACAAAAUGAAGAUCAAAUGAAAAUAACCACUACGUAGGUAGUUUACGUUAAAAUACAUAUUUACGUAGGUAGUUUACAUGACAAAAUGAGUCCCGAAUCAUAUUUUCGGGUCGAAUCCGAAUCGAGUACCGAACUACUCGAACCAAUUUUCACCCCUAGUCUUGGGGCACACAGACACUAGCGCCCAGUGUCAUCGCUCGACCUACUAGUGAAUAUGAUCCUCAUCGCCAAGACCACUAGCACCCAUAUACUCAUAUGCCUUUGAAAUCACGCCCCUAUUCGCCCCCAAACAUGCGUGACACUCAACAUCUCUACCCACACUUGCGCCCAGUACCCUUUUACUCCCAUACCAACGCGUAAAUGCUCCGCGCACUAUUAAUUGCACCAGCUUUGCUUAUAAUACUUUGGUAUGCGCCUGCGCAUGCAUGUCCUCAAACGCUUAACAAUCGGGAUAGGGAUUGGGUGCUACGCUACGCAUUUCCAUGCAGACAUUUAGCCCCAUAACCUAAUCGUCCUUUCCCCUUCACCCGAAGCACCAGCACUAUUUCUCCUCCGCGCUAGUGCACCCAAUCCAACCUCGCACCCAACGCCUUCUUCCAUGCGCCACAGUUCUUGUGUUCCCCAAUUCACCAGCUCCUAUGCGUUCACACCAUCCAUACCCAUGGGCCUUAGCACCUACUUAAUGUAGGACAAAGUGGGAAGAAAAAGUAAGAGUACCUAUCUCUACAGAGAAUCGAUAAAGAAACACAAAACAAAAGCACACAACAUGGAUGGUCUAGCAAUCAAGUUAGUAGCUAUUUCAAACAUGGAUGGUCUAGCUAGAGAUUAAAAUAUUGCACGAGGCAAAACACCUUAAAGAUAUCAGACCCGACAGCUCACACAGCCUCUUCUUUAGUUUCUGUUUUUUAAAAUUUUAAUUUAUUUUAAAAAAAAAAUCCUCAAUAAGUUUUAAGUAGCUUGUUAAGUAAACCAAGAUUAGAAGCACAACUUAAAAGAACAAAAGCAAAUUCCCCAAUGUGUCAGAGACAUUCCCACCUGUAAAUAGAAUAAUNNNNNNNNNNNNNNNNNNNNNNNNNNNNNNNNNNNNNNNNNNNNNNNNNNNNNNNNNNNNNNNNNNNNNNNNNNNNNNNNNNNNNNNNNNNNNNNNNNNNNNNNNNNNNNNNNNNNNNNNNNNNNNNNNNNNNNNNNNNNNNNNNNNNNNNNNNNNNNNNNNNNNNNNNNNNNNNNNNNNNNNNNNNNNNNNNNNNNNNNNNNNNNNNNNNNNNNNNNNNNNNNNNNNNNNNNNNNNNNNNNNNNNNNNNNNNNNNNNNNNNNNNNNNNNNNNNNNNNNNNNNNNNNNNNNNNNNNNNNNNNNNNNNNNNNNNNNNNNNNNNNNNNNNNNNNNNNNNNNNNNNNNNNNNNNNNNNNNNNNNNNNNNNNNNNNNNNNNNNNNNNNNNNNNNNNNNNNNNNNNNNNNNNNNNNNNNNNNNNNNNNNNNNNNNNNNNNNNNNNNNNNNNNNNNNNNNNNNNNNNNNNNNNNNNNNNNNNNNNNNNNNNNNNNNNNNNNNNNNNNNNNNNNNNNNNNNNNNNNNNACCCUAAACCCUAAACCCUAAACCCCCUAAAACUCCUAAAACUCCUAAAAACCCUAAACCCUAAACCCUAAACCCUAAACCCUAAACCCUAAAACUCCUAAAACUCCUAAAACUCCUAAAAACCCUAAACCUUAAACCCUAAACCCUAAACCCUAAACCCUAAACCCUUUGCACAAUACAUGUUUGUGGUAUUGCCUAAGUGAAGUCGAUUUCAUUUUGCGGUGGAUUUUACUUGGAUUGUUGAUUGUGAAAUUUGUUGGGUUGACUACAAUGGCUUCAAAGCGUCAAAGGGGAGCUAGUUCACGGUCCUCCCAAGCUUAUGACCAUAUGAGAUCUAUUAGUGAGGAGGCAUCCGAACGCUUCCAUAACAUAUUGACGGGGAAGACAUUUGUUCUACAAAGGGGUCUUAGGUUGGAUGAGACUCGAGACGAGGAGAUGAGCGUAAUGAUUAUGGAACAAAAUUGAUUUGAUGUAACAGAGCAACCGGACUCAAUUGUCCUUGGUUAAGGAAUUUUAUGCAAACGCAAAAGAGGCGGUGAUUUGUGUGGUGCAAGUUCGUGGUAAAUUCGCAUCGUAUGCUCGCACGGUGAUCAAUUCUUAUUUCAAUCUACAAGACAUCAUGUUUGAUGACUAUUUGUAUUAUGACUAUGAUCGAUAUGACUUGGAUUUGGUGAUUUGUCGACUAUGCAAACCGAGAACCACAUGGACUUUGAAGCAAAAUACUAACGAAAGAGUGAGUUUCCCGCACACUGCAUUAAGUCGUUAUGGGAAAGCAUGUUACAGUUUCAUCUGUGCUAAUUUAAUGCCAACAAGGCAUCAAAAUGAUGUUACCAAAGAGAGGAUGAUCUUGUUAUACGCCAUAGUGACCAACAAGAAGGUUGACGUGGGAUUGAUUGUUAAUGGGUCCAUUGCUAAAUAUCUAUAGGGAAGUACGACGGGUGGACUACCUCAUUCAUCGUUGAUCACUGGGUUAUGUAGACAGACAGAAGUACAGUGGAGUACUGACGAGCUAAUCCAGUUCCCUAUGGCGGUAAUCGAUCAUGCCACAAUUCAAAGGUAUAAGGUAUGAGAAAUAUAUUUCUUGCACCCAAGAAGUUUCUUGCACCCAAGAAGUGAGUAGAUAUCUCAAGAUAUGGAUGAUGACCCAACAGAUACGCCCGAGUUGGGGUGUUCAUCGAUAAUUUACCGUACUGAACCGGACCGGUUACCGAAUUCAUCCGAAACUGAGGACCGGUACCAAUUUUAUCUACUUUUGUACCGGUUGUUGUACUAUAUAUAUUUACCUAAUGAAGGGCAGGGCCUAAAAGGCAACAAAAAUCCCCAUAGAUACACAUCACAGUAAAGGAUCUUGAAAUCACACAGAUGAACACUUGAGUUAUAAAGAUAGUAUUCCACAAAAAGUUUUUCUCGUCUUAAGUUCCACAGCUUGCAAUGUUCAAAUUAAUAGCAAUAUAUUACACAAAUAUCCCACAAGAACCCCAUUUCAAUAUAUUUACUUACCUACAUUUAUAUACUAAAAGUGAAGUAAAAGGAAUUAGAACACAAACUUUCAAGAACUUAAGAGAUGUAUUCCACAAACAACACUGAUAACAACAUAGAACCAAACAUCUCAUGUACUUCAUUGCAAAUUAUAAGAUUUCAGCAUUAACCAGAGCAAACUGCUAGGGUUCUUCUUUAUAUCCAUAAUCUGCUUUUCAAUUGAAUUGAUACUAAAACAGAGCAGGUAAAUACUAUUGUAUCUCUGAUCUCUCUUACUUUUUGAGUUAAUUGUAUAAAUAAAUGUAGUGAUUAAUUUUCAUUUUUGAAAAUUACCACCAGCAGCAGAUCAUAAUAUAUGGGCAAAGUUAAGUUUUGUUAGGAUAUACCAAUUUGUCACAAGGAACGAAGAAGUAUUAUUUUGUUAUAAAACAUUUUAUAUGUCCAAAAUAACGGAAAAAGGUUUAGGGAAAUGCUGAAGUGGGUAAAUGCCCUUAACAAAAAUAAGUUGGCAUCUAACAUUGCACUUAAAUAGACAACUUGCCCCUCUAACUAAGUUGUUUCCAGAUUAGUGCAAGCAUCUAAGUUUGAAAUUGCUAAUCUAAUAAUAAUAGAUAGGACUCCUAAAAUUAUCCGUUCUGAGACACAGGACGACUUUUGUAAAAAAAAAUGUUAUAUACACUUUUACAAAUAGCUUAUAAAAAAGAUCAAUAGAGAAAUAAUCCACAAAAUUGAGAAAUACACAUUUUUUAUUAACUAAUUUCAAGUAAUACAUUGAAAAGUAAUUGGUACAUUGUACUUACGCGAAUCACGACAACAUGUUGGGAAAUCCAGUUCAACGCAUCCACUAGUCUCCUAAUCUCCCCUUUUUCUACCAUUUCAACAACUCCCAUCCAAACAACCUCGGAGUUGAGCAAAGCCACGAAUUAGGAGAGUUUACGCUUCUCCCAGAAGAAACCGAGAAAGAAACCGCCAAAAAAAAAAGCGCAGAACAGCCGGAAACGUUCAUUACCGCACGGAACCAUAUAACCUGAGGGAGCCUGAUAACCCUCCCAAAAAUGGGGCUCCGACCCGACUGUACGAACUGUAAAAUCACCAAACAGUAACUGUACAGCAACUCCGAACAGCAGGGGAGGCCUAACAGCAGGGAAAGAAGAGCGGCGCGUGACAGCGCGUCCGACCUCCGAUUUGGUCGAGCUUCUUCCGGCUAGAAAGGCCCGAUCAGCCAUAACCAACCUCAAUUACAUCACACUCAAAUAUUCCAACAAAAUCAGCAAUAAAAACAUAUAAAUUGCACCGCCUGAAACCAAAGCCCCAAGUCAAGAUGGAGAAGCCAAGUGAACUGUGGCUUCUUACUUGGUCCUGGGUGUCCGCAUGUGGCUGUAGGCCUCAUUUGUUUAGAACUAGUAGUUUUAUAUGGUUGAAGCCUUUGUGUCACUAAACAAUGACAAGAAGAGUAUUGUUUCUACUUGGUGAUAUAUUUAAGGCGCCUGUGUUUGUCUUUUGUCACGGUAUAGUAAAAUACUAAAAUGGAUGCUGAUUUUUUUUUAAUCUCUUUGUUUGCUCACUCUCUCUCUCUCUCUCAAUUUCACGAAUUAUGCUUUUCGACAAUAAAAUAUUAAAGAUAAUAUAGGAGAAAAAUAAAUAAAAAGUUAGGAUUUGAGGCUUAAAAUUGAAUAAGAAUAAGAAUAAAGAUAAACUAUACAUGUCUAAAAUAUGGGAGGUGUCGUUUGUGAAAUCAUGAAAGGAGUAGAGCGAGAAAAGGGAUGGAAAUUGAUUUUGGUGAAAAUUAAAAAGAUAGACUGUGCGAACUGUGCGAAAUGGAUAGUUAUUUUAAGAUUUAUGAUGAAGUUAUUUUUUUUUCCACCUUUUACAAGGCAAAGUUGGUGAUAAAAUGAAAAAAUAAGUUUAAAUUCAAUGUUAUGAAUGAUUCUAAUAAAAGUUCAUUUUUUGUUUUCAAUACUAAAUCUAGCCAUACAAUGUGGCAUGAAAGAUUGUGAUAUGUUAAUUAUAAGAAAAUUAAAAGAUUAACGAAUUUGGGGACUAAUUUCAAAAUAUAAUAUAAACAUAAAAGUUAAAUGUAAAAUAUGUGUACAAGCAAAACAACAGAAAAAAUCUUAUAGGUCCAGUCCAAAGAAAUUCAAUUGUUUUAGAUCUUAUACAUAGUGAUGUUUGUGAUUCAAAUAUACCUCCAACUAGAGCCGGUAAUAAGUAUAUUGCCACUUUCAUAAAUGAUUAUUCUAAAUAUAAUUAUGUUUAUCUUAUUAAAACUAAAGAUGAAGUUUUCGAUAAGUUCAAAAUUUACAAAGCUAGAGGUUGAUAAACAAUUAGAGAAGAGGAUUAAGGUUCUUAAAUCUGAUAGUGGGUGGAGAAUGCAGGGAAAAAGACAGAGUUUAAUCAAUAUUGUGAGGAUAAUGGAAUAAUACAUCAAAUAGCACCUCCAUAUUCACCCCAAUCAAAUGGUGUAGCGGAGAAAAAAAAUUAGAAUUUUGAUGGAUACGGUCAGUGCAAUGUUACUAAGGUCCGGAGAACUCGAGAAUUUGUGGGGGAUACAAUUUUAACUUCUUACUUUAUUUUGAAUCGAGUAACCAUGAAAGAUGAUGAAAAACCCCCUUUUUGAGCUGUGGAAAAAGAGAUCUCCUAAGCUAAAUUUCUUGAAAGUGUAGUUGUGUUUAUCAAAGGAAGCCAUGCCUGAACCAAAAAGAAAGAAAGUAUGACCUAAAACUUAGACCUCAUAUUUAUAGGAUAUGUUCAAAUAGUUAUGCAAAUAUAUUUUGUACGUAAAAUAGGUAACAUUUUUUUAUAAUUGUAUCCAUAAAAUGUGUUCUAUUAAAAAAUAUACAAAUUUUAAGUGUGUGUGUGUAUAUAUAUAUAUAUAUAUAUAUAUAUAUAUAUAUAUAUAUAUAUAUAUAUAUAUAUAUAUUUACUCCUAGUUUGUUGAUUUUUAGUUUAACUGAGGAAAUGCAAAUUUAUAUACUACCAUAAACAAAUAAAAAUAGAAUAUUGUUAGAAAACAAAAUUUUGGCAAAUGAGAAGAGAGUAUAAUCUUCUUGUGGAAUGCAAUAUGGUAACUUAUCCUUCUUGUUGCAACUAAUUGUUCAACUCAUACAAUAAUAUCACAUGUUUCAUGUACCAUUCCAAUUCAAAUGAGACAAUGUUGUCAAAACUAUAUGACCUCUGAUAAAUGAAAAGUCCGUCAUCAAGGAAGCCAAUGUAAUAACAAUUAAAGUAAUAAAUUAUCACUAAACUUAUAUCCCAUUAAAAAUAUAAACAUAAAUUACUACCUCCGUCCCAUAAUAAGUGCCUUUUUAGCUAAAAUCACACAUACCAAUACACAAGCUAAAAUGGCAAAAAUACCCUUAAUAUAUUUUCUUUGAAGUUGAAGAGUUAAUGAGUGUCAUUUAAUUGUAGUGAUGGUAAGAUACAAUAAAUACCAUUGAAUGCAUAAGGGCAUAUAUGAGAAAAUAUUGCAAAAAUUGUAUUAGAGUUCUAACACAUCACUUAUUUUGGAAAAAACUAUUAAGCCUAAAAAAACACUUAUUGUGAGACGGAGGUAGUAUUAUUUUUUGUAAAUGUUUCCCUUUUGGAAGACUACAUAUAGACAGACACAUAAAGGGAGGGAAAUUUUAUAAAGACGAAGAAAGAGUAUACUUAAACUAGGGGUUCAGAAAGUUUCAUCUCAUUGGAACUUUCUUCUCGUGUAUGAGGCUGACGGAAGCCUACGAGUUCAAUCCCAGCCAUUGUCAUGGCCAACAUACAUAUCUGGGUCUGUUUUAACCAGAGCUCGAGGCUUUCCUAAGUAUCAAGCUCUUCAAGUUGAUGAGAUUGCUCCUCCACCUUAUCUCUAAGGCUAGAAACCCCUAGAUCAGCCAACGUCAAUGAUUUUUCAACUACCAUGGUAGCAUCUACUGUUUCUUCUUUGAAUUUAAGUUUAUUCUUAGAUCCAACCAUUGCUUGCUUCGCCUCUUCAAGUUCACCUUUCUGUGUUGGUGGGUUGUGGAUCAUUUAAAAGACCAUGUUGAAGUGAAGGUGUCAGUUGAUACAAUUGGAGUUUUUAAAUGAAUUUCUGCAGCAAUAGGUCUUAUUGCAGAUAUUGAUGGAGAAUCUGGUGUGUCUGCAUGGCCAGAUGACUUUUUUGAAGUAUUGUUCAAUUUACUGCAAGAUGGAGGGUCGGAAUCUUGAGAUAGGACCUGAUUUUUUGAUUGUGAACCAAGCAGAUGAGAAAACCAAUGGUAUCUUUUUUGAGGAACACACUGCUGAAUAGUACUUCACACUGGAAUCUUCAUCCCGCAAGGUAAAAUUCGAUUUUUCAGAAAAAAAAUCCACAGGAUGUGCGCCCAGAAGGCCAUUGAAUUUGUGGUGAUGGAGUUUCCUGUCCAGAGGCUUGAUGUGCUAGAGAUGAAGGGGGUACUAAUGAUGGCAAAGGCAUCAAUUGAGCCUCCUUCAAAAGUGAAGCUGCAGUUGUUGCCAAACCAGAUGCUUGUAGAUGUUCAUGGAUAAGGAGUAGAAGUUCCCUGAAUAUGAAAAGUUCAAACACAUGUUACAGCAGGGGGACAAAAAAACAAAUCAAUUGAAGAGUAGGAAGUGACUGCAUCUAUUCUCAGGAACAAUAAAUCACCAAGUACCUGGAAUGGUAAGUAAUAGGAGUGGCAGCAGCUAUAGCAGCUCUCUCUAUGCACCUCAAAGUAGGUGUAGCAGCAUCAGUAGCUGCUAAUGUACUUGCACUCCCGGAACUAGUUACUAUCUAGAAUUCAUUAAAAAUAAUUCCAACAUCAAAACUCAUGCUUUGAAAGACAAUAGGACAGGAUAGAAUGCAGGGUAACAAAGCCAAUUUUUUUUUUUUACUAUGUAUGCCAACUACUGCCAAUUUUUUUGAAGUGCGGUUCGGCGUGGGCAGGCCUCCAUCGCAUGGAUUAUUACCAACGAUGACAAUAAACAUUUCCUAGAUAUUUCAAGCUUACUCAGGAUAGUAACAAUGGUAUUUUAUAAUAUUACUAGUAAUGACUGCUUCUUUCACCAGUUAAAAGACAACUUCUGAAGUGCAUUUUGACAGUAACGAUAUAUAUUUCCAUCAAAAGAUGAAAGCGUAAUGACAAUUUAUCAAAGCAGAUUUAGCAUCAUGCAUCUUUCACACAAAGUUUACUCAUUUCUCAAGUCGUCCAUAGGAGUGUUUUAAGUGGUCAACACAGUUUUCACGCACUUCUACAGACUAGGUAAGAAAUACAUGUGCAUGCAUCCCAAAACAUGUGCUUACACAAAGAAUGUUGACAAUAUGUAUAUGUUUCUUCUGUCCAAUUAACGCAAACCUUAUUCUUCUGAAAGCAUAGACUCACCAAUCAACUACUUCCAAACAUGACAAAAGCAAUUGAUAUUCACAAGUGUGGUUCAAAGUUUCGGCUAUUGGCGUAUCGGUGAGGUAUCGGCCGGAUAACCACAACCUUGGCAUGAAUCGCAAAACACCUAGCAGAAGAAGCAUGCUAGUGAUGGACACCUUUCAGGAAACAACAGUGCACAUGGACCUUGGAAGCCUCUUGAACCAACACGUUGAAUAUUCCUUUAUUACCUUGGAGUGGAAUCUUAAAACUGAGAGUUACAUGACUAAAAAAAGGGGGAAAGAAACAGAAUCCAAGGUAAAGCUACAAUUUUUCCUUUUAUUUCAAGCUCACAAAAGGGAAAAAAUACCUAAAACAGAAAGACGAAUGCUUAAAGGAGUGUGAAACACAAAAUCAAGAACUGAAUGACCCAAAAAGAUAAAAGCUAGACCAGCUAGCAACGAUACAUACACAAACAAAGACAUGCACACAAACACGAGGAGGGGGACGAGGAAAAGAGGAGUAUUUAGGUACACGUCGACCUAAAACCACAUCUAACAAUCAAUAAACCUUAAAAACCACAAAUGUGGAGGGAGAGAAAGAGGGGUUUUCUUCUUCUUUAUCUGAGAUAGUGUCCUGAGAUUUACCUGAGAUAGCGAGAAACGUUUCCGAGUUUCAGUACUUACCCCAAAAAUUUAAACUAAGAACAAGGGAUAUUUGGGGAUAAAGAAACAUAAGAGAAAGUUUGAAUUUUGGAAGUCUGAAUGGAUAAAUAGAGUACAAAAAGGAGGGAAACGAACAAGACUAAAGAGUGCAGUGCCAUGCCCUUAUCCUACGAAGAUAACAUAUGGCUGAAAAUAUAAAGAGAAAGUUUGAAUUUUGGAAGUCUAAAGGAUAAAUGUAAUACAAAAAGGAGGGAAAUGGAGUACAAAAAGGAGGGAAACAGACAAGACUGCAGAGUCACAACCACAAAGUUAGACUAUACUGAAGGAUGAACUUACAAGAGGUAGCCACCUAGCUUAGCUGGUAGGAUAGUAAAUAGCUAAUUGUUGAAUGAAUGGAUGGGUUCCACCGUUUGAACAAACGUCAAAUAAUUAGGGACAAAUGAAAAACUCUAAAACGUUAAAUAAUUAGGGACGGAGGGAGUAAUGAUGUUGAAAAUUUAUCAAUAUGAUUCAUAAAUUUGCAACAUCAUUACUCCCUCCGUCCCUAAUUAUUUGAUGUUUUAGAGUUUUUCAUUUGUCCCUAAUUAUUUGACGUUUGUUCCAAUAUGGGUGCACUGCAGGAGAGACAGAGAGUUCGAGAAACAUCUAGCAGAAGAAGUAUGCUAGUGAUGGACACCUUUCAGGAAACAACAGUGCACAUGAACCUUGGAAGCCUCUUGGUUAACUAUAUUGUUUUCAACCUAAAUUGCCAAGUCUAGUAAGAAUUAUAUUUUUAUAGUCAUAUUUACAGGUUUUUAAGUACCUGGUCUAUCUUAAAGAGUACUAUAAAAAGAAUAGACUGUAAAAUGCUUUAAAGAAGUUGUCCCAGACUUGCAAACUAAGUGCUACAAUGCCAAAAUUCAUAACGCUGCCUUUGGUUUGCAACUGUGAUGACAUCUGAGAGUAUAUGAACUUCUCAUGAUGUGAAAAGAUAAAUAUUCAAUUCAAAUAAAUGAAAAUCCUGAAUUGAUCUUUACUACUUCUAUCGAAGAAAAAACCAUGCAAAGUUGUCCCAUAUAUCAUACUCUUUAAGUAAAUGAGAUAAUGACAUAUUUCUAGUCAGAUUGUGUUAUAAGAGGUUAAAUUCCAAUUUAUCCUUCAUGAAGUGAUGGAAUAUCAAUUUUAAUGUUAGAUCAUACCCUCAUGAAGUGGACUAGAGGAGCACAAGUCAAUUUAAUGUUAGAUUCUACCCUUGAGUUGAACAAUAAUCAGAGCAGUCAAGACUUGAUAAUACUGAUAUUAUUUUAUUUAUUUAUAUAGCUAAAAUGUGCAACAAUAAAUCAACAAAGUCGUGAAACCCAUAGAAACAUUACUUAUUCAAUAAAGCAGAAGAGAACAUAAAAGCCUCAAACCAACGCUGAAAGACUACAAAGAAAACCUCAGGCUCCAAACAAAAUUCACUAGACUCAUAGGUCAAUGACAUCUAAGCUUCACUGUGUCAAUAUCUAAAUGUAUAAAGACCAAAUAAGUAUCCUUCCAAGAGGUGUAAAUGUGAAAUAGAUAGCCUUAAACCCCUAAUACACAUUUGAUGACUCAUAGGUCUUGCUAUUUCACUUUUUAUCUUUUACUUUAUCAGAAAUUCAGAACAUAUUUAAUUUACCAGGACAAUCACAACUCUUUCUAUCAACUGAAGGAAAACCUCUUCGAAGUUAUAUAUGCUAGAACAUGUGUAGGAUAUUGCCAAGUUUACAAGCACCCGUGUCCCAACUGGAAAAUAUUUUGGCUUCAUUUUAAAAGUGAAAAUGAUACUACUACAAUACAAGCAACAACUACUGAAAUCCAAGACUUGGUUUAAAAUAGUGGCUAAGAUGUUGACAAAUUGACUCAAGUGUGUUCCUUUGAAUUUUAUUUUCGGUUGACACAAGUAAAUCAGAUAUUAUUACUUGUUGUGACUUGUCCAUCAUACUACAGUAAUGGAAUUUUAUUGCCAUUCCACUUUUUUGAUGGACAAUUCAAGAGGACCAAACACCAAAUUGUUGCAGAUUUCUGGCAAUGUGUAAUAAAAGGAUGAGAACUUACCCGGUUGUAGUAAACAUCUGCAUCAGUUUCUUAUGGUUGGAAUGGCAUCGGUAUGAGGAUAUGCUAUGACUUCAUCCUUUACAGCCUAUCGCAAAGAUGAAUGAACCAAGAAAAAGGUAAUUCUGUUGCACAUACCAUACGGUCAUUUGGAUUCACAGCCUGCAGCAUGGAAGAUAAAACAUCCAGAACCUCGCGCAUCGAGCUUAUGCUUGACAAACUUAUGUGAAAAGAAUAAAACAAAUAAAAGGACUAGGUGUUAUAUAGCAUGAACGGAAAAAUGAGUCAAAACCUCACCUUAAUGUUUCCAUCUCAGAUGACAUGGCUUCAUCAAGCCUCGUUGAAGAAUUGCUUGGCAUCCCAUAACCUGCAUGAGCAUGUCCAACUGUUGGGUGGGCAACAGGUGUGAAUAUCAGAGCUGAAUCUGAUGUACGGUGGGGAAAUUCAACUCCAGAGCGCUGCCAUGAAUAGUAUAAACAACAUAUAUUAAAGUCACGCCAUCAAUUAUCAACAGGAACUUCAUAUUUAAAUAAUGAUGUAUACAACUUUUAAACUUGGAAUAGCAUAUAGAAGGAAUAACACAUAAAAAGACCUCGCAAAAGGAAUUAGACAUCUGUAAAUAAAGCUGAAUAAUCUAUUUUCUCUUUUCUAAAACAAAUAUGCAAGUUUUCAAGAGUGCUGCAUUCUAUAUGUGCUUCAAUUCUUUAUUGCCAUGAUCACCAAAUAAUUCAAUCUUUAAUCUGCAAAUAAAAUAUUUGCAAAAGUGAGCACAACGGCUCAACAAGUUUAACAGUUAAUACAUUUCACAUAAUUCAUCUUUUUUUUCAAGCUUUGCAUUUUAUACAUACUUCAUAAUACUCAUGUUUCGCAUUUCUCAAAUUAUAUAAUUCACGUAGAAAAAUUAACUUAAAUAUCAACUAGAUAUCAACAGUUAUUAUCACAUUAUUGCACAUCAAAACAGAUUCAUAAGAAUUUCAUAUAAAACUGAAAAUUUGCAUGUAACACAUAACAAUAAGUUCUGAAAAACUUGCCUUAAAUGUCCCGUAAAACAUCAUGCAAAUGCGCCCUUCCAACGUCUUGAAUAGCUUGCUCAAAAGCACAAAACAUCCCAAGUAAUUAUUGAACUUAUUUAAUUGAAUAGGGGAUGGAUCGACUCGUGUCAAUUAAAUGGAUUACAUGAAGGCAGGAGUCUAUUAUAAUCUUUCAUGAUAAAUCUCAGAACACUUGUCAAGUAUAGUCUAGUCGAACUCGAAUAGCAUAGACUGUCAAUAUAAAUUCACGAAUCAAAAGAAACUUUAAUAAUAUUUAGAUAAUGAAUUCAUAAGGGAAUUAUCAAUUCAAGAUACAAAUUAUUCAUUUCAAGCUUCAAAAGGAACGUUGAUCCAAGAUUUCUACUCAAAGAAGAAAGUUAGUAUACUUGCAAUAAAUAAGUUUUUCAACCAAAUGUUAAUUAUGGAGGAAAGUUGAAAUACUUGCCUUCUUGGUGCAAAGCUAUUGAUUCUACGCGAUUACGUGAACCCGAAACAUUAUGUUCUUGAAAAGCGCCUAUUUUACAUACAUAAGGUCAUUACUAGAUAUAAUACAACCACUAUAUUUCACAAAUUCCUUUUAAACUUGUGUUUUUUUUCUCAUAUUUAAACAACUCACUUUAAUUACUAUAUUUCUUAAAUUUAUUCCUAAUAUUAUAUACUAAUUAUAAUUAAUAUAUCAAGUUAUAUGCAUUUAUCAAUUUGCUUCCACCUUACAUGAACUAACUGUCAAGAUGAUUACAACAGAAGCAAAAUAGUCAACAAGCAGGCCAGGCCAGCUGCUGCCCAGCACUGCCCUGCAGCCGAGCCUCAACAGCUCUCCUUUGCUAAUUUCUAUCUUACAACUCACAUCAUUAACUGCAACCAAACCUUUAACAGGUUAUAUAGGCAUGGCAUAGUAUUUUUAAAAAUUGUAACUCAGCUAAAAUGGACACUCUAAGACAGGCAAAUCAGGUGCCAAAGCUGCCCAGUUGAGACUGUUGCAACAGCCGCAGCGCCUGCUGCUACUGCUCCAUCUCCAAUGCCAAGUUGCUAGAUUUGUUAUUUUAUAAUUCUCAAACCAUAGAUCCAAUCAAAGUCAAUUUCUAAUAUUCUAUAACUGGUAUAGCAAGCUAAUUUUAGAAAAUAUAAAAUAGCUAAAAUGAUCAGUUAAGAUGGAUUUUACAGAGCUCUGAAAACUGCUCUGCCGAAACAGUUUCGAAUCUAUGCACCAAUAUGACUUUUACUUUAAAACAGACUUCCAACCACACUUAGCUGAUGCAAAACAUUCCAUGUAUACUCUAUAACAUAUAUGAAGGAUACCUUACUCACUACAGUACCUCAAUUGCUCAUUUUGGUCUUAACAGUUCUAUGAAGCAUACAAUCAAACAGGUCAUAGGCACAAGCUUUAUGGACAAACUUCAUAAACCUUUGCACAUGUUUUAAACCACAUUCUCCACCCUUAUUUCUCUGCACAACAACUAAACUCCAUCUAACAUACAACCCAAUUAGCACAGUUAUAAUACUCUAAAUUUUAUAUAAAACAGUUAAUUUUUUUGAAAACUCCAUCUAACAUACAACCCAAUUAGCACAAUUAUAAUACUCUAAAUUUUAUAUAAAACAGUUAAUUUUUGCUUUAAAAAUCAAGAUUUAAAACUUACCUUGCUUUAACAGUUUAAUAAGCUGAAAUUGACACUUAUGAUUCAGUUAGAACCCUUUCUUUUUGCUGCCCUGCUAUCCAAAUUAUCCAGCCCAGUCUACAUUUAAACUAUCUUGCUCCAUUCUUGCUCAAUUUGCUAGUUUAGGCGACAAAGAAGAGAAGUUUUUAUAGAAUUCUGGGGUGCAUAAAUUCGGUAAUCAAGAAAAAUAAGAAAUAGAUUUGAGAUGGAAGGAGAACAAUUAUUCUUGCCAACUCAUGCUUUAUAUUGGCUUAGUGGCUUAGUUAUAAUUGGAUGCGGAUUGGAAGCAGAUUGAACGCGUUUCGGACGUGUUUCAGACGCAAUUUGGACGCAGAUUUUACACAUUUUGGAUGCGGAUUGGAAGCAUUUUGGACGCGCUUUGGAUGCGGAUUGAAAGCGUUUGGAUGCGUUUUGAACGCGUUUGGAUGCGUUUUGAACGCGGAUUAGAUGCGUGUUGGAUGCGGAUCCCACGCGUUUUGGACGCGGAUUUUACGUGUUUUGAACGUGGAUUUUACGCGAAUUGUACGCAUUUUGGAUGCGGAUUGGAUGCGUUUCGAACGCGGAUUUGACGCGUUUUGGACGUGGAUUGGAGUCUAAAACGAGUUCAAAACGCGUCCAAUCCGUGUCCAAAACUAAUCCAAUCCGCGUUUUGGACGCGUUUUUUCCCGCCAAACUAUCACCCAUCUCAAUCCAUUUAUUUAUUUUUUAGCUCACUAAUCACUUCAAUUUUUCCACUUAUAAUUUUUGGUAUUUUUUUGAAUUUUUUUCCACUUUGAAUUUUUGGCAUUUCAAACAUAGGAUCAAACACAUCUAGAUAUGAUCUAAAAUGCUAGGAGAGCCUCAAAUGAAGAAUUAGUUAUAAACAAAUAAAGCCCAAGCAUAAUAAUUUACAAAAAAACUAGAUCUAGAAUAAAGAUGAGGUGGGUCGUUGGUCAAAUCAAUCUGACCAACACCUAAUUUCCUUGCGCCCCCCAAUGCAAAAAUUAUUUUUUUGUGUCAGAAAAUAAUUUAUGCUCAACAAAUCCGACCAAAGCGAAGGUAUGGACACUUAAACAGGCACACAGGCGCAGUGAUGAUAGUGUUGGGGCAUAGAAAAUAUGAUUUACUAUUAUCUUUUGCGGGUGAUAUGGCGAGAAAAGAAUUAUGGAUAUUUUAAUAGGGCUAGAGAUGUAAAGAGGUUGUUGUUUUGAAAUUAGAUCAUCUUAGAAUAAGUUACGACAUUUGAUAAACUUACACUUUUUAUUUUCAACGAACUGAUUAAAGUUUGGGUUGCUACUCCUAUUAAAUCUUAUCAUAUACAAUUGUGUGGUAAAGAUAUGUAAAAUAUUGUAUUUUAGGAAUACUUGUAUGAAACAAAACUCGAAUGUUAUCCUAUGUUAUGAAUUGUUCAUCAUACUUUAUCUUGUUUUUAGUUUAUAAAUUGGUGUUCUUUGUAUGAGUUGUAAACAAUACGAACUUUUAGAUGUAAUGUUUCACUCCAUCAAUAACGCGUUGUAAUGAUAUUUAAGGUACAAGUACUUACCUCUUGGUUAUGCUAUAAAAGGUGCUAGAAUUUUAAAAAAGGUAACCACCUGGUUAUGAUUGUGAAAUAUAAUUCCUCCGGAAAAGGAGAAGAAGAAGACUGAAAACCCUUAUAACAGGGCAGCAUCUCCUUAUAACAGGGCAGCCAUUCAAUCUCCAUAUGCAGAGAAAGAGAAUAUAUUCUCAAUUUAAUAAAGAGAGUGGAACCUUUAUAUUAUCAAAACAAGUACUCCAGAUUCAAAUUUACAAUCUCAGACCAUUCAUGACUUAUAAUCACUAUACCAAAUGUGAAAUGUAUGUAUACCUAAACCUUCCCUCUACAUUUUGGACCCAAAAAAACUUGAACAAAUUUAACUAAAGCUCUAAUAACUAAAACUAUAUAUCCCAGAAAUUUGACCAAGAAAAAAUGUGUAUAUAUACAUAAACAUUAUAAUAAAUAAUUAUAUAUUAAUAUAUAAUUAUACAUAAUUAACUAUAUAAUAUAAGAUUUACAUUUAAAAUUUAUACAUUCAUGUAUAUAUAAAUAAAUAUAUUAAAUAAUUUUUUUUUACCAAACACUCAUUAACAAAUAAAUAUAUUAAAUAAUAAUCUACCUCAUCAAACUAUUUGCCAAAAACUCAAUAACAAAUUUUGGAGAAUCAGAAUCGAUUACAAACACUAGUUAACAACUUAUAAAGAAUCAAAAUCAACUCCAACUUCUUAGAAUCGGAAGUUGAAAAUAAAAAAGUUGAGAUAAACAGGGCUAACAUCUAUCUACAAUCCAACAAAAAGAGUUAAUAUAAUUUCCAAAAAAACAAUAACAUGAUCAUAUGUAUCCUAGGCAAUCAAAUCCCAAAUCCAUAUUUAGAACUACAAAACACUAACAUCAUAACAUACAGCCUAAGUAGUCAAAUACCGAGGCCAUGUCCAACCGCCCAAACAUAUCUCAAUCCAUCCCAUCCCAAACCAAAUCACAAAUUGUAUUUUCAUAUCAAAGCAGACAUCAACACUUGCAUUGUCUUAAAGUUAUCAAAAACAUUAAUCAAACCAAUAUUUUAAUAGGUUCAACAAAAAAAUAAGCAUCUACACAAAGGCAACUAGUUGACACCAAAAUUGCUUACAAUUUUACAAAGAUUGUAAUUUGGGAUAACUAAGGUAAUUUUUCAGAAAAACAACUCUUAUUCAAGUAUUAAAUGGGCCUUUUGACAAAUUCGCCAAAUAGUGUCUAUUUAAUAGCAUGCACCAAUUCAUUCAAAUUUUAGUAUUUGGAAUCAAAAUGGCACACAUUGAAAUCACUAUUUUGAUCACACAAUAAAAGCAUCAGCAAGUCUGGAUGAGUAUUAAUUUGGGAUACCGGGAGUACUAAUUAGAAUAAAGGCGAAUAUAUGUACCUUUAUUUAGUGACAACCAAAACUAGGAACUGCAGGAAUGGGAGUGACGGCCGUAUCACGGGUCCACUAGCUAUCAGGAAUUUGGUUAGACCACUGAUCACCACCAAAGUAGUCGACAUAAUCACGGGCAACAGCUGUUUCCUCUUCUUUCUUAGGCUACCCCAGGUUCCAUGUAGAAAAACAAAUCAACCUACAGCUGCUAGCUAAAAAUUAGAUAUAAUCGAAGUUCAAUACUACAUCAUAAGUCACCUUUAACAAAUGAAAGGCAGAGGGAACACAUGCGACAUUUCAUUCACCUCUUCAUUAUAGGUCAAGAGAGGGAUUUCAGGACCAUUGUUAGAUAAAUCACCCUUGAACUUUUAAAUUUAAUCAAUAAUUUCAAAUUACAAAUAAUCUUUUUCUUUUUGCUUGUUCUCCUCCUGAAUAUUAAAUCAGUAAAUGCGAGAUGUCAGUAAUUUCCUUUGGACAAUUUGGACAAUGCUAUACAUUUUAGAUGCCAAGUGUUUAUCUAAUUGAUUUACUCGUUCUCUUACUAUUUGGAUUUUUUUUCAUAAUUCUUUAAAAAUUUUGAAGCUCCUAACUAUCAUAUGGGUUCGUAUCGCGGGAUACCAAAACCAAUAUCGUUACCAAGUCCUCGGAUGCAUCUUCUUCUAAUCAAAUAAAUUGUGUUUCUACCUUUUUUUUGGGGUUUGUUUGUCGCGUGUGUGUNNNNNNNNNNNNNNNNNNNNNNNNNNNNNNNNNNNNNNNNNNNNNNNNNNNNNNNNNNNNNNNNNNNNNNNNNNNNNNNNNNNNNNNNNNNNNNNNNNNNNNNNNNNNNNNNNNNNNNNNNNNNNNNNNNNNNNNNNNNNNNNNNNNNNNNNNNNNNNNNNNNNNNNNNNNNNNNNNNNNNNNNNNNNNNNNNNNNNNNNNNNNNNNNNNNNNNNNNNNNNNNNNNNNNNNNNNNNNNNNNNNNNNNNNNNNNNNNNNNNNNNNNNNNNNNNNNNNNNNNNNNNNNNNNNNNNNNNNNNNNNNNNNNNNNNNNNNNNNNNNNNNNNNNNNNNNNNNNNNNNNNNNNNNNNNNNNNNNNNNNNNNNNNNNNNNNNNNNNNNNNNNNNNNNNNNNNNNNNNNNNNNNNNNNNNNNNNNNNNNNNNNNNNNNNNNNNNNNNNNNNNNNNNNNNNNNNNNNNNNNNNNNNNNNNNNGGGGAAUCUAUUAAAGAUGUCACUACAAUAAUUCAAUACAUUUACAAAUCUCAGAUCCACAACGAAGAAUUGCCAAACACAGAAUUUCAAGGUUACCUGAAUUAUAGCUGAAUCCUUGCAUUCAUGUUUUACAUCUAUUUGAGCAUUUCCUUCUUUAAAGUAGCGGGCUCCACCUGAAUGAAUAUUAGAGAAAGCAUAAUCAUAAGUUUUGGUCCAAAUGAGUCGAAAACAGAGUCCAACAUAAAAUGUAAGCCAGUAAACUCCCCUAUUGAGGCUAAUCAUAGACUCUGUGGUGCUGUGGUAAUCCAGUAGAAAAGGAUAGAUACUAGAGACUCACGGGAAGACUUGUUUACCUGUCACAUACUAGACUGGAAAUUGCUUAUACAGUUGGAAGACUUAUUUACACUGAUGCAGAUUGGGUUGGCUCUAUGGAAUAUAUUCGUUCUACAACUGGCUAUUGUAUUUUCAUUGGAGGUAAUUUAGUCACCUGGCGCAGCAAGAAACAAGCAGUGGUUGCUCGAUCCAGUGUUGAGGCAGAGUAUAGAGCGAUGGUUCUUGGUGUGUGUGAACUUCUAUGGACUCAAUAUUUGUUAACUGAUCUGGGACUUGCAACAAAUGCCCCUAUGAAGUUGUUUUGCGACAACAAGGCUGCCAUCAGCAUUGCUCAUGAUCCAGUACAACACGACAGGACGAAGCAUAUUGAGAUUGAUCGACACUUUAUUAAAGAGAAACUAAGUAAUGGCCUCAUUUGUAUUCCAUAUGUAAAGUCAAGCGAUCAACUUGAUUCACCCUAUUGUUUACAAGUUAGGCAUGAGGAAUAUUUAUGCUCCAACUUGAGGGGGAGUGUUAAACUUAUCAACGGUUGGCUGUUUAAGUCUUUAAAAGUUGUCUGUUAAAGUCCUCAAUAGCUGGCUAUUGAAGACUUUAACAGCUGGCUAUUGAGGACUUUAAACAGCCAGCUAUCUCCAUAGCUGUUCUAUAUUGACUAUUGAUGUAAUAUUUAUCUGAUCAUCUGUGUAGUUGGCUUAUAUAAUGGUCUUACUAUCUUUGUGUAAAGGACAGCAACAACAGCUAAUAAACUCUAUUGAUGUUCUCUCCAUUCUUCUUUUCCUUGCUCCCUUGUAUUUGAGUGCAUGCAACUACUAAUUAGAGUUCAAGGAAAAAUAAACAUAAGGGAUUAAAAGAACAAUUAAAUAUCAACAUUGUUAUUCUUCUAAUUUUCCUUCUGUUUAAACAAUAGGAAAAGCAGUAAAAUGUUAUCUCUAUAAAUCAGAAGGUCGCCAACUGAGAUAAGACAAACAAUGCCAUAUACUGUUCCAGCUGCCUUGGGUGUUUCUAGCAACUAAAUUUAUAUGAGAAGUAGUUCUACUUACUUCUAGUUUUACAAGAAGUACAAUGAUAAAAUGUAUUUUUGGAAAAUGAUAAAAAAAAAUAAAAAAAAUCCUACACACCGAAGCAGUUAUUCCACACAAGCACAUAAACAUAUUUGGAAGAGGCCUCCUAAAACAGCAACAGCUCGGACAACACGAAGCUGAGCACACAACAAAUAUAAUCAUAUCACUGUAUUUGAAAUGAGUAGACAAAUUUCUGAACUUGGGCAGAGGGAAGGAGGAGAUAGAAAAGCCUACCAUUUUUGCGGAGAAAUCCUGCCCCAAAGCAAAAAGAAGAAAAACAACACCGAAUUGAGCUACUGUCUCAACCUGUAAGGAGAUAUUUGAAAAAAAACUGAUGGGUUGGCGCAGAAGCGUCAGAAAUGUUUAGGAAGUGGCGCCGCAGCGCGAUCAGCCUAGAUUUUACGCGCUUUGACUGCAAUUAUGAUUCCAGAUUGGAUUCUUAUUCCUCCUAAAUUAGGGGUUUAUUAUGUGACCUAUAAAUACAUGCUAAAAGACACAAACAUCUUUUACCCACUUUACAUGGCCUUUCAGGUGAAGAUCCUCACAAACAUCUAAAGGAAUUCCAUGUGGUAUGUACAAGUAUGUACAACUCUUAUUAAUAGCAUUCAACGAACUGAGAGACCAUAUAUAUGCCUAGACUUGCACUGAAUUCUAGAUUGUUGAAGAAUGAAGACAAUACUAGAAUAUUGGGCAAGAAAAAACACUCGCAUCGCUAUUUGGAAGAUUCAACGACUUUUCUCUCUGUUUCCUCGUCUCUUCUUGAACUUCCUUACGCAUAGCCUCUUCCAAUUGUUUUUCUCUUGCAUCCAUCAUAGCUUGAAAUUGGGAGGUCUCCAUCGUAGCAAGGAUGAGAGAUUGCAUAUCAGUUGAUGUAGGUGAGGUAGUCAAGCGAGAUGCAAAGACUAUCACUUUUAUAUUUCUCUUGCAGUUUGAAUAUACAAUGUUAUGACUAAUAAAAGGUAUUGAAUGAGCCAAGUUUAGAACAUAAUAUAAUUCUCUUUGAUCAUUCGCAAAACCGCAAGAACCACAAUCUGAGCUUCAACCUGUCGGGGAAAAUUUGAUGACGUAACUCAAGAAAACAAAUUGAAAACUACUAAUGUUGUUUCUGAAGUUAAAGAUUGAACAACUCGAGAGUAAAUUCAAGAUAAGACGAGCAUGUUGUUCUAUUCAGUAAGAUAUUUUCAAACAUCUCUUCCAUCCAAAGUUAUGCUUGGUGUCAUGCCAAGUAUAUAUUCCUAGAAUAAUUUUUCUUGUUUUAAUCUUCUACAACUCGAUCCAUUUUAUUUUUGUUCUUGUUUUAUCAGUCACUUUCUCCAGUUUCUACCAAAAUGGUGAUUAAUUUUUACAAUUUGUAGGUCAGAUUUUAGUAGAUCAGUCAUGAAUUAUUGCUGACCAUAGAAUCUUAUACUUUUUUAAUUUUACUUGAAGCCUAUAAGUAAGAAAGAGGACACUACUACUAAUCAAAAUAAAAGGUAAAAAGAAUACUAAUCUACUUGGGAUUUUCCUGUAACUGAUACCUGGUGAGGUCAAAACUCAUAACCAUAAUUUACCUUUUAUAUAUAUAUAAAAAAAAGACUAGUUCUCAUGAUUAAUGCGUUGCUAAAUUUGACAAUCUUGAUUUAUUGAUGUUUAUCUACCUUUGUUAGCCCCUGAAUAUCGACAGCAAAGCUUGCAGCGCCGGUCUUUUGCAAGUUUGCAGCAACUUUCUCCAGAUGAAGGCUUUGAGGUCCCCCCAAGUCACCUCUGCUGCUAGAACUGUGUUGGCUUUGAUUCUGAUCAUUACUUUGUAUUAUUCCUUCACAUCACUCCUCUAUUAGUUGUUUGAGAUAAUAAUCAUUGGAAUUGUACCUGCAAAUUGGUUUCUUCAAUUACGGAGGAAAUUAUCCCAAAAAAAACAUUAUCUUUCACGACUGAACCUUUUCCAUUUUCUGAGUACUGGGAAUGCACUAUAACAACAAAGUGAAGUGUAAGAAAAAAGGUUAAACCUUUAUAGUUGCUGUGUAUGCAACAACAUCAGGUUCAAUACCAGCCUCACGCAUGGAAUUCAAAAUCUGCACUAGAAGAAGAAUGGUUAUUAGAAGAUCUAUAUUGCAAUGGCAGUGUUCGCCUAUUUUGAAAACAACUUGUACGCUAGAAUCAUGUGUUCAUGAAUGAAAACUUUUUUUAACAACCAACUUGCGCCAACCGUUUCCCUUCCAGAUGUCCACAUCUUUCAAAGGAGGAAAAGAAUGCAACUCUAAGAUCUAAAUUCAAAAGGCAUAGUUACCGCAAUACUUGAAAGGUAAAAUCUGGGUUUUCAAAUUUCUCUUGACAAUAGAUUAACAAUCACCAAAUGCCAAAAACAUAUACCUCCAUAGCACCCUUGACAUUCCUUGAUCCUCCAAAAAUGUCAAUCAAAAUUGAUCAUCUUAUAUGAUUAGGACAGAGACCUAAUGUUUUGAUCUCCUGCAUUAAAGCUUUUGCACGGUGGUAAUCAGUACCACAGGCCUUCAUCAGAAUAUUGUAUGUUGCAGUAGUGGGUGUAAAAGUUACACUUUUAGUAAAAUGUGCACGAUCAGAAUCAGAUCCACUGCCAGGCACAUUAGUAGUAUAACUUUUAUAUGAAUGGUCUCCACCUAUAUUUAUCUUUUCCUGAUAAUCUUUUCUAUAAAAUUUCUUAGAUGAACUUGCUUUCCAGAUAUGGAAUAAACGGAUGGCCCUGUCGUACUGGCAAACCUCAACGCAUGCAUGAAGAACAAUGUUGCAACAUCGUGUAUUUGGUUUGCAACCAGCCAGAAGCAUCUCUUCAAAUAAUAGGAUUGCCUGCUCAACAAGACCUGCACUGGCACAUGCAUUUAUCAAAGAUGACCACAUAACUGUGUUGGGAGUAACACCAGCUGCAAGCAUAUCUUCUUUAAUUUUCAGUGCCAUUUGCCACAUCUUUGCAUCAGCAAAGACCUGUCAUUUGAUGCAGAAUAUAAAGAUACAAGAUAAGAAAUUUUUCAUAGAAUGGCUGUAUAAUGUACAGGAGAAGUGUAAAAAGUAUGCAAAAGCAGUAAGAAUGUAAGAUAUUAGACACAUAAUGUCCAUUUUAAGACUGAAGUAUAUUUACUAUAGAUAGAUAAUACCUUAAUUAUUGUGUUGUAUGUGAAAACAUCUAGUUUCAAUACUCCUGUUGAUUUCAAAUGUUGUACCUCCCUAUAAAUUUCCUGGGCCAAAUCAACUCUUGAAGCACGACAACAAGACUUCAAAAUAAUGUUGUAAGAUGUCAUAUCAGCAGCAACACCUAGAUUCUGGACAUAUAAUAUGAAGCAGAUAAAAGAAACUUUCUUGUUGAUAAGAAUAAAUUAUUAAACUUCCGCGUAUGUUCAACUAGCUUUUAGCAUAGAAGAAACAUGAGACCAUCUCCUACUACAAUAGAGUACAAACCUAAGUUGUUUAGUAUGUGUUCAGUUGUGUGCCACCUUAAGGGAAGCGCUAUAAUGAGUUUUAGAUUCCUAACCAGUGUAUUCCUCCAGACACUAUUGAUUAGUGAGACCAAUGGACCAAUACUGGACAAAAUGUACCUUUUGUUGGAGAACACUUUUCACAUCAAUAGCAAAAUUAUCAUUCAAAUAUUAAUAAGAAAAAAUAAUAAAUUUAUUUUACAAAUUCAAAAGGCAACACAUUUUUAGGGGGAAAUAUAUGCUAAAUCAAGUAAAUAAAGAAUAUGGUUCAUCUUAAAUUAUUCAAAAGCAUAAGGUAUUAAAUGAAGAAAGACGACUGUGGGCGAGAAAGAGAGAUGAUAGUCCCCACUCUCGAACAGAGGAUCUAGUAGGAUCUCGAGCAUCAUUUGUCAAUAUGAAAGAAAGAUGAAGUAAAUAAAAACAUAAAAACAACCUGCUUUAAAAGAAACUGUCCUAGUCUACUUAAGGAGCACAUAGUGAAGUAUGUAUAUUUAUGCAUGCUAGAGUAGAUUUGCUUAUUUGUGUGUCACAAACAUACAAGAGAGAGAAAAAGAGCAUUACUUGCAUAUGUUUGUAGAUCUGCAACGUGUAGCUCAAGUCACGGGCAUUAACAUUCAUCAGACUGUUGAAAACAGAAAGAUUUGGGGUAAUCCUUUGAGUUCAUAAAUCCUGCAGUAAAUAAACAUGAAACAGCAGCAUAAGAACAUCCAGAAAUAGCCCGGUAUUACUACAAGUCUGUUUUUCAAGAAUCAAAUUGUAGUUGUGAUAGAGAACCAAAAUUAGAUUAACAAAAAGCUUUUGCCUGACAUUCUGACAACCAUGUAGCCACAUAAUUGAUAUUGUCUCCAAGUUAAAAAAAUUGGUCAAGCAUGAAAAUCAAUUCUAAAGCUAGUAAUCGAAUAUCGAUACAGAUAAUAUUAUGUAAGGAACAAGGCUGGAAGCUCAAGAUUCAGAUUAGUUUAAGCACAAAUUGAGUUUAAUGAGUUAGUUAAGUAACAAAGGUAUUUUAGUCUUUUAGCUGCUGUUAUGCUGGAUAUUAUUGUCCUUAUUUGUUGAGUCGGUUAGAUUUGUUGCUAGGAAUGCAGGAGGCAUGUGGUCAUAUGCUCAGUUCCUUGCUCAGUCAUUUUCCAUUUCAUUCCUUUUGCUGAUGAAGGGAAUAUGUAGGCAAUCUAUCUCAUUUUUUAGGCAAGAAUGAAAUACUAGAUCUAUUUUUCUCUCUCUAAUACGGUUCUCUCUUCUUCUCCUCUCUAGCUAAAUCUCUCAAUCCAAAGUCUGCUAUCUGUUCUCUAAUUUCUUCCAAUUAACUCUAUCUGUCUUGCUGAUUCCUUACAUAUUACUCCUUCCCUUGAAGCCAAUAUAAACUUGAUUUUAACCCAUCUCUUAAAUUUUAGCUUCUUUACAUAAAUUUUAAAACUGGGGUUGAAUCUUAGAGUCCAUCGAUUCCUUCUACAUUACAUCUCCGACUGAAUUUCACUAAUCCUAUAGGUUAUAGUUAUCGGAUUGCCAAAGGAAGAAGAAGAAACCUGGGAAACGAAGGAAACCGAGCUCGGAGUUGAGCAAAGCCACGAAUUGGGAGGGUUUUACGAUUCUCCCAAAAGAAACCGUGCGAAAAAAGGCGAAGAACAGCGGGAAACGGUCAUGUACCGGACAGAACCCAUAUAAUCUAAGGGAACUUGAAAACCCGUCCAUUAAUGGGGCUCCGACCCGUAACUGUACGAACCGUAAAAUCACUAAACUGUAAUUGUACGCACUGUAAACCUGUUCCAAACAGCAGGGGAGGAGUAAUCGCAGGGAACGAAGAGCAUGACACAAUUUAGUGAAAAGUUUCCUUUGAAAUUAUAGUUCUGAAUAUCUUAGUAACGGCUACAAAGUAAAAUUUAAAAAUACAACUUUUGGUUUGCUUCAAUCAUUAAGGUGUAAACUGUCAUUGAUACACCAAGAAAAUGAAUCAUAUAAUUUCUGCUAUCAGCAGAUUAGUGCAUUAUAGUUGAAACAUAAAAUCAAAAUAUCAACUUCUUACCUUCCAAGCAUUUUCAAGACUCUGGUCUGUGUUCUCUGUGUUAACUUUGAGGGCAAUCGAGCUAAGCAGUUGUUCUUGUUGCAUUAAUGCAAUAAUCUUUGGGUCAUCCUUCUUGAGGUACAUUCCUUGAAUCAUGUCAUUACUGGCUUCUUCUGGAUCCAAGAAGGAUAACUACUCAGUUAUGGUUAUCAAUUAUGCAAAAUUAAAGCUUUUGAAUUUUGAAGAUGGAUACUAUGAUGACUAAAGAGUAAGCAACUUAAUCAAUCUCUAUUACAGUUUUAUUGUGAUAUACCAUCUUUGGUAACCCUUGUGGUGUUGUUGGCAUCGUUUUGAGUUGUGAUGUAACAAGAUUCAUAUUGUAGUUGUGUUGUGAUGUAGAAUUCAUAUUGUAGUUGUGUUGUGAUGUAUUGUAGCAAUGCCUAAAAUUAUGAUUUCAUUUAAUGUUAUGUGAUUUUUUCCCAUCAACCUAACGUCAUAUAAUAUUAAUUAUUAAAAAUUCAAAGAAAGAUUAAUUGAAUUAAUGAAAAUACCUAUUCUUCAACCUCAAGUUAUAGUGAACAAACACGAGAUCAUUAAGUCUUUGAUGCUCCAACCGGUUUCUUUUCUUGGUGUGUAUGAGAUCAAAAACACUCCAAUUUAUUUCGCACCCCGAUGAACUACUAGUUUGGGUAAGGAAUUUGAUUGCCAACUUUUGUAAAUUUGGAGCACUACUUCCAAACAACCUCCACCACUCAUCUAAAUACAAAUAAAUAACAAUGACAUUAGAAAUCAAUGAAAUAAGCUACAAAGGAACAAAGUUAACAAGAAUAAACAACAAUUACUAAAAGGGAACAAAGUCGAACAAAAAUUAAUAAAUAUAACUUACCUGGUUGAGUAACUAGUCUUCGAAGUAGUAAGUGUAAGCUCCCUACCAAAACUCCCCAUCCGCUCUCGAUAAAUUCUAGUUUCAUCCAACAACUUAACCUUACUAGUGGUGGCAUUUGAUUCAAUGACAUCAAGAAGACCCGCCAUAACUUCCGGCUUCCCACAAAAUGAUUCUUGAUUAUAUUGAAAACAAGGUUCAACCAAUAUGUGGCCGUGUGAACACUUUCACGCAAUUACUUAUCCCAACACUCCUUGAUAAUUCUUGUAUAAGGCUUGUACAAGCUUUUCUUUUGCCUAAAAACUAUCUUUAUAGCUUUUCUAGCUCUAAACAUGCCAUCAUACAAAUAUGCAAUGGAGGGUGUCUCAUCCAUAUCAACAAUUCUCAAUAAACGCAUCAAAGGCUCCACAAUUUUGGUUACAAUCAUUCCAAAAAAAAUUCUCCGAUAUGUAAGAAGCGACAACCUUGCCUUGUGCAUCCUUUGCAUAUUUAUACUCCUUAAAAUCCUUACUAGUCACCAAAGCCUGUAAACCAUGCAUAUGAUCAUAAAUAUUAUGCAAUGCAAUGAAAGUCGUGGCAAAAUGAGUAGGCCCAUGCGGAUGAUUUGCUAAUGUCAAGAUUUGCAUAGGACACACUUUAAAAUUUAAUAUUAUAAAACUCAUAAAAAAAUUGUCUAAAUAUUUGAAAGAGGAGAAGUGAACAAAAAAAUGUAGGACUCUCUUUGCCAGACAUGGGAGUAAUAAACAAGCUAAUCAUAAUAAGGGUAAUGAUAAUAUUGGAGCUGAUAAUAAGGGUAAUGAUUAACACUCAUUAUAAACAAGCUAAUCAUAAUGAGUGUUAAAUAUUCGCAAUGACUGUGUUCAUAAGGAGUUUUCAAUGAUUGUGUUCAUAUACAAUACCAUAUAUCCAGUAACACUAGUAACUAUUACAUGGAUAUUUUCAAUGUUAUGCCUUUUAUUACUCGAUUUUCACAACAGUGGACGUACAUAAAAAAACAGGCACAAGAAUGUAAUCACCCUCAAUACACUACCAUAAUUUAUGUAAUGCAACCAUAAGGUGAUCAACCUUGUACCAAAAAAGAGAGAAUGAAAAAUAAUUAACCAAAUCAUUUUUAGCUACAUUACAGAAUUAUUAGCUUGUUAUCUCUAGACCAAGAUUCAUUAGUUUCUUAUAUAGGUUGUAUCUGAAGCUCCAACAUCGAUGACCUAUGCUAUGCUACAGACUGAAAAUCAGUAUUUAGCUUGUCAAGAUUCAUUGGUUUCUCUUCAAACAUGGUCAAUUCUCAUUUUUGAUAAAAUGAGCUUCAUCACUUAUAAUAUAGCACCAGCUAAAGCGGCGUAAGGCAUUCUUCUCUUUGAUCACCAUUUUAAAACUGGUGACACAGACAUCAAACUUCCUAGAAGCUACGUAUGUAUCUCUGAAGAAUAAUAUAUUUAACAUUAGUUUAUUCAAUAACAAUAAAAAUGAGGGGACUGAAGAUACUUAAUCAAGUAGAGCAAUUAAGAACUAAUUCUUUUUUAAGGAUUUCCAAGAAAUUUGAGUGCACGUAAAACAGGGCAAAAAGGCCGAAUCUCAUUCAUCCAGUUGCCAAGAGUGGAUUUUGGAGCAACACUCACGUGAAGACCAGUUAUUCCACUAAAUUCAUGCAGAUAACCAAGCAAGGAGAUGGUUUGUAAUGUUUUACCAAGCCCUUAGACAACAACAAUAAUAUUAACGGGUAAACAAUUAGAUUAACUGGUUAAAGACUUAAAGUAGAUACACUCGUAGUUACAUGCAAAGGUAGUUUGACCUAUUGGUAGGACAAGGAUAUUAGAGAAGCCGAAAAUUCAGAACAUACCAUUUCAUCCGGAAGGAUUCCAUUUAUACCAUUCUCAUAUAUAAUCGUAUAAGCCAAUAUAACCCAGCAAGUUGGUAAUCCCUCAUCUUCCCCUAAUAACUGCAGAGGAAAAGUUGAGAAAACAAGAUGCAAAGGAUUAGAUAUUCAAGAAAAGUUGCAAAAAAAAAAAUCAUACUUUCAUGCUCGGUAAAAAGAGACAUCAAUGAGUAUGAGAGAGAAAUUACCUUCGAACAAAUCAGCUAAAAGAAGAUGGAAGCGUGGAACCAAAUCAGACCCAAAUCGUGGAGCCUCCACUACGCUACCAAAAAUCUCAACCACCUCGGCUUAGAUCUGCUACCAAACAGAUCUGAUAGGAAAAAAUAAACGAGAACGCAACCUCCGGUACUAAAGUAGAGAGACAUUAGAUGAAACAUAUAUAUUUAUAAUGGAACAUACAGUUAUAUGGCAUUAAUUAUUACCUGAUUUGAUCCAGUAUUCAUCUUGUUUCUCCAAUAAUUGUUCCUGCCUCUGAAUACCGUUGCUGCAAUUAGGCAAGACAAGGCUCUCCACAAAGGUACAACCGUCCAAAAAAGGAUAAAUGCCAUGCAUCUCAAUAUCUGUCACUUGAUCCUCCUUUGCAUCAUAAACAACCAUUUUCCACCUGUUAACCAUCAACAAAACUCUCCAUCCCUCAACUACGCUACCAAAAAUCGUGGAGCCUCCACCACGCUACCAAAAAUCUCAUCCACCUCGGCUUAGAUCUGCUACCAAACAGAUGUGAUAGAAAAAAUAAACGAGAAUGCGACCUCCUGUAGUAAAGUAGGGAGAGGAAUCAGAAGAGUAUAUUCAAGUGAUAGUUGAAAAUACAAAAGAUAAAGAAGACUGAAUAGAAAAAUAAGUCUGAAGGGAUAAAUAGAGCGAGGGACGCGGACAAGACUGAAUAGUCACAGUGCACCCUUGUCCUGCCACAAAGUGAUUAGACUGAAGAGCAGUGCAUAUCCCGCCACAAAGUAGAUCAAAAAGUUUUUGAAAGUCUGAAGUGAUAAAUAGAUUACACGAGGGAGGACACGGACAAAGACUAAAGAGUCGCAGUGCCCUUAUCCAAGCCUCCAACCAGUCAUCGCAAAAGCCUAUAAAAGUAUAAAUUUUGUGAGGCAUACCUUUUUAGAUACAUUAUACAUAACUAAGCAAGAAUAGGCAUGAAGGGGAAUUUCAAGAAUGGAAUAGUGUGGAAGAUCUCUAGAUACUAGUUCUAUAAUGUGACUAAACUGUAAUUACCUUAGAAAAUCCAUUCACUGUCAGAGUCCGAUCACACAUGCCUGGCAAAGAUGCAAAGCUUGUGUGAGUUGCGGGUGCAUAAAUAAUGUGUUCAUAUAUUUCGUCAGACAACACCUGAAAUAGAAUAACCAAGCAUAGUUAAGGUUUCAAAUGUUAGCAAAGUUGCCAUAAUUACGAGCAGGUACAAAGUGUAAGGUUUCUUGAUCCUACCAGAAGUCUGGGAUGCUUCGCAACAAUCUGUUCAAGUAGUUUCCAGGGGUAAACAGACCCAGUUGGGUUGGAAGGAGAACAAAUAAUAAGCAAUUUUGAUUUCUCUGGACUCAAGAAUCUUUGGAUCUAAAAGAAAGUUUUCUGAGAUGUGGGUCGGCAGAAUCACAGGCAUUGCAUCAGCUAUCCUGACCAUUUCUGGAUAACUCAUCCAAUAAGGAGCUGGAAUAAUAACCUGAACAAAAAAUAUGAAAGGCUGUAAGUCUCAACAAACUUCACAGUUGGACAUAUUACACAUUAAUCAUUUCAAUAUUAAACAUUUACCAGCCCAUAUUGCUCCCUGCGUUAUUAAUAUGCCCAAAGCCAUAGUAAGUUACAACUUCUAAAUCAAGUGUUUCACUUCAACCACAUAAUACUAAAAAGUACACAUGUAAGAGCAAGCACAAUCAAACAAAAGCUACCGAAUAAAUUACAUAGAGAUUAUGCAAAAUCAUUUAUGAUACAUUAGCACGGCAAAAAAUAGUGUGCAAGCAGAGAAAUUGACUAAUCUAUUUAAUGUUUUUGCUUUCUGCAUGCACUUUACUCUCUUCUUUAUAAAAUGCAGCUUCCCAAUAGGCUACUAACUUCCUGUCGAGUAAUGCGACUAAAUGAACACCUAGACUAUUAAAUAAUUUGAUCUUACAAAAUAAAUGCAUGAACUGUAAUAGGCUAUCAGGAAAAAAUUAAGCUAGUCAUAUACUUUUGAGUAUACCAAUGUGAAAUUUCUAAACAAUCUAAGGCAAAGAGAAACUAGAAUAGAAAUAUAUACGGCACCAAUAACGAGGUAUGAUGAAAAGAGCAGGGAAAGAAUCAUAAGCCUCUUACCUCCACAGCAUAUGGAAUGAUGCCAAGGCCGGUGAGAUAUGCACUAUGACCAGGAAUAUCUUCUUGAAUUUCAAGACAUCCGCACUCCAUAAGCACAAGAUGAAUAAUGGACAAGCUAAGGGUCAGCAUAUAUCUGCCUUCCAAUGCCAACUGCAGGACGGCUGGAAUUGUUGAGAGCCAAUAAGGGAAAAUUGGCAAUAAAGGGCUGAUGAAUGCAAGUACAGUUGACAUGUACAAGAAAUGUAUAAAGUAUAGUCUAAAUAAAAGCCAAGUAAGACAUCCCUGAAAGACAACAAUCUCAGAAGUUGCCAGUAGAACACGAACUUCAACACAUCUGGACCUUUCAGAUGGUGAAAUGGGAAUCAUACACAUCAUUUGUUAUGUGACUCCACAAGAAUUUGAUGUGAUAAAAUAAUACAAGACCCAUAAGAAAAUCAUCAACUGAGACACAAAAUUAAAAAUACGUGCUGCUCCGGACACAAUGGAAUUACCAAUUAUGAACACGAGCUUAGCACUUCCACCUAGAACUUAUUUACCACCGGCAAAUACGCCUUGCAUCACGUCCAAUCCUUGAAAGGCAAACCCCUUUGCCUUCUCAACCAAAUCCUCCCUUGUGAUCAUUAAUUCCUUAAAAACCGCGUCAACUUCCGUAUAAAUUUCCCCCCAAUCACGAUUAGUAACCCUCUUCUUCAAACUUAGAAGUUUCUAAGUGUAAGGGGAUGGAGUCAUCAAAGCAGUGGACUUUGAAGAAUAAUUUAUUGUUCGAGUUAUUACAAAAUGCCUAAUUCCAGUAACAAAUUAUGUCAUACUAUACUGCAUUGCCAAACUAUCAAUCUUAUCAGACACGAUAUCAUAAAAUUGUGUAGUGUAAAUUCUGAAAAUAGCCUACUCUACGUUCAGCUUUCUCAUUUACAUCCAACUUGUUCUGCUUUUUUGAAAAUAGGCGACUUGAAUACAUGUUUACGACCAAAGCUUAAUUGAACAGAUAUCCUGAAUGUCCACAACACAUCCUAAGAAGAAAGUUGAUAUUUCUGAUUUACUUAUUGACAUUCAGUUACAUAGCUAUUUCUUGCACGUAUUUUCUUAAUCUAGAAUUUUUUAUUUACUCAUCAAAGCAAAUUCAUGACAAAUUAAAAGGCCAUUAUUGUGUAAUCAUAAUAAAUUUAUAAAAAUUUGCACAAAAUUGGACAAGUGAAUACAUAAAGUAUAAAUGGAUUAAAAGUAAUUGAGUAAUGAGCCAGGAUAUUAGACUUGAAUGUUAUAUUGUUCUUGUCAGAACAUAGAAAGCUGAAAAACUAUAUCACUUCUCUUAUUCAAACUUAAAAGAACAAUAUGUUAGCAUCACUGGCUUUCUGUGUUGAACAAUCAAUUCCGAUCACCGACGAAGAGUACAACACAGGGAAGAUGUUGUUAUCUUUUGUCAAGGCCUUUGAAAGUGGAAAUGAUGUGAACAACUGCUUCCAAGCAUCUUUGUUGCUGCUCCAACCAAGACAAGAAAGCACUAUCUAUCAAGCAAAAGACAUUGACAUGCAGAAGCUGGUAACCAGAAGAAUCGGCCAUGCCCCACCUUGCAAAAUAAAAGCACGGGGGAAAUCCCUUUUCAAAUCUUCCUUCACUUGAGCAACAUUCUUACAACUGGAGAAUCCCAUGUAACUGAGGAAUACAAGCAAAUCAAAGGGUCCAAAAAUCAGGCCAUCCAUUGCCACACUGAAUUAGGCUGUAGUUUGAGUCCAACCCUAAUAAAUAGGUCCAUACCUUCAUACCAACCGCAAAAAAGGAGAAAAUAUUAAUAGGAAAAUCCUCCCACAAGUGAAUAGAGAAACACAUGCAUCUCAUAGAAAGUAAGAUAUUCAACUUUUAUCUGUCAACUAAUCUGUGAAAUUCGAAUUAGCCAGUUCCCUUUUGGAAAAGAUAUGAUGCAUCCACCAAGGUAUCUGAAGCUUAUAUCUAUAAAUAAUAGAGUUGUGUUUGUAAUUCCAGUUGUUUUAAAUAAAACACGUUUAAUGUUGAGAUGCUUCUUUUUUUAUUGAGGAAUGUAAAAAUAUUUAGUUCCAUAUGAACCUCUUAAUUUUCUCGAGGAUAUAUACGUACAUUUAUGACUGAAAUUCUACUGUAAUAUAUAGACGUAUGUUUUCUCAAAUAUUUUGCAAAUUUUUGGAAUAAUAUUUUGUGCACUUAAAAGCCCUUCAGCAGACUUAUGAAGCAUUCUAGGGAAUGCAAAACAGCACUACCAGAGAAGUUAAAAGGUGUUAGAGGACCUCUAUUAGCAAAGUCUUGGUGAAGCACCUCACAACUCUUUACAACCACUGUAUUGCCAGACAAUCAUCCAUAGGGGAAGAAGGUAUGCAAACUAAAGUGAACACUCAAAGACUGUAAAAAGAACGUCACAAUCAGAGAAAUUCAUAAUGGAAUAAGAAUAAACAAACAAUCAAAAGCAUAUCAGAAGUGGCAAAAUGGUCCAAUAAAACCAAGACCAAACAUGUUUGUGAUUGCAACCCGCUUUCAGCCAGAAAACACCUGCAUACUUGAAGUCAGCCAGAAAAAUUACCAACUAAAUCAAUAGGAACUGUGAUGAGAAAGGCCUGAGCACUAAAGGUGGCAAGCCACCAUUCUACAUGUCUCUAAAUGCAUCAGUUAUACUCAAUAUAGAACAUGAGAUAGAAAAGCCCAUAUUUACCAACAAAGAACACCACCGAGAUGCAAGCAACUCCAAUGGCAUUUUAAGAACACGGAAGAAACAAAGUCCAAGGCGCUCCUGGGAUUACCAAAGCAUAUAUAGUUGGCUUAAAUAAAGAUCAUUUAGUGGAGCAGUCAUUUCAGAAUCAUAGUGUUGAACCAAUUAUGAUCAUUAAGAUAGGAACGAUGGAACCAUUUGAUUAGACUGUUAGCCUAGUAAGCUAGCACAAUACCAUAAUUAUGGUGAUAGUUUUGUAAUGAAAUUUGACUUUCAACAAAAUUCCACAGCAGCAAUUCUUGCAGUCGCAACAUUAUCAAGGGCAUCCAAUUGGGCAAGAUUAUAUUCCCAAAAUCCAAAUCACUCCAAAUCAAUUCCAAGAUUCAAUAACCCUUUAAAAUAACAAAUAAAAAUUCCAUCUUUUAGCAUCUCAACAUUCACUGUUUGAAACUUAUACCACAACAAAAGAACCAGUCCUUUACAUCACAAACACCCCCCAAACAAAAUUCUGAAACUGCAACAACACCAACCUACCAAAAAUCCAAAUCAGUCGGAAUUAAUUCCAAAAUUUAGGCAAAUAACAGAUAAAAGAACAUGUUACCUUGUAAGUGUCAAGUUUUCUUGAUUCAACAGCAACAAGGAAGAUCGUAUGUUCGAUUCAAUAGUAACAAGGAAGAUCGUAUGUUCGAUUCAACAACAACAAGGAAGACUGUAUGUUCGAUUCAACAGCAACAAGGAAGAUUUGGGCAUAGACUUCAAUUCUUGGUCUCCGUGUUCUAUAAUUCGAAUUUUGCGACCUAGGUUGGUAUGUUCAUUCGCAGCUCAGGUUUUGUUUUGGACAGACACAAGUGAGGAGAGAGACUGAAAAAAGAAAAAACAGGGAAGGCUUAAAUAGGUAUGCUAGUUAAGGGGUAAUGUCAUUUAAGAAGGUAUGCCUUUAUUUUGCAAAAUCUACGGUCAACAAAAUUCUGAUCAAACGAGCAUAAUAAAAAGACAAAGAAAUGAAAUCACAUUCACCUAAGGCCACUUCCAGGUUGACAAGAUAUUAUAUGUUUCGCGUACAUUUAUCUAUUAAAAUCAUCAAAAGAUGACAUUUUUACGUGUGUUGGCAACAAACCUUAACAUGCAUCAUGAAGGCUGAAGUUCACAUUUGGGACAGAGAUGGUGUUUAUACCUGGUUGGUUGCACACAGAUUUCCAAUUAAAAGUACGUAGUAGAUUUUAUAAUAACAAGUGACACAUGAUAUGGCUGUAAUGUUUGUUUUGCGUUGAACAAAAUUGCACACAGAUUUCUCUUAUAUUCUCUGGUUCUCUACAGAUCUGUCUGCCAAAUUCAUUACAAUAAUUUUAGCUUCUUUACAUACAUUUUAAAACUGGAGUUGAAUCUUAGAGUCCAUCGAUUGCUUCUACAUUACAUCUCCGACUGAAUUUCACUAAUCUAUAGGUUACAGUUAUCGGAUUGCCAAAGGAAGAAGAAAACCUGGAAAACGAACGAAACCGAGCUGAAAUAGUCAUAUACAGCACAGAAACCAAAUAACCUGAUGUAACCCGAACCCGCUUCACAACCCGAUCCAGACCCGGAACUGUACGAACCGUAAAAUCACCAAACGCUUACUGCACGAACUGUAAUUCAGCUCAGCACUGCAUAGAAGGGAACCGUACGCAAAGAAAAGAAGGCGCGUCGCAACUCCGAUUGGGAUGCGCCGUCUCCGACCAACUUUCCGGAAAAUUGAAUAAUAGAUCUGUAAUGGAAGCAUAGAGUUUUUAUUGGUUACUUGGAAGUGAGCAAGCUGAUUAAACUUAACCCCACAAGCUUACCAAAAUGACUAGCCAGGUAUGCGAAGCCAUCAUCGUGCCAAAUAGCAAGAGGGACGUUACGAAAUCUGAUCCAAAUUGGGAUAGAAGAAGGUUCAGCCUUGAUCAAGUCCAAACCCUGCUGCCAUCGAGUGCCCCAAAUGGUCUUGGUCCAGUAAGUUGCACAGUGGAUAGAUUUCUUACCACCAACAAACACUGAGGUGUAAGUUGCACAGUGGAUAGAUUUCUUACCACCAACAAACACUGAGGGAAACUUGAGAGGACGGAUCUUAUGAUGGAAUAAGGAGAAGCCCCUUGAAGAAGAAUCAGGAUCAUCACUCACGUGACCACCUGAAGAGCAGGAGGCAGCCUCACAGACGAGGAGAUAAGAAGUCACCAAAGUGAGCAGAGGACUCUGCCACAGAGUAUUUUAUGAAAAUAGCCUCAAAAAAAACUGAAAUGGCUUCAGCUAACAUUUGCUCACACAUUAGCUUUUAUAAUAAAUAAAUAAAUAAAUUAUUCCAAUGUCAUUUGAAAUGGGGUUCAAUUUUUUUAUUUUCAAAUUUACUCAAUAAAAAAAAUUAUCAAAUUUCUUUCUUUUUUUAAAAAAAAUAAUUUUUUUAAUUCAGAUAAGUUUUUUGUAUAAAAAAAUAUGAUUAACAAGAAUAAAAAAAACUGAUUAAGAACAAUAAUGAUCAUGAUAGCAUUCCAACGCCAGUCCAAGUGGCUUUGAAUUUGAAUUAUUAUUUUCUACACGAGUUCAUCUGACAUUUAGCCUAUUUUUAGAAAAAAGUGAACAAAAUGGAUGUAAAUAAUCUUUACUAUUUAAGUGGAUCAAGUAUAAUUUGCAACACAUUUUUAAAAUAACUCUUUGUUCGAUAACAAUAAUAAAUAUACUUCAAAAACUAAAACAAAUAAUAACAAAGUGAUUUCACAUUCAAAAAUGAUUUCAAUAUAUACAACAUAUGUUUCAAUCCACAACCUUAGCGACUAAAGUUACAAUAGCCCUAUAACACAGCCCAAAAGUUAGAUAAUAUCAAUUCUCAUACACCCUACUAAGUAGGUAUCUAUAAAGUGCACCCUCCCGAAGGGCCUAAUUUACUUUAUCAUUCCUAAUUCCUAGUUCCUUCAAGCAUUGACAUUCACACCACAUGAUCCUAAUGCACAAUAUCUUCAUAGCAAAAUUUCAUUUGCGAUUUUCCAUCACUUUGUCAAACGAAAAGACCAAAUACAUGUGUCUUAAUAAGUAGGUACUCACAACUUGUUCGCAGCAGUACCUAGUACAACUAUCUGGUUAAGAAGCUUAAAACACAAACUCUUCCCCUGCUGUUCCAUUCGGCAGUGCUCAGUCCUUCAUCCCUUGUAAAGCUUCUGUCGUCGAAUCAUCUAUGUCCAACAAGCAUUGUAACCGCGACAGUUUUUCAGGCACUGGCUCGCUCUUCAGGUAUAUAAGGAAGAGAUCAGUGAGCUCCUCCGACACCUCCCAUGAUAACGGUUUAGAUGGUACAGCCUUGUCACAAGCUAACAAAUCAUUGAGAGAGGAAACCUACAUGUAGAGAAUGAAACAAUAAGAAUUACUGAUCUAUGUUCAGAUUUACAGUGCUUACUUUUACAUGUAAUGAACAAUAAUCCAUAAGCUAACAAGUUCAUACCACCCCUGAAUGGUUUCUCUGCCUCAGUAGUGCCACAGCCUGAAUUAGUGAGUUUGACAACCUACUUUGUGCAAGUUCGUGAACAACACACCUUGCCUUUUCAGAAUUGAUGUUGAGAUCCUGCGGAAUUUUUUGAUAUACUUCCUCUUCAUCAAACUCCCCAGUUCCAGAUGAGAAAAUCUCAUCAACCGUUUUCUUGAAGAGGCUCUCGCGUAAGCUAAAUGAUAUCAUUCUGUCUAAAUCAAUUCCAGUUUCCUCAAGUUCUCUUAUCUCCUUUAUACUAAGCCUCCCUCGACCAACAACACUUUCUAGGGCAGCCGACAUUUUUGUAGUUGUUAUACUCUUUAUUAUCUUUUGAGAAUACUGAGAAGGCAAACCCACUUGCUUUUGCAACUCAUUAAGCUGCUCAAUCCUGGCUUUUGUUAGUUGUCCAUCCGCCAAGAUCACCUCAGCUUGUUUCCUAAAAGCUUGCUCGGCUAAGCCUUUGUGUACUUGCACAAUUUCCUUGUCGAUCAAACCCAGGAUUCCUCCAAGCUGGUUUAGCAGAACAUAUUCAGAAUCAUCCUUCUUUGUGGUGAUUUGUGCACCAAAAGGGAUCCUGGUUACCUCUACGGUUAGACAAAAUAGCAAGUAUGUCUUGUAAAGAUCAGUUUUAUCCCUUUCUGGGAGGUCAUCUUCAAGAGUAAUCUCUGUCUGGCUUGGCUUCUCCAAGUUUACCUUGCUUGGUCUUACUUUUCGAAGUGACUGCAGGGAUUCCUAUUCCUCAUCCUCUUCUAAUUAUCCUUCCUCCUUAACAAGAUCUUCUGAUGUAGUAUCAGAUGAUUCUCCUUUAAUAUCUGCUAUCAACUCAGUCACAACCAAGUUGUUGAAUGCUAUCAUCUUUUUAAGUUCUUUUGCAGCCUCCAUACGACUCCCAGAUGCUCAUGAUCAUUGAAUGUAGCUGAUGAAAAUCUUGCGAACCUGAAUCCAUAAUCGAAGUCAUUUGGAUCAAAGAGAAUGUUGAUUUCAGAAAAAUAAUCUCAGUAUACCAUGUGACCCAAACAUUAAGCUGUUGCAAGGUGACGUGUUAGCAACCUGCUACUCCCACUCAGACACUUCCAAGUAAAUCAAAGGAAAAGUAAAAGCAAGUUGAAUAUAGAUACUCACAGCCUUACUAGCAAUAGACAUGGCGACCUCCCUGGUUAAACGUAAACCAUAAGCAGCCUUCCUCACAGAUUGCUUGACAUCCGCAUCAUACCCACUGACUCCUGCAGCAAUUGCAUCCUUCACAACCUGGAAAAACAAUUUUUUUUAGAAACUUUUGAACAAAUAACCUUAUGAGAUUUAGAAAUGAAUUAAGGGUGUCAACACCUAUUACUUAAGGGAGUAGAUGGUCUUGAUUAGCAGUGAGCAAACCUAUCUAGCCUUGAUUAGGGAGAUUCAAGAGAGUGAACAAGCACAUAAAUGAGUUUAAGCUUUCAAGGAAUCAACUCAACUAUAAAUACUGAACUAAUAUUGUGUUAAUCAGUCCUUAAGUUGUUACUUAGCAGAGUGUGUAUCAUAGAGAAUGGCAAUUAAGGGAAAUGGUAUAUUAAGAUGAAUGGACGCUUGAAACUAAAAUUCAAUACCCAAACAGAUCUAAGUAAUAUAAUUGAAGAAAUCACAAUUUAUAUUGCCUAGUGAAGAAUAGAGCAUAUUUCAAUUCUAUUGAAUAGAUGUUUGUAUGCAAUUUUAAAGAUGGGCUAUAGAUAUAUGAUAUAAUCAAGUUGGUUAGAAGUUAAUGCUACCAUAAACAACUACAAAUUGGUGUCCUAAUCCUUAGUUGGAGGUCAGCUCGCAGAAACAGAGCAUUUGCGAAUUUGUUGCUUGAUUUACUCCUUUUUGCGCUUCUUAUACUGCUUCCAAAUAUGACCCCGCAGAAACAGAGCAUCCGUGAAUUUGUUGCUUGAUUUACUCCUUUCUGUGCUGCUUGCAAUGUUCUAAAAAGCGCUAGGCGGGAGGCGGGCGGCCGGAGGGGCCUAGCGCCUAAGGGGCCUGGGGGGGCCUAGGCGGGAUUUUUUAUUUUAAGCCAAUUUUAAUUUUUUAUCUAACAUUUAUCCAAAUAAAACAAUAAUAUAAAACAAAACAACCUAUAAUAAAGAUAAUAAAGACAUUUGCUUGAAGUUCAAACACAUCCAUAUUGUUAAUGUAAAAGUUCAAACACAAGCAUGCAAUUGUCCAAAUGGUACUGUGGGACUCGUUUGAUGAUGUAUGAAUUGUAUGUGAUAAUUGGAGAGUUUUGAAGAGUAGAGAAAUUUAACGUAGAGAUUAGAAGAAAUUGAGACUGAGGAAUAUAGAAGAGUUAGAUCGAGAAAAUAGAAGAACUGGAGACUGAUAAUUGAUUUGAUACCAACUGUUAAGCCUCCCACCGGAGAAACUUAGGGAAGAAGAUAAUGGAGUCGAGAAUGAGAACUCCCAACUUUAAUUCAUUUCAAUGUAUAGCUCAAUACAUACAUAGAUAGAUAUCACAGGAAUUCUCGGAUAAAUUAAAAGAAAAGACAAAUUUUCUCUCUAACUACUCUUAUGACACAUGUUACCUUAAUUCUAGAACUAUCCUGAUCUGGCUAUUCCUACUUUACCCCUAUAUUCUCUGCAAUUUCUAACAUAUAUAUAUAUAUAUAUAUAUAUAUAUAGACACACAUGCAUACAUAUAUGUUUGUGUAUAUAUACAUAUACUUCGGGAGGACAGGUGAAGUCCUGACAAUAAGCACUGGCAAAAAAAGAAUUUCUAGAAACCACGACUUUUCUGAUUUUCUAAAAACCUGAAUGACAUGAUAGAGUACUCAAAAACAGAAACUGUAAGAUUUCUUGUUAUCAUCUUUGUUGGUCCAAAUAGACUACCUCUGGUCCUCCAGUAUAUCCUCAGGGCAGAAGCAAUGCAAUGGUCUUUUAGUCUAAAAUGUACUCUGCAUUAAAAAUAAUAAUACUAACAGGGGGGAAAAGAGGGAGCAGAGUAUAGUGAUUACCUUUUCAAACGAAUUGCCACAUAUAUCAGCAUGAGCUGCUUCCACUGUUUGUCUAGGAAUGCAAAGCAUAACCUGCAACCUCUCCAAGGACUUAACAUCCUCCUCAGUGAGCCCUCCAUCAGAUACAGCUUGCUGAAGCUUUUGUUGGUAAAUUUCUAGAAAUAUAUUAAACAUGGCUACAUCAGACCUAUUCUUAAUAUUACAACUAGAUAAUAUAUGUAAAAUUACACACAAGUAUAAAAAAAACUAAAAUAUGAUUUUGGUUCCUUUUUCUCACCAUAUAUGACUAAAGCAACUCAAUGUCAAGAUUUCAUUCUGCAAAGAUAGAGAAAAAUUCAAAUGCUUUAUGUGGCAGAUUUUAAUCUUAAGGUACAAACGUGUCCACGGCACAAGUCCACUGGCUUGACAAGAAAACCAAAUCCCAGAGUAUGAUAUGCGUACAAGUCCAUGCAGUGUGUUCAAAAUAGCAGAUAUCACAUAGUUGCCAGAUAUUACACCACAGCUUACCAUCAUGGAUCUCAACAGCUUUCUGUGUAUCAAAGUUACAAAACUAUUAUGCAUAACAAGCAUCCCAAAUAAAAAUCCCAGUAAAAAGCAAUCUGGAGAUCUUGACAUUUAAAACAUUGAAUAAUGAUUCUACAUAAAUUUUAAGGAAAAGCAAAUCAGUUUUAAUAUAAAAAAUAAAAAAAAAUUUGGGGUCAAGGGCACAGGUUUGCAAUUCUUCAGAAUGAGAAUGAAGGGAUUUUUGAUACUCUGGGUUUUAACCUGUAUCUAUAUUAUUAGAGAUUCGCUAACGGGCUCAUUUAGAACUUCAUUUCGAUUAUACAACAUUAUUAACUUUAGAAAGUUCUUUUGUUGAAGAAUUUCAGAAAUUCUUCUCUAAGUAAGAAAGGUUUCUCACUUUCUGUACUUCUGUGAAAAGCAUAAGCAAGCAAGCAUUACAGGGGUAAAAUUAUGUGUUCAAUCCUCAUUGUUAACAAUUAUGAAACAAAGAUUUGAUACUCAAAUUUUCAGAGAAUAGAAUCUUAAGAAACAAUUUAUAUUAUUUUAUUUAAACAAACCAAAUUCCUGCACCCAAUCCUUCUCUACUGAUUAGUGUCAAUGGUCUCUGAAUUUGUUAGAGAGUUUCUUUAGUAGAUUAUUCUUCUCUUUUCAUCAGGGAGAACUAUCACUUUGCUUUGGCAAAUUAUAUUUUGAAGAAAAGGGCUCCAGCGAUUAGGUUUUUGUUUAGUUGCUGGUUCACGAUAGGCUCGAUAUUUACAAUUUGCUUCAGCACCAUGGAUCUCAUAAGGUCUUAUCUCCAAAUGUUUGUGUAUUGGGCAUGUGCACUAGUGAGACUAGUUCUUACAUGUUUCUUCAUUGACGUAUGACGUGGAAGCUUUGGACUUUUGUCUUCACUUUAGGGGCAUUGAGAGAGGUAUAUGCUAAAUCAAGUAAAUAAAGAAUAUGGUUCAUCUUAAAUUAUUCAAAAGCAUAAGGUAUUAAAGGAAGAAAGACGACUGUGGGCGAGAAAGAGAGAUGAUAGUCCCCACUCUCGAUCAGAGGAUCCAGUAGGCUCUCGAGCAUCAUUUAUCAAUUAUGAAAGAAAGAUGAAGCAAAUAGAAACAUAAAAAAAACCAGCUUUAGAAGAAACUGUACACCUAGUCUACUUGAGGAGCACAUAGUGAAGUAUGUAUAUUUAUGCAUGCUAGAGUAGAUUUGCUUAUUUGUGUGUCACAAACAUACAAGAGAGAGAGAGAGAGAGAGAGAGAGAGAGAAAAGAGCAUUACUUGCAUAUGUUUGUAGAUCUGCAACGUGUAGCUCAAGUCACGGGCAUUAACAUUCAUCAUACUGUUGAAAACAUAAAGAUUUGGGGUAAUCUUUUGAGUUCGUAAAUCCUGCAGCAAAUAAACAUGAAACAGCAGCAUAAGAACAUCCAGAAAUAGCUCGGUAUUACUACAAGUCUGCUAUUCAAGAAUCAAAUUGUAGUUGUGAUAGAGAACCAAAACUAGAUUAACAAAAAGUUUUUGCCUGUCAUUCUGACAACCAUGUAGCCACAUAAUUGAUAUUGUCUACAAGUUAAAAAAUUGCUCAAGCAUGAAAAUCAAUUUUAAAGCUAGUCAACAGAUAAUAUUACUCCUUCCCUUGCAACCAAUAUAAACUUGAUUUUAACCCAACUCUUAAAUUUUAAUAGCCCAUUGCACAUGCAAAAAGGAUGCACACUUUAAGUACCAUACAAAAAAUCUUCCUAAUUCAUCCUUAAGCAAAUGUGAAGUGCUAACAUCAAAUGGUCAUUUAAGUAACGAAGGCCAUCACUAUCAAACUUUAUCAAAGAUAUCAAUGGUUAAUAUGAGAAUAUUAUGGAUCCUCUAGUCUAGCCAUUAUUCCUCAGGAGAAUAUGCUUCUACAUGAUGAUGGACCCCAAAUAAGUUUUACUGUUAAUCUUAAUACUUAUACAAAAGAUAAUCCAGUACUUAAAAGAACAAUUCCAAAUGACUAGAUAAGCAUGUAAGAUAUAAACAACUAAGUGUGCGAAGUUUGUGAACAAGUGUUGGCAAGUACCUCAUAAAUGGACCUCGAUCUCAAGAAGUCACUACAAAGACCACAUACAUCUAUUAUUGUGAAGUAGAUGUACAUAUUAGGACUACCCAUAUCUUUGUUGGAUGCUUCAAAGAUAUUCAGAGCAGACACUAAGUCACCUUUCUUCCCAAAUUGAAGAAUUAUGCCCAUUAAAUUACCACCGAGAAUCCCCAUUAAAUCAAAAAGUUCCUCCACUUCACCGCGUUUAACAAUCCGGCAACAUUCUCUCCGAAACGCCUCUUUUGUAGCCCCAUCAAACAACUCCAAAGGACCAAUCCCUAGCUUCUGAGCACCACUCAACGCAUCCAUCAAUCUCCUAAUCUCCCCUUUUUCUACCAUUUCAACAACUCCCAUCGAAACAAGCUUGGAGUUGAGCAAAGCCACGAAUUGGGAGGGUUUUAUGAUUCUCCCAAAAGAAACCGCGCGAAAAAAGGCGAAGAACAGCGGGAAACGGUCAUGUACCGGACAGAACCCAUAUAACCUAAGGGAACUUGAAAACACGUCCAUUAAUGGGGCUCCGACCCGUAACUGUACGAACCGUAAACUAACUAAACCGUAACUGUACGCACUGUACACCUGUUCCGAACAGCAGGGGACGAGUAACCGCAGGGAACGAAGAGCAUGGCACAAUUUAGUGAAAAGUUUCCUUUGAAAUUCAAGUUCUGAAUAUCUUAGUAAUGGCUACAAAGUAAAAUUUAAAAGUAUAACUUUUGGUUUGCUUCAAUCAUUGAGGUGUAAACUGUCAUUGAUACACCAAGAAAAUGAAUCAUAUGAUUUCUGCUAUCAGCAGAUUAGUGCAUUAUAGUUGAAACAUAAAAUCAAAAUACCAAUUUCUUACCUUCCAAGCAUUUUCAAGACUCUGGUCUGUGUUCUCUGUGUUAACUUUGAGGGCAAGCAAGCUAAGCAGUUGUUCUUGUUGCAUUAAUGCAAUAAUCUUUGGGUCAUCCUUCUUGAGGUACAUUCCUUGAAUCAUGUCAUUACUGGCUUCUUCUGGAUCCAAGAAGGAUAACUACUCAGUUAUGGUUAUCAAUUAUGCAAAAUUAAAGCUUUUGAAUUUUGAAGAUGGAUACUAUGAUGACUAAAGAGUAAGCAACUUAAUCAAUCUCUAUUACAGUUUUAUUGUGAUAUACCAUCUUUGGUAACCCUUGUGGUGUUGUUGGCGUAGUUUUGAGUUUUGAUGUAACAAGAUUCAUUGUAGUUGUGUUGUGAUGUAGAAUUUAGUCACUGUUAGACCGUUACUACUAAAUACUAAUUACUACUAAUUUCAAAGAUGAAAUUGAUGCAGGCUAUUACUACUAAUUACAUGGAUAUGCUAUUACUGGAAUAAAUGGAACGGGUUUAUACAGGGCAACCAAUUCUAUUACAACCAACAUAAAGAAUGGAGUACUGAAGACAAAUGCACCAAUAAAAAAUAUGCAACUAGCUACUAAUUGGUGAAAUGAUGGAAGAUGGGCAUGUGAGGAUUUUAAAUUUUGCAGAACAAGUACAUGCAUUAUGCAUAUUCUACCAGACUAAACCAGAAACAUUACAAGGCUGCAGAACUUGGUUCCCUAGGACUAAAUAUUCCAGCUUAUACACAUUUUAAUCUAAUAUUGAUAAUUUAAAUAUUUCUCACCUUCACAAGGACGACGUCGUUGCCUUUCCAACUGAGGCAUCGCUCCUUCAUCAUAAACUAUUUUCUCUAGCUCAUCAUAAUUAAGAAAUGGUUCUUCCUCCUCUUCAACAAUCCAAAACUCUGUUUUGGCAAUUGACUCAUAAUCAAUUGGAUCAUAAUUCCAUCUGUUAUAGCAAUGCCUAAAAUUAUGAUUUCAUUUAAUGUUAUAUGAUUUUUUUCCCAUCAACCUAACAUCAUAUAAUAUUAAUUAUUAAAAAUUCAAAGAAAGAUUAAUAGAAUUAAUGAAAAUACCUAUUCUUCAACCUCAAGUUAUAGUGAACAAACACGAGAUCAUCAAGUCUUUGAUGCUCCAACCGGUUUCUUUUCUUGGUGUGUAUGAGAUCAAAAACACUCCAAUUUAUUUCGCACCCCGAUGAACUACUAGUUUGGGUAAGGAAUUUGAUUGCCAACUUUUGUAAAUUUGGAGCACUACUUCCAAACAACCUCCACCACUCAUCUAAAUACAAAUAAAUAACAAUGACAUUAGAAAUCAAUGAAAUAAGCUACAAAGGAACAAAGUUAACAAGAAUAAACAACAAUUACUAAAAUGGAACAAAGUCGAACAAAAAUUAAUAAAUAUAACUUACCUGGUUGAGUAACUAGUCUUCGAAGUAGUAAGUGUAAGCUCCCUACCAAAACUCCCCAUCCGCUCUCGAUAAAUUCUAGUUUCAUCCAACAACUUAACCUUACUAGUGGUGGCAUUUGAUUCAAUGACAUCAAGAAGACCCGCCAUAACUUCCGGCUUCCCACAAAAUGAUUCUUGAUUAUAUUGAAAACAAGGAUUCAACCAAUAUGUGGUCGCGUGAACACUUUUACGCAAUUACUUAUCCCAACACUCCUUGAUAAUUCUUGUAUAAGGCAUGUACAAGCUUUUCUUUUGCCUAAAAACUAUCUUUAUAGCUUUUCUAGCUCUAAACAUGCCAUCAUACAAAUAUGCAAUGGAGGGUGUCUCAUCCAUAUCAACAAUUCUCAAUAAACGCAUCAAAGGCUCCACAAUUUUGGUUACAAUCAAACAAUCAUUCCAAAAAAAAUUCUCCGAUAUGUAAGAAGCCACAACCUUGCCUUGUGCAUCCUUUGCAUAUUUUUACUCCUUAAAAUCCUUACGAGUCACCAAAGCCUGUAAACCAUGCAUAUGAUCAUAAAUAUUAUGCAAUGCAAUGAAAGUCGUGGCAAAACGAGUAGGCCCAUGCAGAUGAUUUGCUAAUGUCAAGAUUUGCAUAGGACACACUUUAAAAUUUAAUAUUAUAAAACUCAUAAAAAAUUGUGUCUAACAAUGUCUUAUACAAACCUAAAUAUUCGAAAGAGGAGAAGUGAACAAAAAAAUGUAGGACUCUCUUUGCCAGACAUGGGAGUAAUAAACAAGCUAAUCAUAAUAAGGGUAAUGAUAAUAUUGGAGCUGAUAAUAAGGGUAAUGAUUAACACUCAUUAUAAACAAGCUAAUCAUAAUGAGUGUUAAAUAUUCGCAAUGACUGUGUUCAUAAGGAGUUUUCAAUGAUUGUGUUCAUAUACAAUACCAUAUAUCCAGUAACACUAGUAACUAUUACAUGGAUAUUUUCAAUGUUAUGCCUUUUAUUACUCGAUUUUCACAACAGUGGACGUACAUAAAAAACAGGCACAAGAAUGUAAUCACCCUCAAUACAUUACCAUAAUUUAUGUAAUGCAACCAUGAGGUGAUCAACCUUGUACCAAAAAAGAGAGAAUGAAAAAUAAUUAACCAAAUCAUUUUUAGCUACAUUACAGAAUUAUUAGCUUGUUAUCUCUAGACCAAGAUUCAUUAGUUUCUUAUAUAGGUUGUACCUGAAGCUCCAACAUCGAUGACCUAUGCUAAAGACUGAAAAUCAGUAUUUAGCUUGUCAAGAUUCAUUGGUUUCUCUUCAAACAUGGUCAAUUCUCAUUUUUGAUAAAAUGAGCUUCAUCAAUUAUAAUAUAGCACCAGCUAAAGCGGCGCAAGGCAUUCUUCUCUUUGAUCACCAUUUUAAAAUUGGUGACACAGACAUCAAACUUCCUAGAAGCUACGUAUGUAUCUCUGAAGAAUAAUAUAUUUAACAUUAGUUUAUUCAAUAACAAUAAAAAUGAGGGGACUGAAGAUACUUAAUCAAGUAGAGCAAUUAAGAACUAAUUCUUUUUUAAGGAUUUCCAAGAAAUUUGACUGCACGUAAAACAGGGCAAAAAGGCCGAAUCUCAAUCAUCCAGUUGCCAAGAGUGGAUUUUGGAGCAACAACCUCGUGAAGACCAGUUAUUCCACUAAAUUCAUGCAGAUAACCAAGCAUGGAGAUGGUUGGUAAUGUUUUACCAAGCCCUUAGACAACAACAAUAAUAUUAACCGGUAAACAAUUAGAUUAACUCGUUAAAGACUUAAUGUAGAUACACUUGUAGUUACAUGCAAAGGUAGUUUGACCUAUUGAUAGGACAAGGAUAUUAGAGAAGCCGAAAAUUCAGAACAUACCAUUUCAUCCGGAAGGAUUUCAUUUAUACCAUUCUCAUAUAAAAUCGUAUAAGCCAAUUUACCCAGCAAGUUGGUAAUCCCUCAUCUUCCCCUAAUAACUGCAGAGGAAAAGUUGAGAAAACAAGAUGCAAAGGAUUAGAUAUUCAAGAAAAGUUGCACAAAAAAAAUCAUACUUUCAUGCUCGGUAAAAAGAGACAUCAAUGAGUAUGAGAGAGAAAGUACCUUCGAACAAAUUAGCUAAAAGAAGAUGGAAGCGUGGAACCAAAUCAGACCCAAAUCGUGGAGCCUCCACUACGCUACCAAAAAUCUCAUCCACCUCAACUUAGAUCUGCUACCAAACAGAUCUGAUAGGAAAAAAUAAACGAGAACGCAACCUCCGGUACUAAAGUAGAGAGACAUUAGAUGAAACAUAUAUAUUUAUAAUGGAACAUACAGUUAUAUGGCAUUAAUUAUUACCUGAUUUGAUCCAGUAUUCAUCUUGUUUCUCCAAUAAUUGUUCCUGCCUCUGAAUACCGUUGCUGCAAUUAGGCAAGACAAGGCUCUCCACAAAGGUACAACCGUCCAAAAAAGGAUAAAUGCCAUGCAUCUCAGUAUCUGUCACUUAAUCCUCCUUUGCAUCAUAAACAACCAUUUUCCACCUGUUAACCAUCAACAAAACUCUCCAUCCCUCAACUACGCUACCAAAAAUCGUGGAGCCUCCACCACGCUACCAAAAAUCUCAUCCACCUCGGCUUAGAUCUGCUACCAAACAGAUGUGAUAGAAAAAAUAAACGAGAAUGCGACCUCCUGUAGUAAAGUAGGGAGAGGAAUCAGAAGAGUAUAUUCAAGUGAUAGUUGAAAAUACAAAAGAUAAAGAAGACUGAAUAGAAAAAUAAGUCUGAAGGGAUAAAUAGAGCGAGGGACGCGGACAAGACUGAAUAGUCACAGUGCACCCUUGUCCUGCCACAAAGUGAUUAGACUGAAGAGCAGUGCAUAUCCCGCCACAAAGUAGAUCAAAAAGUUUUUGAAAGUCUGAAGUGAUAAAUAGAUUACACGAGGGAGGACAUGGACAAAGACUAAAGAGUCGCAGUGCCCUUAUCCAAGCCUCCAACCAGUCAUCGCAAAAGCCUAUAAAAGUAUAAAUUUUGUGAGGCAUACCUUUUUAGAUACAUUAUACAUAACUAAGCAAGAAUAGGCACGAAGGGGAAUUUCAAGAAUGGAAUAGUGUGGAAGAUCUCUAGAUACUAGUUCUAUAAUGUGACUAAACUGUAAUUACCUUAGAAAAUCCAUUCACUGUCAGAGUCCGAUCACACAUGCCUGGCAAAGAUGCAAAGCUUGUGUGANNNNNNNNNNNNNNNNNNNNNNNNNNNNNNNNNNNNNNNNNNNNNNNNNNNNNNNNNNNNNNNNNNNNNNNNNNNNNNNNNNNNNNNNNNNNNNNNNNNNUGCGACUAAAUGAACACCUAGACUAUUAAAUAAUUUGAUCUUACAAAAUAAAUGCAUUAACUGUAAUAGGCUAUCAGGAAAAAAUUAAGCUAGUCAUAUACUUUUGAGUAUACCAAUGUGAAAUUUCUAAACAAUCUAAGGCAAAGAGAAACUAGAAUAGAAAUAUAUACGGCACCAAUAACGAGGUAUGAUGAAAAGAGCAGGGAAAGAAUCAUAAGCCUCUUACCUCCACAGCAUAUGGAAUGAUGCCAAGGCCGGUGAGAUAUGCACUAUGACCAGGAAUAUCUUCUUGAAUUUCAAGACAUCCGCACUCCAUAAGCACAAGAUGAAUAAUGGACAAGCUAAGGGUCAGCAUAUAUCUGCCUUCCAAUGCCAACUGCAGGACGGCUGGAAUUGUUGAGAGCCAAUAAGGGAAAAUUGGCAAUAAAGGGCUGAUGAAUGCAAGUACAGUUGACAUGUACAAGAAAUGUAUAAAGUAUAGUCUAAAUAAAAGCCAAGUAAGACAUCCCUGAAAGACAACAAUCUCAGAAGUUGCCAGUAGAACACGAACUUCAACACAUCUGGACCUUUCAGAUGGUGAAAUGGGAAUCAUACACAUCAUUUGUUCUGUGACUCCACAAGAAUUUGAUGUGAUAAAAUAAUACAAGACCCAUAAGAAAAUCAUCAACUGAGACACAAAAUUAAAAAUACGUGCUGCUCCGGACACAAUGGAAUUACCAAUUAUGAACACGAGCUUAGCACUUCCACCUAGAACUUAUUUACCACCGGCAAAUACGCCUUGCAUCACGUCCAAUCCUUGAAAGGCAAACCCCUUUGCCUUCUCAACCAAAUCCUCCCUUGUGAUCAUUAAUUCCUUAAAAACCGCGUCAACUUCCGUAUAAAUUUCCCCCCAAUCACGAUUAGUAACCCUCUUCUUCAAACUUAGAAGUUUCUAAGUGUAAGGGGAUGGAGUCAUCAAAGCAGUGGACUUUGAAGAAUAAUUUAUUGUUCGAGUUAUUACAAAAUGCCUAAUUCCAGUAACAAAUUAUGUCAUACUAUACUGCAUUGCCAAACUAUCAAUCUUAUCAGACACGAUAUCAUAAAAUUGUGUAGUGUAAAUUCUGAAAAUAGCCUACUCUACGUUCAGCUUUCUCAUUUACAUCCAACUUGUUCUGCUUUUUUGAAAAUAGGCGACUUGAAUACAUGUUUACGACCAAAGCUUAAUUGAACAGAUAUCCUGAAUGUCCACAACACAUCCUAAGAAGAAAGUUGAUAUUUCUGAUUUACUUAUUGACAUUCAGUUACAUAGCUAUUUCUUGCACGUAUUUUCUUAAUCUAUAAUUUUUUAUUUACUCAUCAAAGCAAAUUCAUGACAAAUUAAAAGGCCAUUAUUGUAUAAUCAUAAUAAAUUUAUAAAAAUCUGCACAAAAUUGGACAAGUGAAUACAUAAAGUAUAAAUGGAUUAAAAGUAAUUGAGUAAUGAGCCAGGAUAUUAGACUUGAAUGUUAUAUUGCUCUUGUCAGAACAUAGAAAGCUGAAAAACUAUAUCACUUCUCUGAUUCAAACUUAAAAGAACAAUAUGUUAGCAUCACUGGCUUUCUGUGUUGAACAAUCAAUUCCGAUCACUGACGAAGAGUACAACACAGGGAAGAUGUUGUUAUCUUUUGUCAAGGCCUUUGAAAGUGGAAAUGAUGUGAACAACUGCUUCCAAGCAUCUUUGUUGCUGCUCCAACCAAGACAAGAAAGCACUAUCUAUCAAGCAGAAGACAUUGACAUACAGAAGCUGGUACCUUAGAGGAACAAAUCGGAAGUUGGCAACCAGAAGAAUCAGCCAUGCCCCACCUUGCAAAAUAAAAGCAGGGGGAAAAUCCCUUUUCAAAUCUUCCUUCACUUGAGCAGCAUUCUUACAACUGGAGAAUCUCAUGUAACCGAGGAAUACAAGCAAAUCAAAGGGUCCAAAAAUCAGGCCAUCCAUUGCCACUUUAGUAUACACAAUCCGCACUGAAUUAGGCUGUAGUUUGAGUCCAACCCUAAUAAAUAGGUCCAUACUUUCAUACCAACCACAAAAAAGGAGAAAAUAUUAAUAAGAAAAUCCUCCCACAAGUGAACAGAGCAACACAUGCAUCUCAUAGAUAGUAAGAUAUUCAACUUUUUUCUGUCAACUAAUCUGUGAAAUUCUAAUUAGCCAGUUCCCUUUUGGAAAAGAUAUGAUGCAUCCACCAAGGUAUUUGAAGCUUAUAUCUAUAAAUAAUAGAGUUGUGUUUGUAAUUCCAGCUGUUUUAAAUAAAACACGUUUAAUGUUGAGAUGCUUCUUUUUUUUUUAGGAAUGUAGAGAUAUUUAGUUCCAUAUGAACCUCUUAAUUUUCUCAAGGAUAUAUACGUAUAUUUAUGACUGAAAUUCUACUAUAAUAUAUAGACGUAUAUUUUCUCAAAUAUUUUGCAAAUUUUUGAAAUAGUAUUUGUGCGCUUAAAAGCCCUUCAGCAGACUUAUGAAGCAUUCUAGGGAAUGCAAAACAACACUACAAGAGAAGUUAGAAGGUGUUAGAGGACCUCUAUUAGCAAAGUCUUGGUGAAGCACCUCACAACUCUUUACAACCACUGUAUUGCCAGACAAUCAUCCAUAGGGGAAGAAGGUAUGCAAACUAAAGUGAACACUCAAAGACUGUAAAAAGAACGUCACAAUCAGAGAAAUUCAUAAUGGAAUAAGAAUAAACAAACAAUCAAAAACAUAUCAGAAGUGGCAAAAUGGUCCAAUGAAACCAAGACCAAACAUGUUUGUGAUUGCAACCCGCUUUCAGCCAGAAAAAUUACCAACUAAAUCAAUAGGAUUUGUGAUGAGAAAGGCCUGAGCACUAAAGGUGGCAAGCCACCAUUCUACAAGUCUCUAAAUGCAUCAGUUAUACUCAAUAUAGAACAUGAGAUAGAAAAGCCCAUAUUUACCAACAAAGAACACCACCGAGAUGCAAGCAACUCCAAUCGCAUUUUAAGAACACGGAAGAAACAAAGUCCAAGGCGCUCCUGGGAUUACCAAAGCAUAUAUAGUUGGCUUAAAUAAAGAUCAUUUAGUGGAGCAGUCAUUUCAGAAUCAUGGUGCCGAACCAAUUAUGAUCAUUAAGAUAGGAACGAUGGAACCAUUUGAUUAGACUGUUAGCCUAGUAAGCUAGCACAAUACCAUAAUUUUGGUGAUAGUUUUGUAAUGGACUUUGACUUUCAACAAAAUUCCACAGCAGCAAUUCUUGCAGCCGCAACAUUAUCAAGGGCAUCCAAUUGGGCAAGAUUAUAUGCCCAAAACCCAAAUCAAUGCCAAGAUUCAAUAACCCUAUAAAAUAACAAAUAAAAAUUCCAUCUUUUAGCAUCUCAACAUUCACUGUUUGAAACUUAUACCACAACAAAAGAACCAGCUCUUUACAUCACAAACACCCCCAAACAAAAUUCUGAAACUGCAACACCAACCUACCCAAAAUCCAAAUCAGUCGGAAUUAAUUCCAAAAUUUGGCAAAUAACAGAUAAAAGAACAUGUUACCUUGUAAGGGUCAAGUUUUCUUGAUUCAACAACAAGGAAGAUCGUAUGUUCGAUUCAAUAGCAACAAGGAAGAUCGUAUGUUCGAUUCAACAGCAACAAGGAAGACUGUAUGUUCGAUUCAACAGCAACACGGAAGAUCUGGGCAUAGACUUCAAUUCUUGGUCUCCGUGUUCUAUAAUUCGAAUUUUGCGACCUAGGUUGGUAUGUUCAUUCGCAGCUCAGGUUUUGUUUUGGACAGACACAAGUGAGGAGAGAGACUGAAAAAAGAAAAAACAGGGAAGGCUUAAAUAGGUAUGCUAGUUAAGGGGUAAUGUCAUUUAAGAAGGCAUGCCUUUAUUUUGCAAAAUCUAGGGUCAACAAAAUUCUGAUCAAACGAGCAUAAUAAAAAGACAAAGAAAUGAAAUCACAUUCGCCUAAGGCCAUUUCCAGGUUGACAAGAUAUUAUAUGUUUCACGUACAUUUAUCUAUUAAAAUCAUCAAAAGAUGACAUUUUUACGUGUUGGCAACAAACCUUAACAUGCAUCAUGAAGGCUGAAGUUCACAUUUGGGACAGAGAUGGUGUUUAUACCUGGUUGGUUGCACACAGAUUUCCAAUUAAAAGUACAUAGUAGAUUUUAUAAUUUUAUAAUAACAAGUGACACAUGAUAUGGCUGUAAUGUUUGUUUUGCGUUGAACAAAAUAGUUUGGUGUUUCGGAAGCUCAUAUAUGAAUUGUUUUGGGAUCCCACAAAUAAAUAAUGUAUAAAGCUACAAUAAAUGUUAAUCAUUUACAAAAUCAAAGUCUAAUUAUCUUCAUAAGCCGGGAACUAGAAUCUGUUGGUUUGUUUCUGCUGGAUGUACCAAGAUGAUAUGCAGUGACCAGAAUUUAUGACCAUUAGGAUUACUUUUUCAGAUCUUUAGUCGGAUGUCUUUGGAUCAAAGAGACCGCAUACUCCAUAAAAACUGUAUCACAUGGCAGUGUGAUCGGUCCAUGUAUUUGCAGCCUGUAUUCUUCCUCUGCCAUUGUUAAGAGCUCUAACGGAAUAACAAAUUGUCUCCAACUAUACACUACAAACCGACCCUUAUCAUCUGAGGGCACUAAGGCUCUUGAAAAUGCUAUUCUCUUCACCAGAGUUAAUUCAUCUAAUCAAAAUAUUUUGUAGUAGGAAAAAUAAUUCAUCUAUGAGAACAAUAUUUAAAAUUACAACCCAUAACGGACUCAGAUUCUUCAUCAAGCAACCAGGGAUCAUUUUUAUCUAAUGAUCAACUCCCAUUACUCUAUCUCACCUAACUUGAGCAAUUAGUUUUAUAACUAUGGUGUGUUUUGGACAACAUCCUAUAUGACUGAUCAUUUUCUAAAUAUAUACUCAUCGUUGACAGAAAACUUAUAGAGACCAUAAGCCAUAAUUUACAUCACAUGUAUUUAUUUCUUCGUACAAGUUUUGAAAUGUUAUAGGAGUUGAUUCCUUUCAAAAAUGACUAAAACUAUGCAUAUGAUAUUAGAGAAGGAAAUUUUCAAAUAAUAUAACAGAUAACUGGUCCUCUUGUCCUCUUCCUAAUAAUUAAUAGAACAUUAAUAAAAUGCAUCGCAAGCACUAAUAUUUUAAAUCUUGUUUACAAUUGUUGUUAAUAAAUAAUAAUAUUCAAUAAUUGCAAUCAAAAUGUGAGCACAAGUCUUUUAAGUUUUAAGACAAAUAAAAUGGGCCAAGCAAAAUUGAAACAAUUUCAUUGGGCUGAUGGAUAAAAAGUCUAACAUCUUUUCCAUUGUGAAAAGUAUUUAUCUUUUGUACCAGCCAACUAAAUUAUGAAAUAUCAUAUCAAAGGGAAUUGUUAAAUUCACACAACUUUCAUAGCGAGCACAUUUAACAUCUACUACAGCUGAUAAAAAAAAACUCCUUAUUAAAUAAUAUAUCACGAAUCAUAUGCUAGAAUGAAGCAAUUGGAGACGGCAUCUUAAGAUUGUUAGGAUAUACCAAUUUGUCAUGAGGAACGAAGAAGUACUAUUUUGUUAUAAAACAUUUUAUAUGUCCAAAAUAACGGAAAAAAAGGUUAGGGAAAUCAAGGGGAAUGCAACCUUCGCUGAAUUGGGUAAAUGCCCUUAAAAAAAAUAAGUUGGCAUCAAACAUUGCACUUAAAUAGACAACUUGCCCCUCUAACUAAGUUGUUUCCAGAUUAGUGCAAGUAGCUAAGUUUGAAAUGGCUAAUACAAUAAUACUAAUAGAUAGGACUCCUAAAAUUAUCCAUUCUAAUGCAGCUAUUCAAAUAUUAUAAAUGAUACACAGGACAACUUUUGGUAAAAAAAAUGUUAUAUACACUUUUACAAAUUGCUUAUAAAAAAGAUCAAUAGAGAAAUAAUCCACAAAAUUGAGAAAUACACAUUUUUUAUUAACUAAUUUCAAGUAAUACAUUGAAAAGUAAUUGUUACAUUGUACUUACACGCAUCACGACAAGGUAACAUGUUGGGAAAUCCAGUUCUAGUCACCUAAUCUCCCCUUUUUCUACCAUUUCAACAACUCCCAUCGAAACAAGCUCAGAGUUUUGCAAAGCCACGAAUUGGGAGGGUAUUACGCUUCUCCUAGAAGAAACCGAGAAAGAAACCGCGAAAGAAAAGGCGCCGAACAGCCGGAAACGUUCAUUACCGCACGGAACCCAUAUAACCUGAGGGAGCCUGAUAACCCGCCCCAAAAUGGGGCUCCGACCUGACUGUACGAACUGUAAAUCACCAAACAGUAACUGUACGCACUGUACAGCAGCUCCGAACAGCAGAGGAGGCCUAACCGCAGGGAAAGAAGAGUGGCGCGUGAAGGCACGUCCGACCUCCGAUUUGGUCGAUCUUCCUCCGGCCAAAAAGCCCCGAUUGACUCUGACCAAUCUCAUUUACAUCAUACUCAAUUACUCCAACAAAAUCAUUAAUAAAAACAUAUAAAUUGCACCACUGAAACCAAAGCCUUAGCCAAGUGAACUGUGGCUUCUUGAUCCUUGGCCGCAUGUGGCUGCUGCCUCAUUUGUGUAGAACUAGUAGUUUUGUCUGGUUAAAGCCUUUGUGACACAUAAGCCUUAUCCCGCCACAAAUUAGAAUAGAGUGUAGACCGGAGAGCAGAAGUACAUGAAGUGAUGAAGGGAAGUUUGAAAGGACACGAUUAAAGUGAGAGAAAAGGGAGGGAUGGAUAGAUAGGUUAUGGGUCUUUACAUUGCCCUACUUAUUUUUAAAACGGGUGUUAUGACCAAAUAUAAGUAUACUCAUAUUUUAAAUUUAAAGUUAUUAGGAUACAAUUAAAUUAAUUAUUUAUGAUAUUUAGUUUGUAUAUUUUUUUAUCUUCUAUCUCUAAUAUUUUAUAUAUUUUCUUCUCUUUAAAAAUUUUUAUACACCUUUUCUAAAAAAUUUGUACACUUAUUUUUUUUUUAAUUCUUCUACCCUCAAAUUUUUUAUAUAUGCUUCUCUUUCAAAAUUUAUACUCUUUCUUAAAUUUUUAAAUAAUUUAUCUCCCUCAAUUUUUUUAUAUUUUCUCUAAAUUUCUUAAAAUUUAAAAUAUAUGUUGCCUAGUGUGAGACCCCAGAUUUUAUGAAUAAAGAUUUAAUUUUCUCGAAAUAAUUUUUUUUAUAUAUUAUGGUGUUGAUUUGAUGUAAUGUUAUAGUUGUGGGUAAUAUUUACAAAUUUUACAAAGUAAGCAAGUGAUUGUAUAAUAUUCGAUUGGUCGGAGAAUAGUCUUUUUGUCGGAGAAUAUCCGUACGACGGUACAAUCAUUGGUGGACCCCACAACAGAAUUAUUGUCGGAUAGAGAAAACGACAAAAAUACUUUAUGAAAAUAACGGCGGAAGUUUUACCGUUAACUGUUGAAACACCCGGUGUUAAAAGUACAGUAAUACGCGUGGUUGCACAGUAGCAGACGGUAUUGAUUAUUGAUGCUUACGUGAGAAGUCACUCAGUUAUACUCAAUUAUUGCUACAGUAAUUGCUGCAUCAUAUCUCUCAUAUUAUUGAUUCAAUUAUUGUUACAGUAUCAUCUGUAUAAUAUGAUAUAUUGUUCAAUCGGGUAUUCAGGACAUUUUUCGUGUAGGAGUACUAUUCAUGAGUUACUAUUCACGAGUUACUAUUCACGAGUUACUAUUCAUGAGUUACUAUUCACGAGUUACUAUUCACCCGAUUACUAUUCACUCUAGUAUUGUGCAUUCGAGUAUUUGGGUACAAUAUUAUUCCAUAAGGAGAUGUGCUAAUUUUUCAGACCGUUGAUUGAAGAUAUAAUAGUAAGUCAAUAUGGACCGCUAGUGGAGUUAUAAUAGUAAAUCAAUAUGGAUCGCUGGUUUAAAGUUUUAAUAGUAAAUCAGUAUGGACCGUUGUUUUAAGUUUUAAUAGUAAANNNNNNNNNNNNNNNNNNNNNNNNNNNNNNNNNNNNNNNNNNNNNNNNNNNNNNNNNNNNNNNNNNNNNNNNNNNNNNNNNNNNNNNNNNNNNNNNNNNNNNNNNNNNNNNNNNNNNNNNNNNNNNNNNNNNNNNNNNNNNNNNNNNNNNNNNNNNNNNNNNNNNNNNNNNNNNNNNNNNNNNNNNNNNNNNNNNNNNNNNNNNNNNNNNNNNNNNNNNNNNNNNNNNNNNNNNNNNNNNNNNNNNNNNNNNNNNNNNNNNNNNNNNNNNNNNNNNNNNNNNNNNNNNNNNNNNNNNNNNNNNNNNNNNNNNNNNNNNNNNNNNNNNNNNNNNNNNNNNNNNNNNNNNNNNNNNNNNNNNNNNNNNNNNNNNNNNNNNNNNNNNNNNNNNNNNNNNNNNNNNNNNNNNNNNNNNNNNNNNNNNNNNNNNNNNNNNNNNNNNNNNNNNNNNNNNNNNNNNNNNNNNNNNNNNNNNNNNNNNNNNNNNNNNNNNNNNNNNNNNNNNNNNNNNNNNNNNNNNNNNNNNNNNNNNNNNNNNNNNNNNNNNNNNNNNNNNNNNNNNNNNNNNNNNNNNNNNNNNNNNNNNNNNNNNNNNNNNNNNNNNNNNNNNNNNNNNNNNNNNNNNNNNNNNNNNNNNNNNNNNNNNNNNNNNNNNNNNNNNNNNNNNNNNNNNNNNNNNNNNNNNNNNNNNNNNNNNNNNNGGACUAGUCGGGGAACAGAGUGAUGGUCCUAGAUGGUGCAUUAGUAGUCCUCACUAUUCUGUGAAAUAGUGUGAUAAUAAUUGUAAUGAGGACUCCUUUUGAGUUUGUAUAAUCUCUAGUAGACAAUAUUUGUAUUCAAACUCACAAUUUAUGUUUUGUUGUAUUGUACACGACAGUUGUAUUAUUAAGUUAUAUUUAAAUUCUGUAUCAUGUAUUUGGCGACUCAAGAUGGGUGAUGUAUACCUAAUUUUGAGGGUGUCACACCUAGUGUAGGCAUGUGACAUUAAUUCACAUAUUAUUUAAAUAUUUUUUAUCUAGAGUACUCAUAUUUUAUAUUUAAAGUUAUUAUGAUAUAAUUAAAUUAAUUAUUUAUGAUAUUUAGUUUGUAUUUUUUUUAUUUUCUAUCUCUUAUUACAUAAAGAUUCAUAUGCUUCUUCGGGUGCAUUCUAUAAAUAAAAAGUCUUCCACAACUAAUCUUCUACAUUUUUUAAUCUAUAUUUUAUUUUAGUACAUAAAAUUCACAACGAGGAACAAAAAUAUAAUAAAAUAAUUAAUAUUGUAAAUUAAGUAUUAUUAGUUUAAAAAAUUAUCAUUUCAUAAUGUUCAAUGAACUUGUUAAUUUUAAGUAUUAAAUUGUUUCAAUUUAACUAUUAAAAUUUAGCAAUAAUCUUAUAAUUUAGAACGAAAAAUGAAUUACAAAUGCAUGACAUGGUUGCUAAAGGCAACAAUUGUUAAACGAUAAUUUUGAAAAAAAUAUAAGAGGUAUAGUAAUUAGGAACACGUUUUGUUUUUAUUUUACUUAAAACAAAAAAAUAUGAGAAGGAAAAUGAAAGCAAUUAAAAGCUUAAACUUGGUGUUUAAGGAAUUCUAUAUGACCUAAUUUUUUUAUAAAAUAAUUAGUUACCGUCAUGAUUUUUUGUUUUUAAUGAUAAUUAAUUUUUAAUAAAUGUAUAUAAGUGAGAAUAUUUUUUUUAACAUUAAUUAACUAAAUAUCACAUAUUUGAAAUAAAAUUGGUGACAAAAGUUUAAUCAUUAAUAUAUUUUGUAAUAUAUAUUAUACUUUUUAAUAUUAAUUAUUAUUUUUUCAUAAUAUUUUUUCUAUAUUUUAAAUAUAUAGUUAUUUAGGAAUAAAAUUAUUGUUGAAUAAUAAGUUUCAAUUAUAACUUUUAAUUUUAAAAAUUAACUAAAGUUUAAUCACAAUAUAUAACUGGUUUAAGCCAUGGAAAAAUACGGACGUAAUAUAUGCAUUGAACAAAAUUUUAUGUAAAUUAAGACACAUACAUAUAUAUAUAUAGAGAUGGUUAAAUACACUUUUAUUCACUAUACUCGACUUCAGUUUAUAAAUGUAUCACUGGACUGAAUUUUUUUACGUUCAACUCAUUGAACUGUAAUAUUUUUACAAAAAUUCUAAAAAUCACCUACUCUGUUAAAAUAUUAGCGGCAAAUCUAUGUGUCACAUGCUGACAAGGAGAGAAGUUGAGCUGGAUAAUUAAGUAAAUUAAAUUAUACUCAAUUCUAUAACAAGUAGUUAAACAAAAUAUAAAUCAAAUUAAUAUACAUAACAAAUAAUUAAAUUAAAGAAAGAAAUUAAUAAUAAAAAUUAAUAAUAAUAUAUGUUAAUUAAAUUAAUUAAUAAUAAAAUAUAUUAAUGUAUAAUUUUAAAAAAUGUAUUUAUAUAAAAUUAAUGAAUUCAUAUUUUAAAAAAAUUAUGUUCACUUUAAAAUAUAAAUUAUAUAACAUUUUGUAUAUGGAGGGAUUAUUAUUAUUAUUAUUAUUAUUAUUAUUAUUAUUGUUAGGAAUCUAUAUGUUGAAUAGAAAGUUGUUUCAUUAAUGGGGAGAUUUCAUCGUUUAUUAUAUCUUAUGCUUAGUGAUUAAUUAUUUGACCAAUAAUUAUUGUGAUAAUCUAUAUAAAAUUGUAAAUUUGAGUAUAAAUUGAGAUCUAGAUAUGAUAAUAUAAUAUGAAUAAGAAUAAUUUAAUUAACAUGUAAGAUAGGAAUAUACUUAUCUGUCUUUUGUAACCAUUGAAAGAAUUUGUGCUUGAAAUCAUACUAAUUCACAUAUGAAUAUAGUGAAAUAAUUGAUUAGGAUGUUUCUUGUAAUUUUGGGCCUUUGAGAUCAGAUCUAGAAAGAUUUGUUUAUGUGUCUUUCAAAAAAAGUGCGUGAAAAUUAUAAAGAAUUCUUGAUUAAGGAUUCAUGUUAAUUGACUAAAUUAAAUAGGAACUGAAUUUACAUAAUCAUAUAUAAGUUAUUUGGAUACGAAUAUCGAAUUUUGAAUAUCCGCCGAAUAUAUUUACAGUCGGAUAUUAAACGAAUACAAAUACCCACAUUAUAUUUGUAUCCGUUUAUUUGCGGAUACCUUAAACCGAAUACAAAUAUAUCCAUUUUUUCCGAAAAAUAAUGCAAACGAAUACAAAUUUUUCGAUUACCAUUUACAGGCCUUAUAAUAAUAAUAAUUUUAGAAAAACAAAUAUUUUAAUUUAUUUGUUGUUUAUUCUCAAUUUUGUAUUGUAGUUCAGUGAAUUUGUGAUGGAUUUACUUAAUUCAUGUACAUGAACUAAAACAACUAUUAUUAUUAUGGAAUGAAAAGACUACUACCCAUCUCCACGAAUCACAACAAUAGCAUUCAAUCCUACAUCAAUUAGAUCAUAUCAAUAUCCAUACUUCAAAAAUGAAAUGUUGAGUUGUACACAUCCGUUCUCGUUCCUUUUUAACAGCAAUUAAGGAAAUUAGAGAACAUAAGCCAAAUAAACAAUUAUGAUAUAAAAUUAAAAAUUACAGAAAAGGCUACAAUUAUAAGACCAUAUAUGAGACAGUUCGGAUUAACUAUCUCAAAUAGUGUCUUAUUCAUUGUCCAACAAAGAGAUCGCGUCAUAUGCCAUGAAAAAAGAAAAAGAAACUCCAAUUAAGCUAUAGCUAAAAUAUCCCAAAUUUAAUUCUUUCAUCCCUGUUAUGAGUAAAUCCAAAACUUAAUCAUUCUGUAUAUAUUUUAUUUAAAAUCCUAAUAAAAAAACACUGACACAUGCUUUCAGAAAGCUAUUGAAGUAUAGACAUCUACAAGGAAUUCAAGCUGUUGGGUCGUGAUAUUUCUCCUAUUUGGGGCGGGUAAAUUGGGCUCAUUUAUUAAUUUAAUCCAUUGGGCUGUUAUAAUUGAGCCAUGAAAGUUGUUGGGCCUGGUCACCAUGUUACCUUUAUCUUAUAGGACCGGGUCGGUUCGUUGGAUUAACCCGUUGGAUCAUUUAAUAUAUAUUACUUUGACUUGUAAUGAUGAAAUAACAUGACAGUUGACCGAGAUAUCUGCCAUGCAUUAAUGUGGAUGGGAUUAUAGCCGGCCGGCGGUGGAAAACAGUGGCCAAAAGCAGUGGAUAAGCUCCAUGCAGUCGGCAGAACCCAUCAGAUCAGGGGGAUAUGUCAGAUGGUAGUGGGUGGCACAGUAAUCCAGGCAAAGAUAUUAUUUCUUGGCGAGUAAGUCUUCACAAGGAGGUACGUUUCUUGAUAUAUACACAUUCACACAACUGAUAAUAAUAAUCUCUCUCAUUACACUAGAUUUUAUCAUCCUCUUGAGUUAACCUUGUGAACAGACAUACUUACUCUCACGCCUGAGCUAUCCCCCGGCGGUCCGGCCGUCAAGCUUGUGGUGUUUGUCGUGUUUACUGUGCAGGAUCAGGACGUCUUUCGUGAUUGGGACGUGGAGAAAGAUCCUGGCGUUAACAUUGGCGCUAGAAGGAGGGCUCAGUUCUAGUGUCUUGAGUACUUUUCAAUCACAGAUUGUGUUUUAUUCUAUUCAGUUUUCAUGGGAAAGAGUAGAACACCUACACCCGAAGGACAGCCGAUGGCUGUCAGUGAGUCAGUACCGCGAGUAUCUGCCAAAGAUCGUUUGGGACCAACCAUAAGUGUUCAUGCUAGCACAGCGUCCAAACGGUCACCUGAAGAUUCUCGGCCGAAGGCGGUAGGCAAAGCGAAGCGUAAGCUAGUAUUCCCGACGGAGAAGGGGUCUGGCCAUGGUCGGAAACGAGUAGAAGGCACCUCGCCUAGAACUCGAUACCGAGAUGACCAGGAUGCAAAGGCCUCCCGGCUGGCUAAGAUGGCAGAUGAAGCGGAUAGAGCCAUGGAGGUACUGGUGAAGCAGCGUCAGGAUAUAGCUGAGCAGAUGGCUCGGAUGGCGGAAUUGAGAGAUGAAGAGCUCAGCUAUGUUCAAUCCGAAGAGCAAGGGCAUCGGAGUGGGAAGGAACCUGCUCGUUCAGGGCGACAGUCUCUGGGCCGAACUAGGGAAAGAAGAAGGUCCCGAAGCCCUACUCCUCAGAGAUCAAAGAGGACUUAUCACCCUGCCGAUUCUAGGGGACAGGGGCGAAGCGAAAGAAGAGGUCGAUCCAGGGAUCGCACUCCAGAACAUGCAAAGAAAGCCCUUGUCGUUGCACAUUCUCACCAUAGUGCCCGGGUUCAGAGGCGAAGUAUAUCCAGAGGACAUACUCCCGAGAGUCUACUGAGGGCACCCCGCCCUGUAGACACUCGUCAUCGGAGAAGCCCCUCUAAAGUUGAAGGUUCUGUUGAAAGAAUCCGGUCUGCUUAUAGGAAGAAGGGGUCACCGGAGAAGGAGGCAUCAUCUCAACCAGAAGGCGUGGAGUAUCUGGUUAAAGAAUUGAAGGAGCUUCGGAAGCAACUUGCCGAAGUCCAGAAAACCAAAGACGCUCCGGGAAAGAAGGCGUCCCCUUUUUCCGCGGAGAUUCUUAGAGAAAAAGCUGAUCCCACCAAGAAGUUGCCCCAUAUCGAGAGUUAUGAUGGAUCGGGGGACCCUUACGACCAUAGUCAGGCGUUCGACCGACUCAUGGAUUAUUAUGACUUUAGCGAUGCUGCUAAAUGCCAUACUUUUGUCACAACUCUUAGAAAGGAUGCCCGGCAGUGGAUGGGGACCUUACCCUCAGAUUCAAUCUCGUCCUGGGAAGACAUGUGCAGCAAGUUUCAUGCUCGCUUUGGGAGCAACAGAAGAAGGGGAAAACCAACUGGUUCAUUGGCUCAAGUUCGGCAAUCCUCUAAUGAAUCUUUGGGCCAGUAUGUGAAGCGGUUCCGGGAAGCAGUCGGCCAAGUGGCAGACUUGAAUGAUCUACAAGCUGUGGGACUGUUUCAGAACGGGUUAGAUCUGGUUAAAUCGGAAAAGUUGGUGAAAAAACUUAUGUUUAACCACCCGAAGAGUCUCGCCGAAGCCUUUGACAAAGCCGAAGGCUAUAUCGUGGUGGAGGAAGCCAUGAGCAGCCUCAAACGUCCUUCAGAUCGGCUUAAGGAGACAGAUCGGGACAAAACCGAUGGAGAUCAGAAGAAGAAUGAAGGGAAUAAAGACCGUCAUGAUGACGGGUCGAAGAGAUACAACAAUUGGAGGCAGGGUGGAGGACGUUCGUCCGCUCCAACCCAGAGAGUAAAUAGGACGUACACGGCACUCAACGCAGACAGGGCUGUUAUCUUAGAUCAGAUCAAAAAUCAACCUAUCUUCGAGCCACCACGAGAUAAUAUUAAGCCCGGAAAAGGGAAUCCUCGCAAGUAUUGCGAUUACCAUCAAGCUUCGGGUCAUGAAACGAACGAUUGUGCCAGUUUAAAAGAAUUCAUUGAAAGAAAGGUACAAGGUGGGGCUUUAGUUCAGUAUGUGGCUGCCAGAACUAAUCAACAGCAGGAUCGAGGACCUGUCUCGGCAGCUCAACCAGUUCAGCAAGCAUUGCUAGCUCCGGGACAGCCUGCGAGGCAUGUGAUAGAUGUCAUCACUGGGGGUACUUCUGGCAAGCUCAUUGGAAAGAAGCGCCGAAGCUAUUUGGAUUCGGUCAUGUCGGUGGCGGGUACCUUCCCGAAGACUGACAGACCCUAUCCGAAAACGGUAAUCUCCUUUACUGAUGAGGAUUACCCUUCAGAAGUCAUCGAACCGCACGAGGGAUCAUUGGUGCUGACUGCACAAGUGGGUUCGGUGGAUAUGAAGCGGAUGAUGGUAGAUAAUGGGUCUUCUGUAGACAUCCUGUACGCCCACGCUUAUCAAAGGAUGAAUCUGGACGGGCGGAAGAUGGAAAUAGGGCAGGAGGCUCCUCUUUAUGGUUUCAGCAAUGAUCCAGUUAAGGUGGCUGGGACCAUUGAACUACCAGUCAUAUUUGGAACGGCCCCUCAACAGGUAGAAAUUAUUUGCAAAUUUUAUGUUGUGCAUGUAGAUUCUGCUUAUAAUGCUAUUUUGGGGAGGCCCACUUUAAUUGCUUUGCAAGCUGUAACAUCAAUACCUCAUUUCAAAAUCAAAUUUCCUACGGCUCAUGGGGUUGGGGAGGUGAAAGGAGAUUUGGAUCUGGCCAGGAGGUGUUACAGAAAUGCUGUUAUUACUUCGGGAGUGGGGGUAUCGAAGCAAAAGCAGAACAUGGCGAUAGAGAUCGAACCCUUCACCGAGAGUAGUUCCGAACCGUUGGUCCUGCCAGCUGGAGAAACGGAGGAGAUAGAGCUCAUCCCGGGCAAGGUGGACAAAACGGUGAAAAUAGGUUCGGGCUUGCCGGAACCUCUCCGGACGAACCUCGUGGAGCUCCUGAGGUGCUAUGUUGACAUCUUCGCAUGGGAACCUCAGGAUAUGCCGGGAGUAAGCAGGGAUAUUGCUGAGCAUCGAUUGGAAGUAGACCCGUCAAAGAAGCCGGUGCGGCAGAAGAGGAGGAUCUUUGCACCUGAGCGUCAACGGAUCAUAGAUGAAGAGAUUGCAAAACUGUUGGCAGCUGACUUCAUCUUUGAGAUCGACUACCCGCAGUGGAUGGCUAAUGUGGUGCUGGUCCAGAAGCAGAAUGGCAAAUGGCGAGUCUGCAUCGAUUAUACUGAUCUAAACAAGGCCUGUCCGAAGGAUUUCUACCCGCUGCCCCACAUCGAUCAACUCAUUGAUGCCACUUCGGGGUAUGCUUUAUUAAGUUUUAUGGAUGCAUUCUCUGGGUAUCAUCAGAUCUCCAUGUGUAAAGAGGAUAUACCGAAGACGGCGUUCAUUACGCAUCGUUCGGUAUAUGCCUAUAAGAAAAUGACUUUCGGCCUCAUCAAUGCCGGAGCCACGUACCAGAGGAUGAUGAACCAUAUCUUCAGAUAUCAGUUGGGCAGGAACAUUGAGGUGUAUGUGGAUGACAUGAUUGUCAAAAGCAUGUUGGUGCAUAAACAUUUGGAUGAUUUAGAGGAAUGCUUUCAGACUAUUCGUCAUCACAACUUGAGACUGAAUCCCACUAAGUGCACCUUCGGUCUGGGGGCUGGCAAAUUUCUGGGUUAUCUUGUCAGUCAAAGAGGAAUUGAAGCCAAUCCCGAGAAGAUUCAAGCGAUCCUGAAUAUGAAGACUCCUCAGUCAUUUAAAGAUGUUCAACGUCUGACUGGAAGGAUUGCAGCUUUGCGGAGAUUCAUGUCCAAGUCAGCAGAAACAUGUUUACCGUUUUUUGACACAUUGAAAGGGCCGAAGAAUGCAAAGACGUUUCAAUGGACUUCGGAGUGUGAAGACGCCUUUCAAAGCAUCAAGUCCUAUUUAUCUUCGGCUCCUUUGCUGGUGAAGCCCGUUCCUGCCGAGCCUCUAUAUUUGUACCUAGCAGCUAGCUCGUCGGCAGUAGGAGCGGUUUUGGUGCGUGAAGUUGGGGGUAAGAAGCACCCGGUUUAUUAUGUAAGCCAUGUCCUUCGGGAUGCUGAAACAAGGUACCCAAACAUUGAAAAGUUUGAUUUUGCUUUAAUAACUGCUAGUCGAAAGCUUAGGCAAUACUUCCAGGGUAGAUUGGUAAUAGUGUACACAAAUCAGCCUUUAAAGAAGAUUAUGGGCAAACCAGAGGUAUCGGGGAGACUAGCUGCAUGGACGAUGGAGUUAUCCCAAUUCUUUAUUGAGUAUCAUCCCCGAACCGCCAUCAAAGGGCAAGCCUUGGCUGAUUUUGUGGUUGAGUGUUCAUUUUCUGAAGCUGAUGAAGUCGUGGCCGAGGCUGGAGGAUCUGACAGAGCAGUUGCCGUUCUUCAGCAGAAGGAGAGUUCAUGGACGCUGUAUGCAAAUGGGUCUUCUACUUCGGACGUCAAUGGAGCAGGGAUUAUCUUGACGAGUUCGGAGGGAUUCAAGGUGCAACAGGCCAUCAGAUUUCAGUUUAAAGCGAAGAACAACGAAGCUGAGUAUGAGGCAGUGCUUGCGGGGUUACGAUUAGCGAAGAGUCUUGAAGUGCAGAGAAUAGUCAUCUUCAGUGAUUCUCAGUUAGUCGUUAAACAAUUCUCUGGGGAAUACGAAGCUCGAGGUCCAAGAAUGAUCAAGUAUUUGACAGAAUUUAAAGAACGGCUUCAGUAUUUCUAAUCCUACGAGUUUCAAGGGGUCGAGCGUAAUAACAAUUCCAUUGCUGAUGCACUCGCCAGACUAGCCACUACGGAUGUUAAUGUUUUUGAAGGAUCGGUGUACCUGGAAAUUUUGCAACAUCCUAGUGUUCAUCAUGAAAUGGUAAUGUGCAUUGACCGAACCAACUGCUGGUUAACCCCAUACCUGGAAUAUUUGGCAUAUGGCGUCUUACCUUCGGAUCGGAUGCUUGCCAAGAAAAUCAAGUACAAGAGUGCUAACUUUGUUCUGAUUGAUGGGGAUCUUUUCCGAAGGGCCUUCUCGUCUCCAUUACUGAAAUGUUUGACUCCAUCUGAAGCUGAAUAUGCUCUUCGGGAAGUUCAUGAAGGCAUUUGUGGUGACCAUAUGGCUGCUAAGUCAUUAGCCUAUAAGGUACUUCGUCAAGGGUACUACUGGCCUAACAUCUUCAAGGAAGCGACUGAGUACGUCAAGAAGUGCGAGAAGUGCCAGCUCAACAGUCCAAUACCGCAUCAGCCACCAGAAGAGCUAUACUCGAUCUUGUCUCCUAUACCCUUUGCUGUCUGGGGGGUUGAUAUACUGGGUCCACUACCGAAAGCAAAAGGUCAGGUCAGUUUUGUUAUAGUUGCCAUAGACUAUAUGACCAAAUGGGUAGAAGCAAAGCCACUUAGGUCAAUAACGGAACAGGAGUGUUUGAAAUUUUUGAAAGAGUCAGUAGUAUUCCGUUUUGGAAUUCCUAAGGUGGUAGUAUCGGACAAUGGACGUCAGUUUGUGGGAUCGAAGUUUGAAGCAUUUUUGACAGAACUGGGGAUCCAGCACAGAAAGACUUCAGUGGCUCAUCCUCAGUCAAACGGACAGGUUGAAGUAACCAACAGAACGCUGCUGAAUGGGAUCAAGCGUAGGUUGGACGAAGCUAAAGGCAGAUGGCCAGAAGAGCUGCUAAGUGUACUAUGGGCUUAUCGAACUACUCCAAGGACUACAACAGGGGAUUCACCUUUCAGAUUGGCCUAUGGUACUGAUGCCUUAGUCCCAGUUGAAAUUGGAUCUCCAAGUCUUCGAGUUAGUCAUUUCAGAGAGAUCUACAAUGAUGAAGGGCUGAAGGCCAAUCUUGAUUUGCUGGAAGAAGUCAGAGAGAUAGCCUUAAUCAAAUUGGCAGCCUAUCAGCGAAGAGUGGCUAAGCAUUAUAAUAAGGGGGUAAAGCUUCGCAGAUUUGAAGUAGGAGAUUUUGUCCUCAGAGAAGUCGAAGCAUCUACACCUCAGAAUCUGGGAAAGCUGAUGCCAAAUUGGGAAGGACCGUACGAAAUCACUGAAGUGCCGAAGCCGGGGACUUAUCGAUUGAAGGCAUUAGAUGGGUCAGUAAUUAAAAAUACUUGGCAUGCUGGCAGGUUUAGGAAGUACUUUCAGUAUAUUCAAUGUCAGUAUAUCGGAAGUCUGUAAAUAUUUACAUCAUCAUCAAUAAAAGUUCCUCUUUUCUCUCAAGCGAAUUUUGUCUCUGUUGCUGCGCAGUUCGUUGGUGUUAGGAGGUUCGGGAGGACUCGCUGACCAUUAGAUGGUAGCCUUUUUGGCAGGUUGUUACUUUUGGCAUUGUCAGGCCCUUCGGGGUAGGCAAUUGUCGCCACUUUUGGCAUUGUCAAGCACUUCGGGGUAGGCAAUUGUCGCCACUUUUGGCAUUGUCAGGCCUUUCGGGGUAGGCAAUUGUCGCCACUUUUGGCAUUGUCAGGCCCUUCGGGGUAGGCAAUUGUCGCCACUUAGACCUUGUCAAUCCCUUCGUGGUAGGCAAGUGUCAUCUUUAAGACGUUAUCAGGCCCUACGUGGUAGGCAAUUAUCGACACUUAGACUUCGUCAGGCCCUUCGUGGUAGGCGAAUGUCAUCACUUAGACUUCGUCAGGCCCUUCGUGGUAGGCGAAUGUCAUCUUUUAACUUCGUCAGGCCCUUCGUGGUAGGCGAAUGUCAUCUUUUAACUUCGUCAGGCCCUUCGUGGUAGAUGAUUGUCAUCUUUUGGUUCUGUUAGGCCUUUCGGGGUAAAUAAACUCUCAAUGAAGCAAAUUUGUCUCACACUUCGGUAAUUGAAUAAGUAUCUCUUUAUUUUAUUACCUAAAUUUUUUCUAAGUGUUGGGUUCGGAAUGCCUCAUCCUUUAACCUCACCUUAUCUAUUAUAUGACAUGCUUAAUUGUUAAUUAACAAUUUGAGUUGAAUCCUUGAAGGGAUUUUGUACAUUUGUCCAGAUGAAUUCAUAUUGAAGUAUUAACAGGAAGUAAAAAUACCCUGAAGUCAUGAGGAAGAAGAUCACUUUUCAUUAAUAUCUCAUCUACUUACAAUAUGGAAAAUAAAAGAAAAUUUUUACAAGUGUUUUUAAAUAAAACCAAGAAAAAACAAAAGCUGUUGCUUCAGGAAGCACCCUCGUUAUCCGAAGAGUCGAGCUAGGAUGGAUCUAUGUUGGCUUUGAUCAACUUCUCCUUACCACGACUUCGGCAGAGCUCGUAACUUUCCGUAUGAAUCUUCAUGAUUUCUCCAUUGAUUUCCUCCGAGUUCCGAUACUCUUCACAAAUUUGUUUGCGAAGGGCAUCAGUCAAAGGAGGCCCAAGGUCCCGAAGAGCCUUGAGUUCUCGGAUUUCUUGUUCGAGCUGCUGCCGUAUAUUCAUCUGACGGGUUUCUUCCCGCUCCAGCUUAUGGAACGUCUUGGUUAAUAUCUUGGAAUUAGCCUUCAGCUCCUUGAUCUUGUCCAUCCUUAUUUCACUCCUCUAAACCAAGUCGACGUUCAUCUUGACGAUCUCUGCAUGUUGUGCUUUAGUCGACUUCAAUUCUUCUUUCGAGGUCUUCACAUCUUCCUUGGCUUGGGCCAACUCUUUCUGAAGUCCUUCAUUUGUAUGAAGGAUACCUUCACGUUAGGUCCUUUCCCGAGCCAAGGCAGACUUCAGGAUGGAGUUCUCCUUCUUCAGCGUCUCCUCUUCGGAUUCGGCAUCGAGAGAUCUUGGACGCAAACGCCCGAAUACAGCAUUUGUAUGUGCAUGUUCAGUAUUAUUUGAUCAGUUUCAGAUAUAUGAGUACGAAGAUAAGUAUGGAAAGGAAGUAGAGAAUCAUUUACCUUCGCCAAGUAGCUCAUACCUUCGCUAAGCAAAUCCCCAUUCGUACUGUUCCCGAAUCAGUGGUCAUCGGUCUCGCGAACAAAGGCCUCGAACAGUUGAAAGGGGAAGUUGGCAUUAAAUCGAGGCCACAUUGUUGGAGAGGCCAUGGCAUCAUGCUGGAAUUCGGUAGUCGUUUGUCGUGGAGGAGAAGGCAUAGGCUAGUUGCGAAUCGGUGAGGGAUCCGCAUGUAUUGCCUCUGGGGAAGGAGAUCGGGCAGGUGUAGGCUCGGGAGUUGAAGAAGGGGCAGAGGUUGAACCUGGCUGGCUGUCUGAGGGUUGUUUUCUUUUUCGGGACAGUGUGGGGUCAGAUUCGACCAGCUCAGCAUCAGGUGUUUGGGUUUCGGUUGGCACUAUUGGGGGGUUUACUGUUGAAGAUGGAGGAGCACGGAGUUCUUCGGCAGUGAGUGGUAUUAUUUUUUAUCUUAAUUUUUUAGCACGAAGGACUUUCGCCCGAUCGUGUAGAGGUAUGUCAAGUAGAUUUCUCUUAGCUGGGGUUGGUUCAGGAGAUGCAGUAGCGGGGUCAGAUGGAGGAGUUGGUUGUGGGAUUGCUUCGGGAAGAAUCUCCUCGUCGCUUUCAGGAUUUAUCUCGCGAGGGAUGGUUCUGGCUUUUUUGGCAGCUUUCUUCCUUCGGCGAGGUCUAAGGGUUUCUUCGGGAAUGAGAGGCUCGUCGGCUUCAGGUUCAUCAUUCCGAAGGGGAGUGGUUGGUGGAUCGGAGGCUGGGGGGUCGGUUCGGGAAGACUCCUCAGUAGGAAGCUCUUCACUCGCCUCCGUAGUCCUCCCGGCCAGAAAGUCUCCCAAAUCUUUCAGUUCCGAAGAAGUUGGUUUGAUCAGAGACACUGCAAGUGACCAUAUAUUAAAAUCCAUGCCACUUAAAUACAUCGAAAACUAUAUUGCAGAGUAGUUUGAAACUUACAUUUAUGAUCAUACAGCCAGGCUUGUUUGGUCAAAAGGGUGAAACUCCAUUCUUUUGGAGGUAUCUUCUUCAGAAAGUCACCCAUCUCCUUCACACGCUCUUCGAGAAUGUCUCCGAAGUCAGCAGAGAUCCGGUCUAGGAUGGUCCAAUCUGGAAGAGAAGAGAUCUCUGGUCCUGUGACGAAGAACCAUUUCUCGUGCCAGCCCUUGUUGCUCGAAGGGGUGCUCAUCAGGGACCUCUUCUCGAAUUUGGAGUUUGGGCGAGGAGAUUGUUUGCUCAGCAUCUUAAACCCUCGUUCUCGGGAUCUACCGGCUGAGAAAAGGGUGAAGAAAAUGUCAACGGAGGGAGUAAUCCCUAGCUCGUGGCAGAAGGCAAUGAAUGCCAGUAUGUGGAUGUAGGAGUUGGGCACCAGCUGAGCGAAGCCCACUCCUAUGAACCCUAGGAGGGUAACAACGAAGGCGUGAAGGGGUAGACGAAUCCCCUUUUCUAGGAAGGUAGCAGGCAUGGCGACCCAGCCAUCUGGUCGCUGGUACAUUCUCUCUUCCGGAGUAGGGGCCCUUAUGGCAUAGUUAUCCGGAAUCUGGUAUCGAAUCCGGAGGGCACGUAUCUCGGAUUCCGUGACGGUAGACGGGAUGUUGGCAUGAGGAAAUUGUUCCCCAUCCUUGAAGAAAUCAGCAGGAGAUGUAGGGUGUGAACUCGAACCCUCUGGGUUAGGGUUUGGGUUGGAGGAAGCUGGAAAAGUCUGGCCAGGGUUCACCAUUGUUGAAAUUUCGAAAGCUAGAGAGAGAAGUUCUAAGAAAGAGAAGAAAGCUCAAAGGUUCAAGAUUCGAAUUAGCAGGUAAAACCGUCAGAAUUGGUAAAGUUUACCUUUUAUACUGACGGUUACACAGGGUACGAGGCCGGCACAUUAAAUGUUAGUAAUGAUGAGAAUUCGAAUGGGAAGUAUCUGGGUUGACCUUUGGAUAUCUUAUCAGAUUGGGCCUUACAGUUGGAUUUCAGAUUGUUGGACCAUCCUAUUCAAUUUCAAUCCUUUAUUGAUUGGGCCUAUUACUCCGAGCAUUUAGCCAUUCCACGUUCCUUUUCAUGCACCAAAGUGGGUAUGUCUCAAUUAUUUUCUAAUUUGGGCCUUUAGUAAAAUCUAAUAUCAUGGACUGUUUAUAGUUUUCCAUUAAACAUCCUGUUUAACAAAUAACUAGGGGGUAAUGUUGGGUCGUGAUAUUUCUCCUAUUUGGGCCGGGUAAAUUGGGCUCAUUUAUUAAUUUAAUCCAUUGGGCUGUUAUAAUUGAGCCAUGAAAGUUGUUGGGCCUGGUCACCAUGUUACCUUUAUCCUAUAGGACCGGGUCGGUUCGUUGGAUUAACCCGUUGGAUCAUCUAAUAUAUAUUACUUUGACUUGUAAUGAUGAAGUAACAUGACAGUUGACCGAGAUAUCUGUCAUGCAUUAAUGUGGAUGGGAUUAUAGCCGGCCGGCGGUGGAAAACAGUGGCCAAAAGCAGUGGAUAAGCUCCACGCAGUCGGCAGAACCCAUCAGAUCAGGGGGAUAUGUCAGAUGGUAGUGGGUGGCACAGUAAUCCAGGCGAAGAUAUUAUAUCUUGGAGAGUAAGUCUUUACAAGGGGGUACGUUUUUGAUAUAUACACAGACACACAACUAAGAAAUCUAAUCUCUCUCAUUACACUAGAUUUUAUCAUCCUCUACUCUCACACCUGAGCUAUGCCCCGGCGGUCCGGCCGUCAAGCUUGUGGUGUUUGUCGUGUUUACUGUGCAGGAUCAGGACGUCUUUCGUGAUUGGGACGUGGAGAAAGAUCCUGACGUUAACACAAGCAAUUGAUCUUUUUAAAUUGAAAAGCUAAAAUGCAUCACAGCCAACACAAUCAUGGCUGUAUUCAAAACUGGUCAUUCAAUUCAAAACAAAACGAAAGUCCCAACUAUGUACAAGAAAUUUCCAACCAAACUUCUCUUUUCAGUACUUUGAAGCCCUACAAACCAGAGCAAAACUCCCUAGAUUUUCUUCUCUUUUACUUGUUUUUCGUAUCUUUGUAAAACCACUGCUACUUUCUCCUCUUGAAGGAUCAAUUCCUUUCUGCACCUUUCCACCACUACUUUCUCCGCUGAAAAGAUCAAUCCCUUUCUUCACCUUUUCAUGAUAAACGGACGGUGGUGCAAGCCUCAACUGAGGAGGAUUUUCCACAUGAUUCAAUCUAUGUUCUUUCUAAAGAUUAGUUCAGAUUUCAAAUUGCUGCACCCAAGUUGCAAUCCAAUUAGUAUCAAGAUAAAUGAGUACAAUGGGUUAACAGUUAUAUCUAGACUAACCCUUGAAAUUGGAUGAUAACCAUAGGAACCCUCAAAUAUAUCGCUUUCAUGUUGGUGCAGACCAAUUGUCCCUUGAGCUAUCUAGUUUCUUGACAAAUACUUGCUCACUAAUCCAUCCUCCGCAAGGGCAGACUUACUUUUCGAACUCAAAGCCAGCCUUUUUCUAUGGUGUACAAAUGGGGCAUCCCGCUGAAGAAUCUCUUUGUGAUGCCUCUUUUUCUUGAAGUUCACACUGCAGAUGGGUUGUAUGUCCACAGCUGAAUAUUUGAAUCCUAGAGCUUGUGGAAUUUUUGGUAAGAGGGCAAUUACAUAUGCAACAUAAAAGACUCCUAGGUAUGUACCCAUGAGAAGCGCCCUUUUUUAGUAGGCUCGUGGUAUAAAAAGUAUCAUCCUCAAUCAGUGACUUGGCAGUGUCCUGGCAUUACAAGCAACUAGUCAAUAUGGAAACUUUUCAUUUGUUGCAUGUAUGUAGCCAAUCAAAAGUGGAAAUUUUGUUUCGGAUGAAAAUCAAUAUCCACAAGUUAAGUAAGAAUGUACAACAUUAAUGUUUGCAUGUUUGGGUAGAAAAUAAAACAAGAGAGUUAAAAUUACUAGAGAAAAGUAAUGGAGGAGUGAUAACAAGUUUCCUUGUGUUUGUGAGUUAAUGAGAGGAGGUGGACAUUGAAGGACUUAAAAUUUUAAGGUUUGUUAUUUUGAGGGGUAGAAUGAGAACAAUAAGAACUUUUUAAAGAGGGAAAAUAACUUUCCAACCAAAUCUUCCCAUUCUUGGGGGAAAAGUUGUGUGUAGAAAGUUGGGUUUACUUUCCACCCAUUUCCCUCAUCUUCCCUCCUUAAAAAAAACUCACACACAUGACACUUGGGAAGGAAAACAUUUAAAAUCCUCCAUUUUCCUCUUCUUUCUUUUUUUCCAACCUUUUUAAACUCAUGAACACAGUGCAAGGAAAAUAAACAAUAAUGAGUAUUAAAAAUUGAUAAAUAAUAAAAUAAACAAGGUAUAUGACUUCUCAGUACCAUAUUGCCGAUAAUUGCCUUUUUCCACUAUUUCGCAUUAGCAUAAUUUCUAGUUAAUUUUUAUUUAGUUAUUUAUAUAUUUUUAUAUGGCUCUAUUUGAAAAGAUAUUGUACAAGUAAAUAGUACUAAAAACAAAACCAAAUGUCAGUCUACCACCUCCAUUUUGCGUUUUUGGUGUGAAAUGACAAGGCUGAGAGCCUGAGACAAAAUAAUAUUUAAAGGAAAGACGAGAGAUAUUUAACCAACAAUUUCUGGUUUCAAGAAUGUGAAGAAGAUUUGACCACCAACAACUCCACAUAGAAAACUUAGCUCGAGUUUAUACUAAAUUAUUUCCAAAUUUCUCCUUUCAUGGAAAACAAUGCAUCCAGAAGCUAGAUCACAUGGAUGGACAACAAUCUCAAGUUUGAUAACAAAGAGAACCAUUCAAAAAAUUAUCUCAAUGAUAGUAAAUAUAUAUAAAAAUAAUUAAUCAAAAGAAACGUGUAUCACGAGUUUCUCGUCCUUCAGUGUUUAUAAAACAAGUAAAUUAUAAGAAAAACAAUGAUAGGAAGAGCAAACAUACCAAAAUUCUUCUUUCAAAAUCAUAUGUUCCAAGCAUUCUCAAUAUGGUAAGUUUAAAAUCACCAAAUUCCUGGUUAUCAUUAUCAGAAAGGAGUUUCAGCAUGAUGGUUGCAAGGCGAACAUAUCCGAUCAUUCCCUCAACAAUCUCUUUAAUGAACACAGAAAAUAAUUUACUCAAAAUAUGAGCGCUUCUUUGGGACCUUGACACCUUCCACCUAAUUUUGUAUGCCGCUUCAUUCUCCUUUCUGCCCAAUGAUACAACUAGAAGUCUCAAGUUCUUUUCACCUUCAGAACCCAUUUGACCAUUAUAUGAAUCCAUUAAUGGCUCACAAAACCUGUAUUGAAACUAUAACAAUUAUUAGAAUUGGGUAAACACGCGAAGUAUCAAGGAAAUAAUGUCUGCAGAAAUGCAUGUGCAAGUCAUUGCGCAUAUAAGAAUAUCAUUUGGAAACAGUGGAGAAGGAAAAUGAAUUAUGGUGGCAACAUAAGAAUGUAGAAACAGAAUUCAAGUAGCAACGCUCUGGGAGAAGAUGCAGAUUGGUUAAAUUUAUCUGCAAAUGUGACUUGCAUUAGUGCACAGAUCACUAACCCAUCAGUUGAGAGUGUGCAAGUUCCCUUACCUGGACAAACAUGGUCUACAAGAUUGAUUUCUUUAGCAACCAAAGGUUAUAAAACAGUUCCAUAGAUAUGAUGAACACCAUAAUGAUGAUAAAAAGAAAACUAUUAGAGAAAUUCAAAUUAAAGGGUAAGUUAGAAGGCAGAGUAAUAAAGAGUUAAUAAUGAGAUGUGUCGUGCCAGUACUAAGUAACUAAAUUAUAAGGAAAUGACUGGAAAAAUCAGACCCUUGCAAAAAGCAUUUUUUAAGAAAAUCUUGAAAAAGAAGAUAAGAGAACAAUGUUCAUAUCAAUUUUUGAAAUCUAAAACUCUUAUAUUGUGUACAACAGACUGAAAUAAAAGCUAUCCUAUUAGGAAGGCCCCUCUAAUGAUCUCGUAAUUAAAGUCCAACAACAAGGAAAAUAAGCACUCUAAUAGCAACUUUUAAGCUUACGAAUCAAGUAAUCGAAACCAGAGGGACUCAGAUUCAUCAAAAUUCAUCUGAGGGCUAUUCCGCUGACACAGUCCAAUACAUGCAUGUAAUGUCAAAUAUGUCAUUCACCUGCAUGAAAAUAUUAUAACAUUAAUAUAAAUUGUCCAACGACUACAGAUGAUUCACGAAGAAAAAAUAUAAAAUAUGUGCAAGACCUCCUCCUUCUGCAAAACAGUGUUCAAAUGCUCCACACCAGCAUCAUAAAGUAAACUUCGAACAGUGGCAUCAAGCAUUAAAAAUUUGUCAGUUAGGCCAGAAAGAAUAAGUGAUAGAGCAGUGCCAACAUCACCAACUCUUUCAAAUAAAAAAGCAGAAGCAUCUACAAUCCCAUAGUUCUGGCACAAGCAUAAACAAUGUUCCACCCUAUAGCUUUCAAAGGUCUCCAUGAACUUGAGCACUGAAAUGGGUUCGUAUUGACAUAACAGCUAUAACAAAAAUAUGUAGGCAAUUUUAAAUUCUAGUAAUAUAACUUCUUGAAUGUUUCUAGAGAAUUGGCAAUCAUUCCGUUGUAGUAGAUAACAAGAAGAAAUUAAAAUUGGCAGUCAUAUUACCAGCCUUGCUUAACUAGGUAGUUCGGAACAUGGUACAAUAAAUUCAUUAUAGAGAGAAAAGUUAAGAAAAAGGUGGAAGUUGAUAUGGAAAAUAAAUAUAUCUAUAAACAACCCUAAAUCAAAGUAAUUACAUUUUCAGCUUGAACAAUGGUUGAAGGCUUAUCAUAUAUGCAUAUAUUUAAUAAACUUUAUUAGACGUAAGAGCAUAUGCCCUAACUGAAUGACACAACAAAGUUUAACACACUAACUGCUAGAUAGUUGUGGAGAAAUUUACCUCAAGAUACUGCUCAAUGAUUUUAUCAGUUACAUGAACUGGAUUAUUAGGCAUUAAAUUUGGAAAAUCAGAAAUCCUUUCCAAGAAAGCCUCAAUUCUACUGUAUUGACCCUCAUCCCUUCUUCCAUUAGGAAUAUCCACAUUAUCACCUUUUGUAAAACAUGAAAAGUUAAGAAUUCCAGUUGAGUGAACCUCAAAAACAGUUUUUAGAUAAAGGAAAAGGAUUUUUGGGUGAGAGUCCAGCUCAAGAUAAAGUGCGUUCAUUAUCACCACUGAAAUGGUCAACAACCAAAAAGAAUGUACUCUCUCUGCAAAAGGCAGAAACACAAAAACAAAUUUAUCAAUCAGAGUCUACUUCAGGUCUACAUAAACAUACGCACCAUGUGAAACAAAGAUCCAUCAAACCCAUGGUUUUCAAGCAGCACCUGCUUAAUUUGACUAGAUCUGGGAUUCGUGACAUGAUUGCUGACUGGAAAUCAUCAGAUUUUUUGCCAUCUAGCUGAAGCAAUGUAUAACUGAUAAAAGAGAAGGCAUGAAUCAGUUCAUCAACGUCUUUCAUAUAGCUCUCCAAAGCGGAAAUAUUCUGAUGUCUGAUGGCAUGAAUACAACCACAAACCUAAAUAAAUAUUUAAAAAUAGAUCAACCUUUCUGUAUGAAUCAUAGAUUUUUGUGUGUAGGUGGGUGGGUGGGUGGGUGGGUGGGGGGGAGAGAGAGAGAAAUCAUGACCAUAAACUUCCUUUAUAUAGUGAUUGAUGUGUAACGAACCAAUUGUCACAUGGAACGAAGAAGUACCAUUUUGUUAUAAAACAUUUUAUAUGUCCAAAAUAAUGGAAAAAGGGUUGGGGAAAUCAAGGGGAAUGCAACCUUCGCUGAAGUGGGUAAAUGCCCUUAACAAAAAUAAGUUGGCAUCUAAUAUAGCACUUAACAAGACAACUUACCCCUCUAACUAACCUAUUUCCAGAUUAGUGCAAGCAACUAAAUUUGAAAUGGCUAAUACAAUAAUAAUAAAUACGACUCCUAAAAUUAUCCAUUCUGAGGCAGCUAUUCAAAUAUUAUACAUGAGACACAUGACAACUUUGGUAAAAAAGAAAAUUGUAUAUACACUUUUACAAAUAAGAUCAAUAGAGAGCUUAUAAAAUAGAUCAAUACAGCAAUAAUCCACAAAAUUGAGAAAUAUACAUUUUUCAUAAAAACAAGUAAUACAUUGAAAAGAAAUUGGUACAUUGUACUCACACCAUGCAUCACGACAAGGUCGAAUCACGCAUCAACAUCUGCACAUGUUGGGAAAUCCAGUUCAUAAAGUGCAUGAAUAUUCUCCAUACCUUAAUAAAGACAAAAACAUGAGAAUAUGAGAUCACAAGAUGUAAAUACCUAAGCAAAGGAAGAAUGAUUUCUAAAGCCUACAAACCAUUGUAAUCUAGUUCAAUACUGAUAAUGAACAGUAGAUAACUUUAGUAAUACAUUAUUGGAUCCGAUAUCAAAUAUUACAAGGCAAAGUAUUUCAAAGAAAUUUAAGUUCAGGGUUUACAUUUUGAACUUUGGAAAUAGAAAAUUAUCCUAUGGACUCAUGGAGAUAUUGUGCUCUAACUAUAAUAAUUUAAAUCACAAAUAUAAAUAGUGUAUAAUUUCCUGGGAACUACUCAGAACAAUGAUUCUUGCAAAAGGAUGGUGAUACAUAUAUUCUAUUUACAUUUUUGACUUAAAGUCCCUCACUGAUUGUCUUUUCAUCCUUAACUUUCAUCCAUUGCACUAAAAGAAAAUAGGAAUAACUUCUAAAAAAAAUUUGUCAAACAAGUCCUACCUGCUCAACCUUUUUCUUCUGUCCAAGUCAUAUUUCAACUGCAGCUGGGCAACUCCUUUCUUCUCAUUACACCUGUAUGAGAAAAUUAUAUUCGCCAUUCUUUACAGAGGAAGAACAAAGGGAGAUAGAAAUGAAUAGAAGCACAAAGUUGGUCAGUGUUUAAUUAUCUCUAUCAAAUUGGUGUUGCUUAAGAUAAGAGAUGCAUGCAUAAUUAUGAAACAAAGAUGACUUGGUGCAAAUCCAAGUUUAAAACUGCAUCACGGUGCAAAAUCAGUAAGAAACAUGCAAACAAUUAGAAUGCAGAAAUAGUAAUUGGAGAUUGUGAAUAAUUUGUGAAAUAUAUGAUAGAAAGUAUACCAAAAGCCAAAAAUAUGACAGCAAGAUUGCCGGGUGAGAUGGAACGAUGUUUGGCUUCUUGAAAGAAGUCUAUGAAUAUAGGAAGCAAUACAAGUGUAUCCAUUGUUGUAUCCAGAAACGUGUACAACUAUGAAAACAACCACUGCUUCAAUAAAUUCGUUAAAAGGUAUCUGGAUAAACAAAGAAAAAAAACCCAGGAGUUGUAUAAGUGAUACCUCCCCUAAGACUGUUAUAGUAUGUACUCAUUUUACAACUACCUAAGAAUAGAUCAGCUUAGUUUCCAAAUUUUCUUAAACUAUGUGCCAUCUGAUGUCAUCCAAAUUGGAUGGAGGUGUAUAUGCCACAAUUAAAAUAACAGAAAUUCUUCCAUGAAAAGUUGGCAGAUAAGAAGUCUGCCAAAACUAGUUAACCGAGUGGUGUCACAUUACUAACCAUGUAUUUCAAUUUGAAACUGCUAAUAGCCAUUGGACACAUUCACAAGGCAACCUUUUAAGUAGACCAAGUUGGAUCAUUUCAUUAAGCAUAUGGUACCUAAAACUAUUACUAAAGUUCCAAGAAAAGAAUUACUUUUCAAAUUCAAACAAUUUGAUAUAGCAAGGUUUGAAGACAAAGUCAUUAUGUAGAAGUACAUGUCACAGUCUAAAAAGCAGCUAAUUCUAGUGACUAUAUAAAAAGGAAUACUACUUUGAAUGCAUUGCUGAUAUUAAUUUUAAUUAUGUGAAGACUGUAGUGUACGGGUUUCUAUAAGCAAUUCAUUAUUAGAAUGCUUGCAAUAAGAUUAAUUUAUAAAUACAGGAAGUUACAGAAAACAAAUAUGAAAACGGAAAUAUAAAUCCACUAAACCAAAUGGUGAAAGUGUCUCUUGUUUAUGACUAAAGUUCAACUUGUCCAUUAAACUAUCACCCUAAAGAAAGUGAAAAUUACCGCUAGAAAGGAGGAAGAAUUUGUAGUUGUGUGCCCCAACACAGUUACCUUGCUAACGAACUGAUACAUGAACAAUGUUAGAAAAGGAAGUAAACAUUAUAAAGUAAUUGACUUCAAUACUCUUAUGCUACGUUGGUAUUGGAGGAAUGGAAUUAAGUGAGUGGAAUGAUUCAUUCCAGUCAUUCCAUACCCUCACCCAAGUAAUAAAAUUCACAAAUUUGGUAGGAAUGAGAAUAAUUUAUUCCAUUCCGAUGGAACAACCAACCACAAAUUUUCCAUUCCAUGGGAAUAAGUCAUUCCAUUUCCACCUUCAUUCCUUCAAUCCAAACAUAGCAUUACUGUUUGAAAUGAUCUACAAACGAAAUAUAACUCCUACUCAAAUAAACUGAACUAGCUUCAAUUUGUUCGAAUAAAUCUAAUUAAUCAUAGUAUCCAAUACCUAAUGUAAUAGAUAACUGGUUCUAAGCAUACGUGACAGACAGUUUAUAAAUUGUAGUAUACUAGACAAAAUCAUUGAAACAUUGCUUGAGUCGUUACAAGACUACCAACAAUAAAUGACAGUCAGUUUAUACAUUAUAGUAUACUAAACAAUAUCAUCUCAACUGGAUGUCAAUCACUAUUAAUAGGAAACAAAAUCUAUGCAGGUAGGCAGCUGAUGCAGUCGAAACAUUACUUCAGUGUCGACUAAUAAUGCCACAACACCAUAAUUAUGCUUUACACAAUCAACAACUUGCGACAUAUUAGUACGAUAACUACUUGAUAUAUAUAUAUUUGUUUCCCUUUUCAUCAAUUCAUCACAAUGUUUUAGGGAUACAAUGUUUUAACUUUAUAUUUCCUCCGCAAACAACCUACAAAAAUUAAAUACUAAGGACCCAAAUAAAUAGUUGAAGAUCAUAGAAAUUCGUACAGAAGUUGGGCAGGAGGAAUUACAAUUGCUCAGUGAUAUUAACUUUCACUCUAAAAGGAAGGGUAAGAUGCUAGUUCACAUGGGUCAUAGAGAAGACUAAGUCAUGUUGAGAAGUUAAAAGUCCAUACUAAAUGAAGAAGAUAAUGUCCAAUGGAGGAGGAGGAACAAUUUGAUUAAAGAAAAUGAUAGAAGGAACUCGAGCAUCACAAGCUUGUGUUUCCAUUCACUGAAGGUGUUAAUGCUAGCAACAUGAUCGAGGAUUGUAAAGAAACAAAUUGUGAAAGAGCUCCCAUAUAUGAUGAAGAAUCAUUCACUGAAGGUGAUAAUGCUAGCAACUGGAUCAAGGAGUGUGAAGUUGCAAUAACAUUGAGUAAUUAAUAAUUUCAAGAACAACACUUCGUUAUUGUACUCAUAUAUAUGAGAAACCAAAAGUUGCAAUAACAUUGAGUAAUUAAUAAUUUCAAGAAAUAUGAUUACUCAUAUUGAUGAUCUAGUAUAUUCGCAUAAGUUAAAUAAAUCAAAAUCUUCACAAUUAAGUUAUGUAUGAUGAGCUACAGAUGAAUCACACACCUGAUACCCCCGCGCGUAGACCACCAGUCCAAUCUUGCUUGUAGCAUAACAACCUUUUUUGAAGAUCAUUCUUGAUUCCCCGAAAGGGAACAAGCAUUUCUUCCAUGAUAACUCAAAAGUUAUACAAUUUCGGAUUUUUUUAAUUCUUUUUACUUUUUUCCUUUUAACUUGACAAAGUACUAAUUGGUAUGAGAUGGACUACAAAUGACACACUCAAACUUCAAACUAAGGGUCUAUUAAGAUAACUAUAUGUUCAUAAUCAAACUAGAAGAAAGAAUGGGGGCUAUGGGCACAAUGACAAAGAUUGCUUGAUCAUUACUUUCAAUGUAUAAAUGGCCCUUGGUGAGGUCCAUGAAUUAGAAUAUACAAGAAUCAGAAUAAAAUUUUGGUAUAACAUACAAAGAAUUAUUUUAGUGAAGUUAUAAAGAAGAAUAAAAGAAUAGUUAGUAAUGAAUGUGAAUCAGAUAAAGAUAGGAAUCUCAAUCCUGCCUACUUGGAUUCCAAAACUGAGUGAAAAAUCAGUGAUACUAGUGAAAUAGAUUCAGGCAGUCAAGACUAACGAAACAACAAAACCAUCUCCAACAACUAAGAUAUAAACUAGCGGUUGACUUCAGUAAAGUUCAGAUCCAUCAAAUCUGAGAGAAUAUGAAUUUUGAAACUUAGGGGAUUUCUUGCUUUUAUAAAACAUAUUUGGAAAGAAACUGAAAUUGGGUGAUAAUUUUGUAGUGGGACAAAUUUAGCGAGCCCAGGCUCAAUUAAGGUUACUCCCAACAACGCAGAGGCAUAUUUCCUCUUACACUUUUAAAAAGAUAUACCAAUAAUUAAUAAUAAAUCUUGAAAAGAUCGGACUUUUAUCACCGAAUAAUUACUCGUAAAUCACCAAGUAUGAGGAAAAGUCCGACCGGAAAGUUUGGUCAACCCCUCGUGAGUGAUGACAAAGCCAUUAUAAGGAAGUUAAUACACUAAUACUUGAGGUGGACAGAUACAAGUAUGGGUUAGGCUACAUACUAAAAUUAUAAAUAAUAAUAUUUAAAAAUAAAAAUAAAAACACAUAAAGGGGGAGAGAGAGAGAGCAACAUUUUGUGCUUUAAAGCUCUAGAAAUUAUUGGGAAGGUAAAAAGAAAGGCAUAAGCGCAUAUAGAGAAAGAGGAGUUAAGGGACUUGAAAGGUAAUUCAGCCCACUGGCUUGAAGCUCAAAAUUGAAAGUGUUGGACCAUUGAUACAGUUGAUACAGUUGCAGAAGAGAAUUAAUUGAAAGUAUUGGAUAAUUUUAAAUCAUACAAAUACCAUCCAUGAUGACAUGUUAACAUUUACUUUGAAAUACACAGAUAGAUUAUGAAAUAUUUUGUUUAAAUUCUUAUUUGUACUCGAGGCAUUUAAAGGUUAAAUGAUAUGCAAAACCACAAAACUAAAAACAGAUUCUAGAGCAGAAAUAGAAAUGCAUACCAAAUCAUCAUCUUCGGUAUUGUCUCCUUUUUCCACUACUCUCCCUAAGGAUUAUAUUCUCUUCUUCAAGCUGACCAUAUCGCUCCUUUGCAAAAGCUAGAUCUGCUUUGACCGUGUUCAGCUCCCGAAGAAGAAGCUUUUCUUUGGCAGCCAUUGCCAUUGCAACCUGUAACUAUAACCAGGAGGCAUAUCAUACAUCUCACCUAAUAUCAACAUACAUCUAUUUUUUAAACAUGUUAUUUUUUUGAGUUGCAUCUGAUAAAGUUCAUUCUAUUAAUGCCAAAAAACAAAACCCUUGUUGUUCUACUUUACUCCACCUCCACAGCCCAAAUCCACUGUAUACCAACCUCCAUGCAUUUUGCUAACCAAAAACACAAAAACAACACUAAACAAAAAUAUCCACUUCAUAGAUCUUCAUUUUCACCAAACAAUCCAAUUUUUUUAUAAACAAACAAAAUAAAAAUUCUGCUAAAUAUAACUCCAAAUGGGUCCUCCUCAAUGUUCUGCUGUUACUAGAAUCAAUGCACAUAAACAAGCCUAAGUUUUUACUUCUACUGAAUAAAGAAAGGUUACAUAAUUCGAGAGUACACAAUAAAGAAACUAAACCCAAUCCUAAGUUUUUGCACACAUAAUUCAUGAAGAAUCUAAGUUACAGCAUAAUCCAUCGCUGAAAUUGAGUUUCAAUCCUAAACAAUAACUAUAGCAUACGAUAUGAAAAUCUCCAAUUCUCCAUACAGUAAAAACCUAAUAAAAUUGAAUGUCCAAUCUUGAACUAAAUUUCCCAACUUCAUGCCAGGCCAAAAUAAUCUUCAAAACAAAAGAAAACAAAAGAAAAACUACAAAUCAUUCAACCCUAAAAUUUACUUUUUCUCACACGUGCACUGCAUAUCUGCAUUCUUAAGGCUGAAAUAGAACAAUCAACAACAAUGAGCAACUGUACCUAGCUUCAAAAUCUGCUUAACCAACAUUUUCUUAUAUUACUUUAUUUGUAAUGAAAUUCUACUAUGAAUCAUGCAUGUUUUCAGUUGUAUACAAUGUUCAAGUGUCAUACCAGUUCUUAAUGCUUCGUGUUUAUCAGAAUUUGUUCUAAUGAUGUGAUAGAGAAUACAUGCCAUAUGUGAGUAAAAGAAAGGCUUAUAAGUAAUGUAUAUAAACUUAUACAUAUGUUGCAUUUUAAUGUCAGUUUUUAGAGUAUUUUCCUGAGUUGCUUAAAUAGUACCUCUGAUCCAAAUUAUAAGAUCAAUAUUGACUUUUCAAAAGUCAAUUUCAAAUACUUUCAAACUUAAAAUUGACAUAAAUUCUUAUAGUUUAUGUCAAAACAAUUACGAAUAUCGUAAACUAACUAGUAAUAAAAUUUAUUGUUUCAAAACUUGAAUGAAUCAUGUCAAUUUAAAAUGUGAAAAUAUCUCAAAUUGAAUUUUAUAAAGUUAAUAUUGAUCUUAUAAUUUAGAAUGGAGAGAGUAUAUAUUAAAAAUAAACAAGUCUAGUUUGUCCCUACCAAAAAUCAAUUUAGUCAGAAGUGUAAGUAUUUUUAUUAAAUUCAUGCAAAAGUUUAGUUGUUAACAUUCUACCUACAUAAAAUUUGUGUACUUAGUGUACCUUCAAAGAGUCACAAAUCGGUCAUAGCAUAACAUUAUUUGGCGAUUCUUGAACCUAAAUUGAAGCAUCAGAAGUUUUGUUCAAUUAGAAGUGGAAUCAGCUCAAAAGACUUAACAAAGGAGUUAUAACAAUUUUAUUGUAAUAUGGUGCAUGCUUAAUUAUUUGGGAAACACUCAUUCUACUAAGUAAUUAUGAUGAUACAAUUUUUGAUAUUCGUGUAGUAAUAAGUAAUGAAUGGAUGAGAAAUUUAUGUGAUGAUGUGAACAUUUUACGCGUGAUCAUUGAACAUCAUGCAUUGAUAUAUGAUUUUGAAAAUAAGAAUGGUAACAAGGUGAUUAUUGGGGAAUUGAAGUUCAAUUGUGUUGUUAAAGUUGAAAUUGUAAAGGUUUCCUAGCUUGAAUUAGGUUAUGGAUUCCCUCGAGGACAACUUGGGGACAAAUCCCUAUAAGAAUAGUUGGUGCCUAGCCAAAAUUAUAAUGUUACUAUAUUUGGUUUCUAGCCAAAACUAGGAUAUCUGUUUUAAAGGUUAUAUCCUUGUUAAAGAACUUAUUAUAUGAAAAAAAUAAAGAAGAGAAUGUAAAGAAAACAUGUUGCAUUGAUGUUCGAUUUUCUUCAUUUGCAUGAUUUGUUUGUGGUUGCAUAAUACAUUGACUUAAAACUUAUAUUAACAUAUUCUAUUGGGCUUAUUCUCGCCCGUAUAUAUUUUCAAGGGUAAAAGACUCCUUCAGAUUGGAAUACAAGAGAAUAAGUUUGAAAUGACUUAACAUUACUAUUAUGGGCUAAGGGAAGAUGAAUCUAUAAACAUGGUUUUGUGUAAAUUAUAAUUAUAUACGACUUAAAUGUUCAAAGCAAGAUGCAUUUGUUUUAAGAUAUCUAAGGGUUCAUUAGGUAACUGCUUCUGUUUCCAAAAUCUUGUUUCUACUUUUACUAUUUUGAAAUCAAAAGCAAAAAAUAGUUUUUGGUAACAAUUUCUGCUUUUAAAAAAAGUGGAAGCAAAAUCUAUUUUGGCAGCAAAAAAAUGAAAACACAAAAUAGUUGUUUCUUCAAUUUUGGCAACACUGGGAGUUAUUCUAAUUCUAAUGAAGUCCAAAUCUCAUAAAUAACAAAACUUCAAACUUAACUUCUUUUUAAAAAUAAAAUAAAGCUAACAUUUAAAUAUAGUUAUCAAACAUUUCUGAUUUUUGUUUUCACUGGUGAAAGCAAGUAAAAGCAUAAACAAUCGAUAAUAAAAAUAAGAAACCGAAAUAUGAAAGCAUAAGCGGUUACAAAACCAACUCUUACUAUUUAAUAUAUCAUUGUGGGAAAUGAAUACAAAAAGGUGUGUUUAUUAAGUUUGGCUGCUUAAACUGGAGUAUUCGGAAUAGAAAUGCUUGAAGCCAAACGAUUAUUUCUAAAACCCUUUUCCUUAUUAACACCACACCAAGGGUAGGAUCGUAACAAAAACAACAAGUAGUGGUGUUUCAAAAACUUAGAUAUUCUUAAAUCUAUAUAUUAAUCAAAAAAAUAAUCUAAGCAUUUUUUCUAUAACCAUUUUCCCUUGCCCAUUUCUUCUUAUUCACCUCCCCAAGGGUGGUGUCGCCACAAAAACAGUGAGUAGUGGGGGUCAAUAGCUUAGAUAUCCCUAAAUGUGUACUUUAACUAAAAUAAUAAAUCUGUUUACACAAUAUUAGCAAGCUUUAACUAUUCAAGUCAAGUUUGGAUAUUACUAACCUUUAAUUUAUUUUUUUUAUAUUCAUCGCUUGUCUGCAAUGGCACACUACAAAGACGCGGGGUCGGGCCAUGGCCACACCAGGAUUUUUUAUUUAUUUAUAAUUAAUAUACAGUUAAUUUUUUUUUUAAUUUCCAAACACUUAAAUUUGUUUUUCUUUUUCACAAAAAACUUUUGAGUAUUUAGUCUUAUUUAUAUCUUUUCUCAAAUUUUUAUAUACCAUACAUUAUAUAUUUAAACGGAUUCCUUCUCCACCACUCUUAACUUAUUGCUAAUUUUACAUAAUUUAUCAUUAAAGUUAAGAAAUGUGAGUAUAUUAGUGUUUGAAAUUAUGAAUUUUUUGUGUUGCUAUUUUUUUACUGUAUCUCUUGCAAAAAUAUAUAAAUUAAUUAGGAUUCUAUAAUAUAUAUUUGAAAUCAUAAAUUAGGUAUUUAUUAUUUGUUUUGUUAUAAUACAAAUUUUAAGGUGAGUCUGUGGUUGGAUAAGUUUUCUUGUUGAUGUAUAAGUUUCACUUUUUAACCCUUUUUAAGGUAUAAUAUAAACAAUAAAAAUUAUUUUAUUAUGGUGUUUAUGCAGUUAAAAAAAAUCGGUUGAAUGACACUUUUAUCCCUCCAAGUUGCCACCCACUUUUAAAGUCAUUCCCAAAGUUCAUUUUUCACCAAUUAAGUCAUUAAAGUGACAUUUUUUGGCGUUUCUGUUCCUUUUACCCGAUUUGACCCCAACCCGAUCCAUUUUGACCCAACCCGACCUAGUUUAACCCGAGUAAGUCAAGUUCCUACUAAGGAUGACAAAAUCAAGGACCAACAAUACUUUAACUCCAUCUUUAUCUUUGAAGAGCCAAAAGAAAUGCCUCCUCAAAGGUUCCUAGAUCACCAUAUCAACCUCAAACAAGGAGCUCAACCCUUCUCCAUCAGGCCCUAUAAGUGUUCUUAUGACCAAAAAAUAAAAUUGAGAAAUUGGUUUUGGAGAUGUUAUAAACAGGAAUCAUCAGAUCUAGUAAGAGCUCUUUUGCUUCACUUAUACUCCUAGUAAAGAAAAAAGAUGGAUCAUGGUGGUUUUGUGUUGACUACAGGCAUCUCAACUCUUUGACCAUAAAGAACAAAUAUCUUAUACCCUUAAUAGACGAGUUAUUAGAUGAAUUGGGUGGAACCAAAGUAUACACUAAGUUGUACCUUAGAGCUGGUUACAACCAAGUUAGUAUGGCACCUGAAGACAGAGAAAACAGCCUUCAGAAUUCAUCAAGGCCAUUUUGAAUUUACUGUCUUACCAUUUGGGUUACAAAUGCGCCUGGUACUUUUCAAAAUUUGAUGAACCAUGUGUUCCAACCUUUUCUAAGGAAUUUUGUGCUAGUGUUUUUUGAUGACAUCAUGUUAUACUCUAAAAGCUUGGAAGAUCACUAUCUCCACUUGAGAGCAGUUUUUAAAGUCAUGAAAGAGAAUCAGUUGUAUGCUAAAUUUAGCAAGUGUGAAAUUGCCAAGGAAAGAGUGGAAUACCUAGGAAUGUCAUAUCAGCAGAGGGAGUAGCCAUGGAUUCUUCAAAAGUGGAUUGUGUUCUCAGCUGGCCCAGACCUACAACUUUGAAGGGCUUAAGAGGAUUCCUUGGAUUGACAGCCUAUUAUAAAAAAAUUAUCUAGAACUAUGGCACCAUGGCAAAACCCUUAACCACUUUACUGCAAAAAGACAACUUUGGUUGGAAAGAAGAAGCAGAGAAGGCAUUUGAUCAAUUAAAGAGAACCUUAACCACUACACCAGUUUUGGCAUUAUCAGACUUCAACAAACAAUUUGAAAUUGAAACAUAUGCUUCCGGGAGAGGCAUUAGAGCUAUACUAAUGCAAGAAGGAAGGCCAUUAGCUUAUUUCAGUAAGGCUUUUGGGCCAAAUGGACGAGGGUUCUCUACUUAUGAGAAGGAACACAUGGCAGUUGUAGAAGCAGUUAAGAGAUUGUCUUCCUAUUUGGGGCUCAAACAGUUUUUGACAAGGAUUGAUCACCAGUCCCUCAAAUAUUUCUUAUAACAAAAGGUAGUCUCAUGCUUGCAGCAAAGGUGGUUGAGUAAGCUACUUGGAUAUGACUACAGCAUUAGCUACAAAAGGGGCAAAGACAAGAAAGCAACUGAUAGCUUAUCAAGAAAGAUAAACACUGGAAAAGAGGUGACUAAUCCUAAUAUCCAUGGGGCAUGGAUUUUAAGAGGAGGAGGGAAUUGUCAAGCAUAACCCUAGUCAUUUUCACUUAGGUCUUAAUAUCUAGAAUAUUCUCCAAGUAACAACCUCACAUGCCCAUGUGCCCAUGUGCAGGUGGUGUAGGAUAAGUAAAGUAGAUGUAGGUUAAGCUUUAUUUUCCUGCAAGUAACUUGGUAUAAAAAUGUAAGCGGUGAGUUAUUUUCAUUUCAAGCUUUAUGAACGAUUAUAUGAGAUAUCUGAGAGAGUAUCUUUGAACUCUUCUCCCUUAUCCCUUCCUCACCUCCAUUCUACCAUAUUUCUACCCUUUCUUUCUCCCCCAAACUCUGUUUCAGUCUCUUUCUGCUCUAAAUUAUCUGUAACUCAUCUAGUUCCUAACACCCUCUGCCCAUCGAAAAAACAGCAUGAGAGAGCAAACUGGAAAAGUAUUAACAGACCAGAUCCCCAUCCUGAAAGUUUCAGCAGAACCACAGGUUUCCACAUCCUACAGCCCCAACCAAGGAUACAAAACAGCAACACCACCCUGGGCAUUAAAGGCAAUCCUGAAUAACUCCAUGAACAUCUCACAAAGUGGCACCUCACAACACCACACAAAGUUGAAUGUCAUAUCUUAAACUAGAUUUCCCAACUUCAUGCCAGGCCAAAAUUAUCUUCAAAACAAAAGAAAACAAAACAAUACCUGCAAAUCAUUCAACCCCAAAAUUUACUUUUUCUCACACGUGCACUGCAUAUCUGCAUUCUUAAGGCUGAAAUAGAACAAUAAACAACAAUGAGCAAGUGUACCUAGCUUCAAAAUCUGCUCAACUCAACGUUUUAGAAACCCACCGAAUCUGUUGCAAACAACAUUUUAUUGGGUCUGCUUGUUUCUCUGACCCUAGCUGUUCUACUUUACUCCACACCCCGAGUCCACUGUAUACCAACCCCCAUGCAUUUUAUUGACCAAAAACACAAAAACAACACUAAACAAAACUACCCACGUCAUAGAUCUCCAUUUUCACCAAAUUAUCCAAUUUUUUUUAAAACAAACAAAGAAAAUAUGUUAAAUAUAACUCCAAAUGGGUGGGAUAUAUUUUUUGGCCAUGUGAUAAUCUCUGCAGAAAGAAUAAGACUUCAAGAAAAUAAAAUUAGAGAAAGGAGUAGAUAUUCAAGAAAAGUUACAACAACAAAUAAAAAUCAUACUUUCAUGCUCUGUAAAAAGGAGACAUCAAUGGGUAUGAGACAGAGUGCAACGAGUGGUUGAGGGAGACGAGUAAAGUAGUAAAACUGAAGACUAAAACUAGAAGAUAUAUUAUCAAAAAUGUAAAAAAUCAAUGGAAAAUGAAGCAAAACACUAGAAUCAAUGCACAUAAGCAAGCCNNNNNNNNNNNNNNNNNNNNNNNNNNNNNNNNNNNNNNNNNNNNNNNNNNNNNNNNNNNNNNNNNNNNNNNNNNNNNNNNNNNNNNNNNNNNNNNNNNNNNNNNNNNNNNNNNNNNNNNNNNNNNNNNNNNNNNNNNNNNNNNNNNNNNNNNNNNNNNNNNNNNNNNNNNNNNNNNNNNNNNNNNNNNNNNNNNNNNNNNNNNNNNNNNNNNNNNNNNNNNNNNNNNAGAACAAUAUUUAAAAUUACAACCCAUGAGGGACUCAGAUUCUUCAUCAAGCAACCAGGGAUCAUUUUUAUCUAAUGAUCAACUCCCAUUACUCUAUCUCACCUAACUUGAGCAAUUAGUUUUAUAACUGGCAUGUUUUGGACAACAUCCUAUAUGACUGAUCAUUUUCUAAAUAUAUACUCACCAUUGACAGAAAACUUAUAGAGUCCAUAAGCCAUAAUUUACAUCACAUGUAUUUAUUUCCUUAUACGAGUUUUGAAAUGUUACAGGAGUUGAUUACUUUCAAAAAUGACUAAAACUAUGCAUAUGAUAUUAGAGAAGGAAAUUUUCAAAUAAUAUAACAGAUAACUGGUCCUCUUCCUAAUAAUUAAUAGAACAUUAAUAUAAUGCAUCACAAGCACUAAUAUUUUAAAUCUUGUUUACAAUUGUUGUUAAUAAAUAAUAAUAUUCAAUAAUUGCAAUCAAAAUGUGAGCACAAGUCUCUUAAGUUUUAAGACAAAUAAAAUGGGACAAGCAAAAUUGAAACAAUUUCAUUGGGCUGAUGGAUAAAAAGUCUAACCUCUUUUCCAUUGUGAAAAGUAUUUAUCUUUUGUACCAGCCAACUAAAUUAUGAAAUAUCAUAUCAAAGAGAAUUGUUAAAUUCACACCACUUUCAUAGCAAGCACAUUUAACAUCUACUACAGUUUAUUAAAAAAAACAAAAACAAUAAAACAUCUCCUUAUUAAAUAAUAUAUCACAAAUCAUAUGCUAGAAUGAAGCAAUUGGAGACGACAUCUUAAGUUUUGUUAGGAUAUACCAAUUUGUCACGAGGAACGAAGACGUACUAUUUUGUUAUAAAACAUUUUAUAUGUCCAAAAUAAAGGAAAAAAGGUUAGGGGGGGAAUGCAACCUUCGCUGAAGUGGGUAAAUGCCCUUAACAAAAAUAAAUUGGCAUCAAACAUUGCACUUAAAUAGACAACUUGCCCCUCUAACUAAGUUGUUUCCAGAUUAGUGCAAGCAGCUAAGUUUGAAAUGGCUAAUACAAUAAUAAUAGAUAGGACUCCUAAAAUUAUCCAUUCUGAGACAGCUAUUCAAAUAUUAUACAAUAGACACAGGACAACUUUGUGAAAAAAAAUGUUAUACACUUUUACAAAUAGCUUAUAAAAAAGCUCAACAGAGAAAUAAUCCACAAAAUUGAGAAAUACACAUUUUUUAUUAACUAAUUUCAAGUAAUACAUUGAAAAGUAAUUGCUACGGUGUACUUACACGCAUCCCGACAAGGUAACAGGUUGGGAAAUCCAGUUCAACUCGUCCACCAGUCUCCUAAUCUCCCCCUUUUCUACCAUUUCAACAACACCCAUCGAAACAAGCUCGGAGUUGAGCAAAGCCACGAAUUGGGAGGGUUUUACGCUUCUCGCAGAAGAGACCGAGAAAGAAACCCGCGAAAGAAAAGGCGCAGAACAGCCGAAAAUGUUCAUUACCGCACGGAUCCCAUAUAACCUGAGGGAGCCUGAUAACCCGCCAAAAAAUGGGGCUCCGACCCGACUGUACGAACUGUAAAAUCACCAAACAGUAACUGUACGCACUGUACAGCAGCUCCAAACAGCAGGGGAGGCCUAACAGCAGAGAAAGAAGGGCGGCGCGUGAGGGCGCGUCCAACCUCCGAUUUAGUCGAUCUACUUCCGGCCAAAAAGCCCCGAUCGACUCUGACCAACCUCUAUUACAUUACACUCAAGUAUACCAACAAAAUCAGUAAUAAAAGCAUAUAAAUUGCACCACUGAAACCAAAACCCUAAGUAGCCAAGUGAACUGUGGCUUCUUUACUUGAUCCUUGGUAUGUGGCUGCUGCCUCAUUUGUAUAGAACAAGUAGUUUUGUCUGGUUGAAGCCUUUGUGACACUGAACAAGGACAAGAAGAGUAUUGUUUAUACUUUCUAGUUGGUGAUAUAUUUAAAGAGCACGCAGACGCGUGUUUUUUAGUGCUGGAGUAAUAUAUUACCAAGUGGGGUUGAUGUUUGUUUUGACAUUUUUAGGUUUGUCUUAUAUAUAUAUAAUUAUAUAUAUAAAUAUAUAUGUUAAGUUAUUUUGUAAGUUGUGUGUUUGUAAGAGUCUUGAGUAUCGGCAAUAUCAUUCUACGAGAUGAAAUGAAUUUUUAUAAGAUACUCAAUAUCAUUCUACGAGAUGAAAUGAAUUUUUAUUCUACUAAAAUGAUUAAUCAUUCGAAAUAAUCAUCAAAUAUACUAUUUUUAUUUCAUUCAUUCCUCUAUUUUAUUUUCUCAAUCCAAACAUAACAUAAAAGGUGUCAACACACACUCUCUCUCUCUCUCUUUGUUUGCUCACACACUCUCUCUAUCUCUCUCAAUUUCACGAAUUACGCGUAUGAUUUUCGGCAAUAAAAUAUUAAAGAUAAUAUAAGAGAAAAAUAAAAAAAAGAGUUAGGAUUUGAUGCUUAAAAUUGAAUAAGAAUAAAGAUAAAUUAUAAAUCUUAUAAAAUAUGGGAGGUGUCUUUGUGAAAUCAUGAAAUGAGUAGAGCGAGAAAACGGAUGGAAAGUGAUUUGGGUGAAAACUUAAAAGAUAAACUGAGCGAAGUGGAUAGUUAUUUUAAGAUUUAUGAAUAAGUUCAUUUUUUUUCUCCCUUUUACAAGGCGUAUUAUGAAGUUGGUGGUAAAAUGAAAAAAAAAGGGUUUAAAUUCAAUGUUAUGAAUGAUUCUAAUAAAAGUUAAUUUUUUGUUUUCAAUACUAAAUCUAGCCAUACAAUGUGGCAUGAAAGAUUGUGACAUGUUAAUUAAAAGAAAAUUAAAAGAUUAAUGAAUUUGGGGACUAAUUUCAAAAUAUAAUAUAACACAUAAAAGUUAAAUGUAAAAUAUGCGUACAAGCAAAACAACAGAAAAAAUCUUAUAGGUCCAGUCCAGAGAAUUCAAUUGUUUUAGAGCUUAUACAUAGUGAUGUUUGUGAUUCAAAUAUACCUCCAACUAGAGCCGGUAAUAAGUAUAUUGUACCUUCAUAAAUGAGUAUUCUAAAUAUAAUUAUGUUUAUCUUAUUAAAACAAAAGAUGAGGUUUUUGAUAAGUUCAAAAUUUACAAAGCUGAGGUUGAUAAUCAAUUAGAGAAAAGGAAUAAGGUUCUUAGAUCUGAUAGGAGGUGGAGAAUGCAAGAAAAAGACUAAAAGAGUUUAAUCAAUAUUGUUAGGAUAAUGGAAUAAUACAUCAAAUGACACCUCCGUAUUCACCCCAAUCAAACGGUGUAGCGGAGAGAAAAAAUAGAACUUUCAUGGAUAUGGUCAGUCCAAUGUUACUAAGGUCAGGAGCACUCUAGAAUUUGUGGGAGGAUACAAUUUUAACUUUUUACUUUAUUUUGAAUUAAGUAACCGUGAAGGAUAAUGAAAAAACCUCUUUUUGAGUUAUGAAAAAAGAGAUCUCCUCAGCUAAAUUGCUUAAAAAUGUAGGAGUGUUUAGCAAAAGAAGCCAUGCCCGAACCAAAAAGAAAGAAAGUAUGACUUAAAACUUAGACGUUAUAUUUAUAGGAUAUGCUCAAAAUAGUAAUGCAAAUGGAUUUUUGGUUGUGAAAUCCGAAAUUAGUGAAAUUUAUAAUAAAUACCAUAAUAGAAGCUAGAGAUGCUACAUUCUUCGAAAAUAUUUUUCCUUUUAAGUCUAAAAUUGUUACUCAGCCCUCUAAUGUUAGAAUUCAAGAUGGUGAUCAAGGUUUUCAGACCCGGACUGAUCAUCGAACUAAAAAAGGUAUCAGGUGAAUGGGUCACUGGUCCAACAAGUAGUUGAACCAUUAUUGGCCCAGUGACGUCAUUAAUCUAUAAUAAAUAAUAAAUAAUUAAAUCAAUUAUUAUAUAUUAUAUAUAAUAUUUAGUAAAUAUGUACAAUUAAUCAAUUUAUCUAUAAAAAAAACUAAACCUAUUUGUACAAUGUUUACUUUAUACCAUUCAAAUAAAUAUUAAAUCUAUAUGAAAAGAAAGAUAUUAAAUCAUGAUCAUAACUCAAAACUCAAUAGUGGUAAAAUCAAACACAAAUGAACAUAAACAUCUCUAGGAUACAUUCAAAUUCAAAAAUUCAACCACAAGUUCAAGUGUUUGAUUAAAUGUGAAUGCAAACAUAUCUAAAUACCAAACAAAGUCUCAACUAAAUUACUAAAAUAAAAUCCAUGACACUUAAUUCACAAAAAACAUAAAUCAUUCUAAGGUUGAGAAGGUGAUGCUUCUUGCCAAUUCCCAUCAGCGUCUUCAUCUAUUAACCCACGAGUACCAAUUCCACUUGCUACUCCAACUCCACAAAGUUCUUCAAUUCUUCAAUGUCCUCUAAGUUCUUCAAAUGUAAACGAGUUAACGACAAAUUUGUGAAUGACGUAAAGUCGUCUUCACAAUGUCUUCUUCUUCAUUCACUUCUACAUAAAACAAACAGACAAGAAAAUUUAGUAUUGUAUAACAUUGGCCGAAAAAAUCAUGCCCAAGCUAUAGUGACGUGCAUUUAGAUAUAAUAUUGUAUAACAUUUUAAUAUAUGCAUACCAGUGCAAUCUAGACAUGCUUUUUCUAAGCAACACAACUUUUUAGUUAAAUUUUAUAUGCAUGUAUCACACUUGUUUUAAAUGGUAGAGAUUACUACACUUUAUAUAUGUAAAUCUAUGUAAUGUGGACAUGUUUUUUUCUGGGAACACAACUAAAUUUCAUAUGUACGUAUAGAUUACGCCAUAAAUGCUUUACAUAAAAGAGCUAAAUUGCUGAUGCAACUAUGUGACUGUUUUCAAAGAUCCAAUAUAACUAUGUGAAGUUCAUUCAAACAGUUUCAAUCAUGGAUUAAAUCACACCCUUACAUAUUGAUGUAAAAUCUUGAAGAUUUUUAGGUAAUGGAAUCCUUACAUCAAGUUGUAGUGUUUUGAUAUAUUGCUUUUGCAAUCAUAUAAAGGACCACAGGGACCGUAUUGGUAUAAACACAAACACGAUUCAUAUUGCAGUUGUGCUGUGAUGUAGAAUUUAGUCACUGUUAGACCGUUACAACUAAAUACUAAUUACUACUAAUUUCAAAGCUGAAAUUGAUGCAUGAUAUUACUAUUAAUUACAUGGAGAUGCUACUGCUGGAACAAAUGGAAUGAGUUUAUACAGGGCAGCCAAUUCUAUUACAACCAACAUAAAGAAUGGAGUAUCGAAGACAAAUGCACCAAUAAAAAUAUGCAAAUAGCUACUAAUUGACAACCAACAUAAAGAAUGGAGUAUCGAAGACAAAUGCACCAAUAAAAAUAUGCAAAUAGCUACUAAUUGGUGAACUGAUGGAAGAUGGGCAUGUGAGGAUUUUAAAUAUGGGAGAACAAGUACAUGCAUUAUGUAUAUGCUACCAGACUAAACCAAAAACAUUACAUGGCUGCAGAAAUAUUCCAGCUUAUACAAAUAUUAAUCUAAUAUUGAUAAUUUAAAUAUUUCUCACCUCCAAGAGGACGACGUCGUUGCCUUUCCAAAUGAGGCAUCGCUCCUUCAGAAUGCCUAGUGAAAUUAUUCCAGCUCUCUCAUUUGUAGUUCCACCGUCUGUGUAAAUCAUUCGCAGUACAUUGAGCUAUCAUUUAUUUGCAGUGUUGCCUCACGGAAAUAAUAUCCAGUCUAAUUCUUCAAAAUAUUUUAUAGUAGGUGUGUGUUCUUCAAUAUAUUUGAUAUUUUAUGUUACUGCUUACAUAUCCUACAAAAACACAUCAUGGUUAAACAGUAAACAAAAAUCACAGCAAAGAGUAAUGAAGCAUCACAAACACGUCUUGCCAACAAAAAUACAUACAAGUUGAACAAACACAAAAACGUAGUAUCAAAGAGGCAGAGUGAUAUCUCAACUUACCAAAUAUAUGUGAUUUCAAGGGUAAUCGAAUCGAAGAUCCCUUCACUUUCAACUCUCUAAGUUGCUUGCUUUUACUUGUUUUUCGUAUCUUUGUAAAACCACUGCUACUUUCUCCUCUUGAAGGAUCAAUUCCUUUCUGCACCUUUCCACCACUACUUUCUCCGCUGAAAAGAUCAAUCCCUUUCUUCACCUUUUCAUGAUAAACGGACGGUGGUGCAAGCCUCAACUGAGGAGGAUUUUCCACAUGAUUCAAUCUAUGUUCUUUCUGAAGAUUAGUUCAGAUUUCAAAUUGCUGCACCCAAGUUGCAAUCCAAUUAGUAUCAAGAUAAAUGAGUACAAUGGGUUAACAGUUAUAUCUAGACUAACCCUUGAAAUUGGAUGAUAACCAUAGGAACCCUCAAAUAUAUCGCUUUCAUGUUGGUGCAGACCAAUUGUCCCUUGAGCUGUCUAGUUUCUUGACAAAUACUUGCUCACUAAUCCAUCCUCCGCAAGGGCAGACUUACUUUUCGAACUCAAAGCCAGCCUUUUUCUAUGGUGUACAAAUGGGGCAUCCCGCUGAAGAAUCUCUUUGUGAUGCCUCUUUUUCUUGAAGUUCACACUGCAGAUGGGUUGUAUGUCCACAGCUGAAUAUUUGAAUCCUAGAGCUUGUGGAAUUUUUGGUAAGAGGGCAAUUACAUAUGCAACAUAAAAGACUCCUAGGUAUGUACCCAUGAGAAGCGCCCUUUUUUAGUAGGCUCGUGGUAUAAAAAGUAUCAUCCUCAAUCAGUGACUUGGCAGUGUCCUGGCAUUACAAGCAACUAGUCAAUAUGGAAACUUUUCAUUCGAAUCAUGCAACAACAAUAUGAUAAAUUUCACAAAACAUUUUACUUGUAUGUAGCCAAUCAAAAGUGGAAAUUAUGUUUCGGAUGAAAAUCAAUAUCCACAAGUUAAGUCAGAAUGUACAGUAUUAAUGUUUGCGAGUUUGGGUAGAAAAUAAAACAAGAGUUAAAAUUACUAGAGAAGAGUAAUGGAGGAGUGAUAACAAGUUUCCUUGUGUUUGUGAGUUAAUGAGAGGAAGUGGACAUUGAAGGACUUAAAAUUUUAAGGUUUGUUAUUUUGAGGGGUAGAAUGAGAACAAUAAGAACAAUAAGAGGGAAAAUAACUUUCCAACCAAAUCUUCCCAUUCUUGGGGGAAAAGUUGUGGGUAGAAAGUUGGGUUUACUUUCCACCCAUUUCCCUCAUCUUCCCUCCUUAAAAAAACUCACAUGACACUUGGGAAGGAAAACAUUUAAAAUCCUCCAUUUUCCUCUUCUUUCUUUUUUUCCAACCUUUUUAAACUCAUGAACACAAUACAAGUCAAAUAAACAAUAAUGAGUCUAUUAGAAAUUGAUAAAUAAUAAAAUAAACAAGGUAUAUGACUUCUCAGUACCAUAUUACCGAUAAUUGCCUUUUUCCACUAUUUCGUAUUGGCAUAACUUCUGGUUAAUUUUUAUUUUGUUAUUUAUAUAUUUUUAUAUGACUUCAUUUGAAAAGAUAUUGUACAAGUAAAUAGUACUAAAAACAAAACCAAAUGUCAGUCUGCCACCUCCAUUUUGCAUUUUUGGUGUGAAAUGACAAGGCUAAGACAAAAGAAUAUCCAAAGGAAAGACGAGAGAUAUUUAACCAACAAUUUCUGGUUUCAAGAAUGUGAAGAAGACUUGACCACCAGCAACUCCACAUAGAAAACUUAGCUCGAGUUUAUACUAAAUUAUUUCCAAAUUUCUCCUUUCAUGGAAAACAAUGCAUCCAAAAGCUAGAUCACAUGGAUGUACAACAAUCUCAACUUGAUAACAAAGAGAACCUUUCAAAAAAUUAUCUCAAUGAUAGUAAAUAUAUAUAAGUAAUUAACAAAAGAAACGUGUAUCACGAGUUUCUCGUCCUUCAGUGUUUAUAAAACAAGUAAAUUAUAAUAAAAACAAUGAUAGGAAGAGAAAACAUACCAAAAUUCUUCUUUCAAAAUCAUGUUCCAAGCAUUCCCAAUAUGGUAAUUUAAAAUCACCAAAUUCUUGGUUACCAUUAUCAGAAAGGAGUUUCAGCAUGAUGGAUGGAAGGCGAACAUAUCCGAUCAUUCCCUCAACAAUCUCUUUAAUGAACACAUAAAAUAAUUUCCUCAAAAUAUGAGCGCUUCUUUGGGACCUUGACACCUUCCACCUAAUUUUGUAUGCCGUUUCAUUCUCCUCUCUGUCCAAUGAUACAGCUAGAAGUCUCAAGUUCUUUUCACCUUCAGAAUCCAUUUGACCAUUAUAUGAAUCCAUUAAUGGCUCACAAAACCUGUAUUGAAACAAAAACAAUUAUUAGAAAUGGGUAAACACGCGAAGUAUCAAGGAAAUAAUGUAUGCAGAAAUGCAUGUGCAAGUCAUUGCGCAUAUAAGAAUAUCAUUUAGAAACAGUGGAGAAGGAAAAUGAAUUCUGGUGGCAACAUAAGAAUGUAGAAACAGAAUUCAAGUAGCAACGCUCUGGGAGAAGAUGCAGAUUGGUUAAAUUUAUAUACAAAUGUGUCUUUAGGGUUUACAUUUUGAACUUUGGAAAUAGGAAAUUAUCCUAUGGACUCAUGGAGAUAUUGUGCUAUAACUAUAAUAAUUUGAAUCACAAAUAUAAAUAGUGUAUAAUUUCCUGGGAACUACUCAGAACAAUGAUUCUUGCAAAAGGAUGGUGAUACAUAUAUUUUCUUUACAUUUUUGACUUAAAGUCACUCAUUGAUUGUCUUUUCAUCCUUAACUUUCAUCCAUUAUCCUAUGGACUCGUGGAGAUAUUGUGCUCUAAUAAUUUGAAUAUAAUUUCCUGGGAACUACUCAGAACAAUGAUUCUUGCAAAACGCUAGUGAUACAUAUAUUCUAUUUACAUUUUUGACUAAGUCACUUGCUGAUUGUCUUUUCAUCCUUAACUUUCAUCCAUUGCACUAAAAGAAAAUAGGAAUAACUUCUUAAAUAAAUUUGUCAAACAAAUCCUACCUGCUCAACUUUUUUCUUCUGUCCAAGUCAUAUUUCCACUGCAGCUGGGCAACUCCUUUCUUCUCAUUACACCUGCAUGAGAAAAUUAUAUUCGCCAUUCUUUACAGAGGAAGAGCAAAGGGAGAUAGAAAUGAAUAGAAGCACAAAGUUGGUCAGUGUUUAAUUAUCUCUACCAAAAUGGUGUUGCUUAAGAUAAGAGAUGCAUGCAUAAUUAUGAAACAAAGAUGACUUGGUGCAAAUCCAAGUUUAAAACUGCAUCAAGGUACAAAAUCAAUAAGAAACAUGCAAACAAUUAGAAUGCAGAAAUAGUAAUUGGAGAUUGAAUAAUUUGUGAAAUAUAUGAUAGAAAAUAUACCAAAAGCCAAAAAUAUGACAGCAAGAUUGCCGAGUGAGAUUGAACGAUGUUUGGCUUCUUGAAAGAAGUCAAUGAAACUAGGAAGCAAUACAAAUGUAUCCAUUGUUGUAUCCAGAAACGUGUACAGCUAUGAAAACAGCCACUCCUUCAAUAAAUUUGUUAAAAGGUAUCUGGAUAAACGAAGAAAAAAAACCCAAGAGUUGUAUAAGUGAUACCUCCCCUAAGACUGUUAUAGUAUGUACUCAUUUUACAACUGCCUAAGAAUAGAUAAGCUUAGUUUCCAAAUUUUCUUAAAUGUGCCAUCUGAUGCCAUCCAAAUCGGAUGGAGGUGUAUAUGCCACAAUUAAAAUAACAGAAAUUCUUCCAUGAAAAAUUGGCAGAUAAGAAGUCUACCAAAAUUAAUUAACCGAGUGGUGUUGCAUUACUAACCAUGUAUUUCAAUUUGAAACUGCUAAUAGCCAUUGGACACAUUCACAAGGCAACCUUUUAAGUAGACCAAGUUGGAUCAUUUCAUUAAGCAUAUGGUACCUAAAACUAUUACUAAAGUUCCAAGAAAAGAAUUAUAUUUCAAAUACAAACAAUCCGAUAUAGUAAGGUUUGAAGACAGUCAUUAUGUAGAAGUACAUGUCACAGUCUAAAAAGCAGCUAGUUGUAGUGACCAUAUAAAAAAGAAUAUUACUUUGAAUGCAUUGCUGAUAUUAAUUUUAAUUAUGUGAAGACUGUAGUGUACGGGUCUCUAUAAGCAAUUCAUUAUUAGAAUGCUUGUAAUGUGACUAAUUUAUAAAUACAGGAAGUUACAGAAAACAAAUAUUAAAACGGAAAUAUAAAUCCACUAAACCAAAUGGUGAAAGUGUCUCUUGUUUAUGACUAAAGUUCAACUUGUCCAUUAAACUAUCAUACUAAAGAAAGUGAAAAUUACCACGAGAAAGGAGGAAGAAUUUGUAGUUGUGUGCCCCAACACAGUUACCUUGCUAACGAACUGAUACAUGAACAAUGUUAGAAAAGGAAGUAAAUAUUAUAAAGUAAUUGACUUCAAUACUCUUAUGCUACGUUGGUAUUGGAGGAAUGGAAUUAUGUGAGUGGAAUGAUUCAUUCCAGUCAUUCCAUACCCUCACCCAAGUAAUAAAAUUCACUAAUUUGGUAGGAAUGAGAAUAAUUUAUUCCAUUCCAAUGGAACAACCAACCACAAAAUUUUCAUUCCAUGGGAAUAAGUCAUUCCAUUUCCACCUUCAUUCCUUCAAUCCAAACAUAGCAUUACUGUUUGAAAUGAUCUACAAACGAAAUAUAACUCCUACUCCAAUAAACUGAACUAGCUUCAAUUUGUUGGCAUGCAUCUAAUUAAUCAUAGGAUCCAAUACCUAAUGUAAUAGAUAACUGGUUCUAACAGUACGUGAAACAGUUUAUAAAUUGUAGUAUACUAGACAAAAUCAUUGAAACAGUACUUGAGUCGUUACAAGACUACCAACAAUAAAUGACAGUCAGGUAGUAUACUAAACAAUAUCAUUACAACUGGAUGUCAAUCACUAUUAGUAGGAAACAAAAACUAGGCAGGUAGGCAGCUGAUGCAGUCGAAACAUUACUUCAGUGUAAGACACUAAGACUACCCCGCCCGACUAAUAAUGCCCACAACACCAUAAUUAUACUUUACACAAUCAACUACUUGCGACAUAUUAGUACGAUAACUUCUUUUAUAUAUAUAUAUAUAUAUAUAUAUAUAUAUGCAUGUUUCCCUUUUCAUCAAUUCAUCACAAUGUUUUAGGGAUACAGUGUUUUAACUUUAUAUUUCCUCCGCAAACAACCUACAAAAAUUAAAUAUUAACGACUCAAAUAAAUAGCUGAAGAUCAUACAAAUUCGUGCAAAAGUUGGGCAGGAGGAUUAGAGAUGAAGAAAAGGGAACAGGGAACCAGUUGGUCGAGGGAUUCAUGGGCAUGGAUUGGACAAAGGAUGAAUGAAUUGAGAAAUUUGCAGGAAGGGAUAAUUUGCAGUCACUCUUAUUAAUAGCAUUCAACGAACUGAGAAACCAUAUAUAUGCCUAGACUUGCACUGAAUUCUAGAUCGUUGAAGAAUGAAGACAAUACUAGAAUACUUGGCAAGAAAAAAUACUCGCAUCACUAUUUGGAAGAUUCAACGGCUUCUCUCUGUUUCCUCGUCUCUUCUUGAACUUCCUUACGCAUAGCCUCUUCCAAUUGUUUUUGUCUUGCACCCAUCAUAGCUUGAAAUUGGGGGGUCUCCAUCGUAGCAAGGAUGAGAGAUUGCAUAUCAGGUGACGUAGGUGAGGUAGUCAAGCGAGAUGCAAAGGCAAUCACUUUUAUAUUUUUCCUGUAGUUUGAAUAUACAAUAUGUUAUGUCUAAUAAAAGGUAUUGAAUGAGCCAAAUUUAGAACAUAAUAUAAUUCUCUUUGAUCAUUCGCAAAACCGCAAGAACCACAAUCUGAGCUUCAACUUGUCGGGGAAAAUUUGAUGACGUAACUCAAAAAAACAGAUUGAAAACUACUAAUGUUGUCUCUGAAGUUAAAGAUUGAACAACUCGAGAGUAAAUUCAAGAUAAGACGAGCAUGUUGUUCUAUUCAGUAAGAUAUUUUCAAACAUCUCUUCCAUCCAAAGUUAUGCUUGUCAUGCCAAGUAUAUAUUCCUGGAAUAAUUUUUCUUGUUUUAAUCUUCUACAACUCGAUCCAUUUUAUUUAUGUUCUUGUUUUAUCAGUCACUUUCUCCAGUUUCUACCAAAAUGGUGAUUAAUUUUUACAAUUUGUAGGUCAGAUUUUAGUAGACCAGUCAUGAAUUAUUGCUGACCAUAGAAUCUUAUACUUCUUUAAUUUUACUUGAAGCCUAUAAGUAAGAAAGAGGACACUACUACUAAUCAAAAUAAAAGGUAAAAAGAAUACUAAUCUACUUGGGAUUUUCCUGUAACUAAUACCUGGUAAGGUCAAAGACUCGAAAUUCCUUCCAAACAGUGUCAAAACUCAUAACAAUAAUUUACUUUUUUUAUAUAUAUAUAUAAAAAAGACUAGUUCUCAUGAUUAAUGCGUUGCUAAAUUUGACAAUCUUGAUUUAUUGAUGUUUAUCUACCUUUGUUAGCCCCUGAAUAUCGACAGCAAAGCUUGCAGCGCCGGUCUUUUGCAAGUUUGCAGCAACUUUCUCCAGAUGAAGGCUUUGAGGUCCCCCCAAGUCACCUCUGCUGCUAGAACUGUGUUGGCUUUGAUUCUGAUCAUUACUUUGUAUUAUUCCUUCACAUCACUCCUCUAUUAGUUGUUUGAGAUAAUAAUCAUUGGAAUUGUACCUGCAAAUUGGUUUCUUCAAUUACGGAGGAAAUUAUCCCAAAAAAAACAUUAUCUUUCACGACUGAACCUUUUCCAUUUUCUGAGUACUGGGAAUGCACUAUAACAACAAAGUGAAGUGUAAGAAAAAAGGUUAAACCUUUAUAGUUGCUGUGUAUGCAACAACAUCAGGUUCAAUACCAGCCUCACGCAUGGAAUUCAAAAUCUGCACUAGAAGAAGAAUGGUUAUUAGAAGAUCUAUAUUGCAAUGGCAGUGUUCGCCUAUUUUGAAAACAACUUGUACGCUAGAAUCAUGUGUUCAUGAAUGAAAACUUUUUUUAACAACCAACUUGCGCCAACCGUUUCCCUUCCAGAUGUCCACAUCUUUCAAAGGAGGAAAAUAAUGCAACUCUAAGAUCUAAAUUCAAAAGGCAUAGUUACCGCAAUACUUGAAAGGUAAAAUCUGGGUUUUCAAAUUUCUCUUGACAAUAGAUUAACAAUCACCAAAUGCCAAAAACAUAUACCUGCAUAGCAUCCUUGACAUUCCUUGAUCCACCAAAAAUGUCAAUCAAAAUUGACCAUCUUAUAUGAUUAGGACAGAGACCUAAUGUUUUGAUCUCCUGCAUUAAAGCUUUUGCACGGUGGUAAUCAGUACCACAGGCCUUCAUCAGAAUAUUGUAUGUUGCAGUAGUGGGUGUAAAAGGAACACUUUUAGUAAAAUGUGCACGAUCAGAAUCAGAUCCACUGCCAGGCACAUUAGUAGUAUAACUUUUAUGUGAAUGGUCUCCACCUAUAUUUAUCUUUUCCUGAUAAUCUUUUCUAUAAAAUUUCUAAGAUUAACUUGCUUUCCAGAUAUGGAAUAAACGGAUGGCCCAGUCGUACUGGCAAACCUCAACGCAUGCAUGAAGAACAAUGUUGCAACAUCGUGUAUUUGGUUUGCAACCAGCCAGAAGCAUCUCUUCAAAUAAUAGGAUUGCCUGCUCAACAAGACCUGCACUGGCACAUGCAUUUAUCAAUGAUGACCACAUAACUGUGUUGGGAGUAACACCAGCUGCAAGCAUAUCUUCUUUAAUUUCCAGUGCCAUUUGCCACAUCUUUGCAUCAGCAAAGACCUGUCAUUUGAUGCAAAAUAUAAAGAUACAAGAUAAGAAAUUUUUCAUAGAAUGGCUGUAUAAUGUACAGGAGAAGUGUAAAAAGUAUGCAAAAGCAGUAAGAAUGUAAGAUAUUAGACACAUAAUGUCCAUUUUAAGACUGAAGUAUAUUUACUAUAGAUAGAUAAUACCUUAAUUAUUGUGUUGUAUGUGAAAACAUCUAGUUUCAAUACUCCUGUUGAUUUCAAAUGUUGUACCUCCCUAUAAAUUUCCUGGGCCAAAUCAACUCUUGAAGCACGACAACAAGACUUCAAAAUAAUGUUGUAAGAUGUCAUAUCAGCAGCAACACCUAGAUUCUGGACAUAUAAUAUGAAGCAGAUAAAAGAAACUUUCUUGUUGAUAAGAAUAAAUUAUUAAACUUCCGCGUAUGUUCAACUAGCUUUUAGCAUAGAAGAAACAUGAGACCAUCUCCUACUACAAUAGAGUACAAACCUAAGUUGUUUAGUAUGUGUUCAGUUGUGUGCCACCUUAAGGGAAGCGCUAUAAUGAGUUUUAGAUUCCUAACCAGUGUAUUCCUCCAGACACUAUUGAUUAGUGAGACCAAUGGACCAAUACUGGACAAAAUGUACCUUUUGUUGGAGAACACUUUUCACAUCAAUAGCAAAAUUAUCAUUCAAAUAUUAAUGAGAAGAAAAGAUAAUAAAUUUAUUUUACAAAUUCAAAAGGCAACACAUUUUUAGGGGGAAAUAUAUGCUAAAUCAAGUAAAUAAAGAAUAUGGUUCAUCUUAAAUUAUUCAAAAGCAUAAGGUAUUAAAGGAAGAAAGACGACUGUGGGUGAAAAAGAGAGAUGAUAGUCCCCACUCUCGAACAGAGGAUCCAGUAGGAUCUUGAGCAUCAUUUGUCAAUUAUGAAAGAAAGAUGAAGUAAAUAGAAACAUAAAAACAACCAGCUUUAGAAGAAACUGUCCUAGUCUACUGAAGGAGUACAUAGUGAACUAUGUAUAUUUAUGCAUGCUAGAGUAGAUUUGCUUAUUUUGUGUGUUACAAACAUACAAGAGAGAGAAAGAGCAUUACUUGCAUAUGUUUGUAGAUCUGCAACGUGUAGCUCAAGUCACGAGCAUUAACAUUCAUCAGACUGUUGAAAACAGAAAGAUUUGGGGUAAUCUUUUGAGUUCAUAAAUCCUGCAGCAAAUAAACAUGAAACAGCAGCAUAGGAACAUCCAGAAAUAGCCCGGUAUUACUACAAGUCUGUUUUUCAAGAAUCAAAUUGUAGUUGUGAUAGAGAACCAAAACUAGAUUAACAAACUUUUGCCUGACAUUCUGACAACCAUGUAGCCACAUAAUUGAUAUUGUCUACAAGUUAAAAAAUUGGUCAAGCAUGAAAAUCAAUUUUAAAGCUAGUAAUCGAAUAUCGAUACAGAUAAUAUUACUCCUUCUUUGGAAGCCAAUAUAAACUUGAUUUUAACCCAACUCUUAAAUUUUAAUAGCCCAUUGCACUUUCAAAAAGGAUGCACACUUUAAGUACCAUACAAAAAAUCUUCCUAAUUCAUCCUUAAGCAAAUGUGAAGUGCUAGCAUCAAAUGGUCAUUUAAGUAAGGCAGGCCAUCACUAUCAAACUUUAUCAAAGAUAUCAAUGGUUGAUAUGAGAAUGUUAUGGAUCAUCUAGUCUAGCAAUUAUUCCUCAGGAGCAUAUGCUUCUACAUGAUGAUGGACCCCAAAUAAGUUUUACUGUUAAUCUUAAUACUCAUACAAAAGAUAAUCCAGUACUUAGAGAACAAUGCCAAAUGACUAGAUAUUAAAUUGAAAGCAACAACUCAGAUACACAUGCCUGGACACACACAUGUUAUCUAUUAGAGAUACUGAGCAUGUAAGAGAUAAACAACUAAGUGUGUGAAGCUUGUGAAUUAGUGUUGGCAAGUAACUCAUAAAUGGACCUAGAUCUCAAGAAGUCACUACAAAGACCACAUGCAUCUAUUAUUGUGCAGUAGAUGUACAUAUUAGGACUACCCAUAUCUUGCUUGGAUGCUUCAAAGAUAUUCAGAGCAGACACUAAGUCACCGUUCUUCCCAAAUUGAAGAAUUAUGUUGCAGAAUAAUACGAAUAUUUGGAAAAUAACGAGCAUACCUGUAGAAUGUGAUAGAUAAGGUACAAGUAGUGGCAAAACACGCAUGAAACCAAGAUACAUAUCUAAUUUCAGUAGUGUGCUAUCAUUUGUAGUGGGAACAAAAUUUUGUUGACAAAUUAACAGAGGAUUUCACUAUUCUUUUUUGCCUUUUAACCUUUAACUAUAGACGGUUAUGCCUCUGCAAGGAAGACAUGGACAGAAAAUAAAUUUAAAAAAUGAGUAAACAACAUCAAAGAAAAGCAGGUCCAGAAAAUCUUCUUGUAGGAAAUGGACAGAAGAGAAUAGGUUAAAUUAAGUAAAUAUUAAGAACACAGCAGAGCAAUUGGAGUCGGCACAUUGAAAAUCAUUUAUGAUACAUUAGCACGGCAAAAAAUAGUUCGACCAGAGAAAUUGACUAAUCUAUUUAAUGUUUUUUGCUUUCUGCAUGCACUCUACUCUCUUCUUUAUAAAAUGCAGCUUCCCAAUAGGCUACUAACUUCCUGUCAAGUAAUGCGACUAAAUGAACACCUAGACUAUUAAAUAAUUUGAUCUUACAAAAUAAAUGCAUUAACUGUAAUAGGCUAUCAGGAAAAAAAUUAAGCCAGUCAUAUACUUUAAGUAUACCAAUGUGAAAUUUCUAAACAAUCUAAGGCAGAGAGAAGCUAGAAUAGAAAUAUCUACAGUACGUCAGUACCAAUAAGGAGAGGCAUGAUGAAAAGAGCAGGGAAAGAAUCAUAAGCCUCUUACCUCCACAACAUAUGGAAAGAGUGUAAUUCCACCAAUGAUGCCAAGGUAAUAUCUUCUUGAAUUUCAAGACAUCCGCACUCCAUAAGCACAAGAUGAAUAAUGGCAAGCUAAGGGCUAGUAUAUAUCUGCUUCCAGUGCCAACUGCAAGGAGACUAGAAUUGUUGAGAGCCAAUAAGGGAAAAUGGGCAAUAAAGGGCUGAUGAAUGCAAGUACAGUUGACAUGUACAAGAAAUGUAUGGAAUAUAGUCUAAAUAAAAGCCAAGUAAGACAUCCCCGAAAGACAACAAUCUUAGAAGUUGCCAGCAGAACACCUGAGAAAGCUUUAUCAAGAACUUCAACACAUCUAGACCUUGCAGUUUAUGAAAUGGGAAUCAUACACAUCACUUGUUUUGUGACUCCACCAGAAUCUGAUGUGAUAAAAUAAUACAAGACCCAAAAGAAAAUCAUCGACUCAGACACAAAAUUGAAAAUACAUGCUGCUCCGGACACAAUAAAAUUACCAAUUAUGAACACGAGCUUAGCACUCCCACCUAGAACUGAUUUACCACUGGCAAAUAUGCCUUGCAACAAGUCCAAUCCUUGAAAGGUAAACCCCUUUGCCUUCUCAACCAAAUCCUCCCUUGUGAUCAGUAAUUCCCUAAAAAUCGCGUCAACUUCCGUAUAAAUUUCCCACAUUCACGAUUAGUAACCCUCUUCUCCAAACUCAGAAGUUUCUCAGUGUAAGGGGAUGGAGUCAUCAAAGCAGUGGACUUUGAAGAAGAAUUCACUGUUUGGAUUAUUACACAACGCCUAAUUCCAGUAACAAAUUCUGUCAUAUUAUACUGCAUUGCCAAACUAUCAAUCUGAUCAGACACGGUAUCAUAAAAUUCUGUAGUGUAAAUCCUGAAAAUAGCCUACUCCAUGUUCAGCUUUCUCGUUCACAUCCAAUUUGUUCAGCUUUUCUGAAAAUAAGCCAUUUGAACUGGCGUUGAGAAUAAAAAUUCAAAUUGAACGCCAUUUUAAAUGGCGUUGGAACUUUUUUUUUAUAAUGCAAAUGUGGAAUGGAAUAGAUGCACACAAGCAAAUGUGAACAGAGCUUGAACACCAUUUCAAAUGGCGUUGAAACAUUUUUUGUUUUUUUCUCAAUAAAGCAAAUGGCAGCUUUUUUGAUGCAGGAAAUGUGGAAUAGAGCUUGAAUGCCUUCCAAGUAAAAGUAGCUUAAAAUCAAUCUGAUUUUGUGGCAAUGACCGCAUAACAUCCUUGCUCUUGGAUAGAACUUUAGCCUUCCAAGUAAAAGUAGCCAAAGUAUUGGGAACAAGGUCUUGUGCGCGAGUUAGAAAAGUAUACUAAUAAAUUUAUUUAAACCAGUAGAUAUUUUAAUGUAUUUCUUAACUGGUAUGCAUAAGCACAAGUGCACUUGUAUUGAUUUACUAAAUGUGGUUUAGAUCUGAAUUACAAUGGUUGCCUUUGACCGUCUCUUUUGUAUACUCUGGCAGUAUGAUGAAGACAAAACUCACAUAAGAGAUGCUAUUAAGUCUGGAAAGGCAAGACUACAUACACUAAUCUUUAUUUGUGUAUCUCAUUACAUACUUCAUUCGGAUUAUAUAAUUUAAGUUUGUUUUUUUUGUAUCUUUUUUAGAUCAUCAUUGCAUCAACAUGGACGUUUGAAGACUUUAGGGCUGCUAUCCCUGAGAGCAUUGGUUCUCCACCGGUAUCAGAUAUUAAUUUACAGGUUUAACUUCUGCUGUUUGAUAUCUUUACAUUUUUCUUUGUUUCCAGAUGUUGACCUUGAUACGCAACGUCAAAUUUUCAUUUUUUAUAUUAAACAUUUUUUUUGUUUCUUGAAGGUACACAUACUUAGUAGUUUUUUGAUACUUGAAUGUUGAACCUAUGACUAGCUGGACCGAUCAUAGUUAUUUAGAAUUGUGAUUUCAUUAGAAAUCUUUUUGGUAGUACUCUAUAGAUUUUUUCUUUAAUAGAAAACAAUAAACCCAAUUUUUGUUCUUCCUAGUAAUUUGUAAGUGAUUGUUGAGUCGUUGACAUUUAUAGUUAUGCAGUUCCAUAGUUUAGCAUAUUAAGUGACUCCCGAUUUUAUAUGGUAGCCUGAAUUUGUCUAUAUGGGUCACUCAUGGUAUCUUUUCACGCUAUUGAUGGCUUUAAGUUAAAAUUUUGGUAAACCAUAUCUUAGACCUGUCCCAUGAUCUAUCGUAUUAAGGUGGAACACGAGUCAAAUGUUUAUGUCGACUUUGAAUAAUUAUGUAGAUGAGUACAAGUUUAUUGCAAUACAUAGCUAUUGUUUGUCGCUGCGAACCGCUGUUGAUUUUUCUGGCGAGUUUUACUUCCCAAAUUUAGAUGGGGUAUCUAGCCAAUUUUUAAUUCCAGUCCAGUGUACAUUGUUUGGUAUGGGCUGUUUGAGUUUUCUUGCCAUGUUAUAUAGUUUUUUAGACAUGUCUCAUCAUAUAUCUGAAGAGUGGUUUCACAAUGUAACAGGAAUGGCCCGAAGAAGAAUAUCCUCCAUAUGCCAACGGACCUGGAUAUAUAAUUUCCAGUGAUAUCGCCAAAUAUAUCGCCUCUCAGCGUGUUAAAAGAAGCCUAAGGGUUUGUAAACCAGAAAGCUAAUAAUCUUUUACAUCUAUUAUCAAUGAUGAUUAAAGUUCUAUUACUGAAGCAAAUAGUUCUAUGCUUCUCUCUUUGGCAGCUCUUCAAGAUGGAGGAUGUGAGCAUGGGAAUGUGGGUUCAACAGUUCAACAUCUCCACACCUGUCCAAUACUCCCAUAGCUGGAAAUUUUGCCAGUAUGGGUGCCUGGAGAAUUAUUUCACCACUCAUUACUAAUCUCCUAGGCAAAUGAUAUGUCUUUGGGACAAACUGGCAAGGGGUCAAGCUCGUUGCUGCAACUUUUAAAAGAGAAAGCGAUUUUCAACUACAGGGAUUGAAAUUAUUUUGCAGCCAUUUCGCUAUUGCUAGAAAUUCUUUCACCUCUUUGUCAAAUCUUGCACAUUUUAUAGACGAAUGGAGAUUGCUGCUUCAGUUUUUUUGGGAAUUUUUAUUAUAAAUGAUUUAGAGUAUUCUGUGAUUAUUUUCACUCAGGUUCGGACGUGGGGAUUGCCCAGUGACGGAUGCCAGCUAGAGUGAAGAAGCUAGUUGUAUAGAAUUUGUGCCAUUUUUGUACUAUUGUUAUUAUUUCCACAAAUUCUUUUUUGUAAUAUUACAUAUUAAUAUAUUCAAUUUAAUAUAAUAUUUGGGAUGCUUAAUAUUCGAGAUGCUUAAUAUUACAGAUAUGAAGCAUUGGGAUAUUCGAGAUAUGCUUAAUAUUCUAGAUCAGUCAUUUAUUCGCAUAAUAUUUGGGCAUACCAUAUUACAGAUCAGUCAUUCAUUCAUUCGCAUAAUAUUUGGGCAUACCAUAUUACAGAUCAGUUUUGAAUAAUAUUUAAGGGUCCGCUAGUUCAACUAGCAGAUUGAUGGACUGAAACAAAACCAAGGCGCGUUAAGCAGCAGGAGGGUAAAAUCUGUCCACGUCCCUAGUUCAACUAGCGGACGAUGUAUUACCAUUUUUAAUCCCAGCCCUUAAUUAUAUAAUGUGUGGUGGAGAUGCUAUUUGCCCAAUUUUCAUCCAUAGCAAAUACAUGCUCUGGAUCAUUCCCCUAUAUAUAUAUAUAUGGCGGGGCACUACCAUUUUCACACAUCUCAUGAAUAAAAACUACUCCCUCCCAGAUUAUUUCCAACUCUUGUUUUAGAGUGCAUGUCAUAGAUUUCAAGACUUGUAAAAAGUAUAUCAAAUAUAUUGAUUAUAUUAUUUAAAUAUAUAUAUAUAUAUAUGUAAUUAUGGAGCCUUCUUAAAAUCAAUGUUGCAUAAGAGCAACAAAAAUGUGGAACAAAGGGAGUAUAUGAUAGCCGUUACCAUGCUAUAACAGAUGAUUAAUAUCUAGAGUUGAGAUUCAAGUACCUUAGAGUAACUCCUAUACUUUGACAAGGAGAAUUUCCAUGGCCCGAGGAACCUAGAUUCAUUAGUAAUGUGAAAAUUCUACAGAUUAGUUGACAAAUCAAUACAAUUGGACAAGGGCAAUUAAUGGAUAAAAUAAUAAGGAGCAAUGACACAAACAUGAUUUACCUUUUCAAAUAAGCAUUUGGGAUCGUGCAAUUAAAUUAAACUACUUAAUAUUUAGCCAUGCAUUAGUUUAAGCAUCAGUCACAUAAUUUUUACAACAAUUUACAAUAAUGAACAAUGAUCUUCCAUAGAAUUUCCUAACAAUUUAGUUUCUAAUUAAUUAUAUUUCUUGUUACUAGUUUUGAAUCUUUGGAUUAUCAUACAAUUUAGUGGAUGAUACCUCCAAGAAAUACAUUAUCAGGACUUGUAUUUUGCAAUAUCCUCAUAACUAAGCCCUGAAGUGCUACUCGAACCUCUAAGGUGAGUGAAAAGGAAUGCAGUUGUAUGAACCUAGGAGAUGCAUAAUUCUACUUGGACGCACAGAAUGUCAGAGAUAAAGGACUGCGCCAUCAGCUCAGAAGGCUUGCAAGUCAAUCAAGCCUGCCGGGUAUCCCAUAAAAAUUAUACCAGAAACGGAUUUCUUUAAAACAAAAAAAUGGGUUUAAAUUUUGUGUUAAUUGGAUACUCAAUUUGCUUCAUUGAGGAAGUCCAUUUCCAACUUAAGAGUCUACUAAAGUUCAAUUACUUUAAUAUCAAGUAGUAUUGUUGCUACUUGAUUGAUUUGUUGAACUCAAAAUCACAAUUGUUCAGUGACAUUAACUUUCACUCUAAAAGGAAGGGCAAGAUGCUAGUUCACAUGGUUCAAAGAGAAGACUAAGUCAUGCUGAGAAGUUAAAAGUCCAUACUAAAUGAAGAAGAUAAUGUCCAAUGGAGGAGGAGGAACAAUUUGAUUGAAGAAAAUGAGAGAAGGAACUCGAGCAUCACAAGCUUGUGUUUCCAUUCACUGAAGGUGUUAAUGCUAGCAACUGGAUCGAGGAUUGUAAAGAAACAAAUUGUGAAAGAGCUCCCAUAUAUGAUGAGUAUGUGAAGAAUCAUUCACUGAAGGUGAUAAUGCUAGCAACUGGAUCAAGGAGUGUGAAGAAAAAAAUAGUGAAAGAGCUCCUAUAUGUCAAAGAAAGAGCAUACCAUAACCUAAUGUCAAAGAAACCAUGCUUUGCAACAUUUGCAAACAAUGAUAGAACAACACUUCAUUAUUGUACUCAUAUAUAUGAGAAACCAAAAGUUGCAAUAACAUUGAGUAAUUAAUAAUUUCAAGAAAUAUGAUUACUCAUAUUGAUGAUCUAGUAUAUUCGCAAAAGUUAAAUAAAUAAAAAUCUUCACAAUUAAGUUAUGUAUGAUGAGCUACAGAUGAAUCACACACCUGAUACCCCCGCGCGUAGACCACCAGUCCAAUCUUGAUUGUAGCAUAACAACCUUUUUUGAAGAUCAUUCUUGAUUCCGCAAAAGGGAACAAGCAUUUCUUCCAUGAUAACUCAAAAGUUAUACAAUUACGGAUUUUUUUAAUUCUUUUUACUUUUUUCCUUUUAACUUGACAAAGUACUAACUGAUAUGAGAUGGGACUACAAAUGACACACUCAAACUUCAAACUAAGGGUCUAUUAAGAUAACUAUAUGUUCAUAAUCAAACUAGAAGAAAGAAUGGGGGCUAUGGGCACAAUGACAAAGAUUGCUUGAUCAUUACUUUCAAUGUAUAAAUGGCCCUUGGUGAGGUCCAUGAAUUAGAAUGUACAAGACUCAGAAUAAAAUUUUGGUAUAACAUACAAAGAAUUAUUUUAGUGAAGUUAUAAAGAAGAAUAAAAGAAUAGUUAGUAAUGAAUGUGAAUCAGAUAAAGAUAGGAAUCUCAAUCCUGCCUACUUGGAUUCCAAAACUGAGUCAAAAAUCAGUGAUACUAGUGAAUUAGAUUCAGGAAAUCAAGACUAACGAAACAAUAAAAGCAUCUCCAACAACAAACUAGCGGUUGACUAAAGAAACGUUCAGAUCCAUCAAAUCUGAGCAGGAUAUGAAUUUGGAAACUUAGGGGAUUUCUUGCUUUUAUAAACAUAUUUGGAAAGAAACUAAAAUUGGGUGAUAAUUUAGUAGUGUGACAUAUUUAGCGAGCACAUGCUCAAUUUAGGUUACUCCCAACAACGCAGAAGCAUAUUUCCUCUUACACUUUUAAAAAGAUAUACCAAUAAUUAAUAAUAAAUCUUGAAAAGAUCGGACUUUUAUCACCGAAUAAUUACUCAUAAAUCACCAAGUAUGAGGAAAAGUCCGACUGGAAAGUCUAGUCAACCCCUCGUGAGUGAUGACAAAGCCAUUAUAAAGAAGUUAAUAUAGUAAUACUUGAGGUGGAUAGAUACAAGUGUGGGUUAGGCUACAUACUAAAAUUAUAAAUAAAUAAUAUUUAGAAAUAAAAAUAAAAAGACAUACAAGGGAUAGAGAGAGCAACAUUUUGUGCUUUAAAGCUCUAGAAAUUAUUGGGAAGGUAAAAAGAAAGGCAUAAGCGCAUAUAGAGAAAGAGGAGUUAAGGGACUUGAAAGGUAAUUCAGCCCACUGGCUUGAAGCUCAAAAUUGAAAGUGUUGGACAAUUGAUACAGUUGAUACAGUUGCAGAAGAGAAUUAAUUGAAAGUAUUGGAUAAUUUUAAAUCAUACAAAUACCAUCCAUGAUGACAUGUUAACAUUUACUCUGAAAUACACAGAUAGAUUAUGAAAUAUUUUGUUUAAAUUCUUAUUUGUACUCGAGGCAUUUAAAUGUUAAAUGAUAUGCAAAACCACAAAAGUAAAAACAGAAAUUCUAGAGCAGAAAUAGAAAUGCAUACCAAAUCACCAUCUUCGGUGUUCAGCUCACGAAGAAGCAGCUUUGCUUUGGCAGCCAUUGCCAUUGCAACCUGUAACUAUAACCAGGAGGCAUAUCAUGCAUCUCACCUAAUAUCAGCAUACAUCUUUUUUUUUAAAUGUUAUUUUUUUAGAGCAACAUCUGAUAAAGUUCAUUUUAUUAAUGCCAAAAAACAAAACCCUUGUUCUACUUUACUCCACCUCCACAGCCCAAAUCCACUGUAUACCAACCCCCAUGCAUUUUGUUGACCAAAAACACAAAAGCAACACUAAACAAAAAUACCCACUUCAUAGAUCUUCAUUUUCACCAAACAAUCCAAUUUUUUUAUAAACAAACAAAAUAAAAAUUCUACUAAAUAUAACUCCAAAUGGGUCCUCCUCAAUGUUCUGAUGUUACUAGAAUCAACGCACAUAAACAAGCCCAAGUUUUUACUUCCACUGAAUAAAGAAAGGUUACAUAAUUCGAAAGUACACAAUAAAGAAACUAAACCCAAUCCUAAGUUUUUGCAGACACAUAAUUCAUGAAGAAUCUAAGUUACAGCAUAGUCCAUCGCUGAAAUUGAGUUUCAAUCCUAAACAAUAACUAUAGCAUACAAUAUGAAAAUCUGCAUACAGUAAAAACCUAAUAAAAUUGAAUGUCUUAUCUUGAACUAAAUUUCCCAACUUCAUGUCAGGCCAAAAUAAUCUUCAAAACAAAAGAAAACAAAACUAUACCUACAAAUCAUUCAACCCCAAAAUUUACUUUUUCUCACACGUGCACUGCAUAUCUGCAUUCUUAAGGCUGAAAUAGAACAAUUAACAACAAUGAGCAACUGUACCUAGCUUCAAAAUUUGUUCAACUCAGCUUUUUAGAAACCCACCGAAUCUGUUGCAAACAAUAUUUUAUUGGAUCUGCUUGAUUCUCUGAUAUUUCAAGUUUAAGAAAGUUAAAUAGAUUUAAGCCCAAAAGACAAAACCCUCAGGCCCUAGCUGUUCUACUUUACUCCACACCCUGAGUCCACUGUAUACCAACCCCCAUGCAUUUUGCUGACCAAAAACACAAAAACAACACUAAACAAAACUACCCACGUCAAAGACCUCCAUUUUCACCAAACUAAAAAAUCUGUUAAAUAUAACUCCAAAUGGGUGGGAUAUAUUUUUUGGCCUUGUUAUAAUCUCUGCAGAAAAAAUAAGACUUCCAAGAAAAUAAAAUUACAAAAAGGUGUAGAUAUUCAAGAAAAGUUACAACAACAAAUAAAAAUCAUACUUUCAUGCUCUGUAAAAAGGAGACAUCAAUGGGUAUGAGACAGAGUGCAACGAGUGGUUGAGGGAGACGAGUAAAGUAGUAAAUCUGAAGACUAAAACUAGAAGAUAUAUUAUCAAAAAUGUAAAAAAUCAAUGGAAAAUGAAGCAAAACACUAGAAUCAAUGCACAUAAGCAAGCCAAAGUUUUUACUUCCACUGAAUAAAGAAAAGUCACAUAAUUCGACAGUAUACAAUAAAGAAACUAAACUCAAUCCUAUGUUUUUGCUGCCACUAACUAAAUAAAGAAACGGCACAUAAAUUACAUGCAUAGGAUAUUCAAGAAAGCCACAUAAUUCAUGAAUAAGUUGCAGGCAUAGUCCGACGCUGAAAUUGAGUUACAAUCCCAAAGAAAAACUAUAGCAUACAAUAUGAAAUCCGUACCUUCGAACAAAGCAGCUAAAGCAGAUGAAAGCGUGGAACCAAAUCAGACCCCAAUCAUGGAGCCUCCACUACGCUACCAAAAAUCUCAAAUAAUACAACAGAUAACUGGUCCUCUUCCUAAUAAUUAAUAGAACAUUAAUAUAAUGCAUCGCAAGCACUAUAUAUAAGUUAAGCACUAAUAUUUUAAAUCUUGUUUACAAUUGUUGUUGAUAAACAAUAAUAUUCAAUAAUUGCAAUCAAAAUGUGAGCACAAGUCUUUUAAGUUCUAAGACAAAUAAAAUGGGCCAAGUAAAAUAGGAAUUGAGAAAUUUGCAGCAAGGAUAAUUUGCAGUCACUUUUAUUAAUAGCAUUCAACGAAAUGAGAAACCAUAUAUAUGCCUAGACUUGCAUUGAAUUCUAGAUUGGAACAUGGGAGGAAUGUGUAAUGAUCAUAGAGGUUUCCAAAUUUUAAUCCUUUGAGACAAGGAUCUUCCCAAGCAAAGGGGAAUUGUCACAUAUCUAGAGGUUAAGGGGAACAAUUAGAAUCAAUUUGGAAAGAUGGGCAACUGCAAGCCUUCAUUGAAAAUUCUUCUACUUAUCUCUAUUCCAUAAACCAUAAUUACUUACAAGCUGAGUGUAAAAGAUUAGUUCCGUAAGAAUAAGUGCUAGUGUUUAUGAACAAUUUUUCCAACCGAUAACAUCACACUACUAAACCCAUAAGAUGUCAAACAAGGUCUAUGCUGGAUAUGUACUUUAUGUCACACAUGCGACUACACUUAAGUUACAAUAGAAAUUUUCAGAUUGAUAAAAUAUUUGAUGAUGCAUUGAACUUCAUAAUCUCGAUAAACCAACAACCCCCCACCAUCACACAACUUAAAUGAAUAUGUAAGCACGCUUGGCAGAUUCAAGAGUGUUGCACAGCAGCAUUGCUACUGUCAUAGGUCCCACUCCUCCAGGCACGGGGGAGAUUGCUGAAGCGACCCUAACAGCUUCUUCAUAGCAGACAUCUCCCACAAGACGAUAGCCAUACUCACAUUUGGGAUCCUGCAAUCAAUUUUUGUUUAUUCAAAGAGAAUGAAUACCCAGUUUAUGAAGCUAAAAUCCUUUUUUUAUUUGCUUCUUUCCUUUUCCUUGAUCAAGAUAAUUUUCUUUAAUGGGCAGUAAUAACAGUUUCAUGCUAUUUCUCUUUUGAACAAUCCACUAGUAAGCUAUUGAAAAUAUUGGGAAUCCAUGAAAAGUAAAAAAAACAAGUGUUUACCUCAACUGGAAAUGUACCAACAUCAACAACCACUGCACCUGGCUUUAACCAACUUCCACGAACUAGAUUGGGAACUCCCACUGCUGUGAUUACAAUGUCAGCUUCACGACUAAUCUCUUCUGGGUUCCUUGUGAACUCGUGGACAAUGCUUACCGUUGCAUGGUGCCUCUGCCCAACAAUUUGAACAAAUGCACCAGUUAAAUCAGUAACAGAAGCAUUUAUUCAGCAAUACUGCAAUACUAUGAGAUGUAAGAACAGAAGACUAAAAGAAAGAUGGUGUCACCUGCAACAGCAAGGAAGCAGGUAAUCCAACGAUGUUGCCUCUCCCAAUCACCACAGCUUUCUUCCCCAUUAUUUCUACAUCAGACCUCAGCAAUAACUCUAUACAACCUUUUGGAGUGCAGGGAAUGAACAACGGCUCCCUCCCCUGGAUGGCUAGCAUUCCCAUGUUCAGUGGAUGGAAGCCAUCUACAUCUUUCUCCAAACUCAGUGCAUCCAUUAUCUUCCCCUCAUUCAAAUGCUGUUCACUCAUUGUCAGUCAUCCGUACAUCGUCAACAACAUUUCUUCCUACUUGGUAAAAUCUCAAUUACCUUCUACUCCCUCCGUCCAACUUUACUUGUACCAUUUGUAGUGGCAGAUAUUUUAAGACGUGAUAGAACAUAUUUAUUUAUAUGUUUGAAAAAACAUAUUUCUAGAUUACAUUUCAUAAAUUUUAAUAUACUUGAAAAUAAUAUAUAUAUAUAUAUAUAUAUAAACAUAUAUAUGUGGUUUUGGGCAUGCCUUAAAUGAAUGCUAAAACACGGUUACCAAGAACACGGAUCAAUUGGGUACACAUAAUGGGAAAAAACACCGCCAGAAUGAUAUGGGUAGGCUUACUCCCAUAGCAAUUCAGAAAGCCAAUAUUUUUAAGUGCCCUCUACAAUUUAUAUAGAGAAGAAUUUAAUAGUUUAAAAAAAUAAUAAUAAUAAAACAAAAUAAUUGAAGAGAUCAGUUUGGUCCUUUCAAAAGUAAAACAGUACAGAGAUAAAAGAAACAGGUUAACGUAAACACUGACCAACUAAAUGUCUCUCAAACUUUGAAAUAGAGAUAUCAACUAUCCUCAAUUUAUACGUGGGUCAUGGUUCAAUUUAGAGCUCCACUACCACGAUUCGGAAUGAUAGCACCCAAUACGGGGAACGCAGGGCAUUAAGAAUACCUUGCUAACACCGUGCUAAACACAAAAGAAAGGGCACAAGUAAAUUUGGACAGAGACAACAUAUCAAAAGUCACUAUAAAAGUAUGUACUGAAUCAAUCUUCCUAAAUAUAUUAAAAUAACGGUACAUAAUUGUUGAGUGUCAAGAUAUGCCAUAUAGUGCAACUAAAUUAAAUGGUUUUAGCCAAAUAUCACAUCAAUAUAGGGCAAAAGAGCCGCCCAACAUAGUUUAUGCUACAUAAAUAAAAACAUAUUUACAUCCUCUCAAAUCUGUCGUCCCCCUUUUUUACACAUGGUCUGACACUAAAUGUAAGAUGUUCUAAAACACACAUUUAUAGCCAAUAUUUUAUAUGUUUUUAUUGUUGAAAACUUGAAAUAUAUACAUAUAUUUUGAAAUUAUAGAAUAUAUCAUAUAUUCAUUCUUACAAACAUGUUUCGCAUGUCUUGUUAUGGGUGCCACACAUGUUCAAAGAAGGUGACAACAAAAUUCAGACAGAGUCUAAGAUGAGAUCGGGACAAGGUAGAAUCCCACAAAACAAAACUUCUAGCCAGAGCCUUAAGAUAAAGCAAUGGCAGUUGAAUUAGAUAGUCAGGUAGUAACAAUUAGAGUUUUAUAGUUGAAGAUGUUACCACAAAAAUUAUGAAAUUACCUUUGGAAGGGGAAGCUGCACAAGGAUCCCAUGAACUGAUGGAUUCUUGUUCAAACUUGUUAAAGCGUCAAAAACCUCAACUUCCAUGCAAUUAUCAGGUAAUUCAGUCAUCACAAACUUGAUUCCAGCCUCAUCACAAGCAUACCUUUUUGUACGGACAUACGUCUGGGAAUCCCUUCUUUCACCAACCAUAAUUACAGCUAGCCCAGGUACCUUCCCAAUGGACUUCUUCAUCCUUCUUACUUCGCUAGCUAUGCCAGAUCUAAUUUUAUCAGAGAUCGACUUCCCAUCAAUUACUCUAGCAAUCUGGCCAUUUGCUGCGUGAACUACAGAUUUUGAUCGUGUUUUUCCUAUAUUCUUUUCUAGACCAAGGGAGAAUGCAGAGUAAACAUGAGCAGAUCAUGAACAACAAAUAGUCAACAAUAUGAUAACAUAUCGUGCGUUAACAAUAGCUUUAGAAACUUAGUAUAUAUGUGAGUGGAUUGGGACUGGAAAAUAUUCAAAUUUCAACCAAGUGAUGAUAUUGUCUUAAAAUUGUUUAAACAAGCUGUAAAAUAGCUUAUAAAAAAGAUCAAUAGAGAAAUAAUCCACAAAAUUGAGAAAUAUACAUUUUUUAUUAACUAAUUUCAAGUAAUACAUUGAAAAGUAAUUGGUAGAUUGUACUUACAGACAUCACAACAAGGUAACAUAUUGGGAAAUCGCAUCCACCAGUCUCCUAAUCUCCCCUUUUUCUACCAUUUCAACAACUCCCAUUGAAACAAGCUCGGAGUUGAGCAAAGCCACGAAUUGGGAGGCUUUUACACUUCUCCAGAAUAAACCGAGAAAAAAACCGCGAAAAAAAGGCGCAGAACAGCCGGAAACGUUCAUUACCGCACGGAACCCAUAUAACCUGAGGGAGCCUGAUAACCCGCCCCAAAAUGGGGCUCCGACCCGACUGCACGAACUGUAAAAUUAUCAAACAGUAACUGUACGCACUGUACAGCAGCUCCGAACAGCAGGGGAGGCCUAACCGCAGGGAGAGAAGAGCGGCGCGUGGGGGCGCGUCCGACCUCCGAUUUGGUCGAUCUCCCUCCGGCCAAAAAGCCCCAAUCGACUGUGACCAACCUCAAUUACAUCACACUCAAGUACUCCAACAAAAUCAGUAAUAAAAGCAUAUAAAUUGCACCACCUGAAACCAAAGCCCUAAAUUGAUCUGUGGCUUCCUUGGUCCUUGAUGUCCGCAUGUGGCUGCUGAAAGUGUUUGAAGUCCGGAGGGAAAAAUAUAAUAAAGACGGACACACAAGGACAAGACUGAAACAUAAGAGAGAGUUUGGAUUUUGGAAGUCUGAAACGAUAAAUAGAGUACAAAAAGGAGGAAAACGGACAAGAGACCGAAGAGUCGCAGCCACAAAGUUAGGAAGACUGAAGGAUGCCCUUGUCCUGCACAAAGUAGACUAGUAGAGUACUUCAUAUGUUAGCAAGAUGUAGCCAUCUAGUUUAGCUCGUAGGAUAAUAAAUAGCUAAUUGUCAGACUCAAAUGAAUGGAUGGGUUCCACCGUUUGACAAUUUCAAAUAAAUAAAAUAGAGCAGGGGGAGGAGGCGUUAAAAUUAAUUUGAGAUUUAAAAUUUAAAAUUAUAUUUACUCCGGCCUAUAAUAAACGUUUUAAUUUGAUUUUAGUGAUCAAAUUGAUCAUUUUUAAAAUAAAUAAUUAAAAAUAUUCAUAUAAAAAUUUUAAGUUACGAAACUUGUCAUUAUUAGUACAUUAUUCAUAGUUUAUUAUGAUCAUAAUAUUUAAGUACAUCUUGAUUUUUUUUUAAAGAUUUAUUAAUUUUAAAAAAUGUUAAUUUGAUCGUAAAAGGUAAAUUAGGUCAUUUAUUAUGAGAUGGGGGAAUACUAUUUUCCAAGGGUUGAAUUAUCUGAAAUCGCAUAGGGUCACCAUCCAAUAUGGGUGCACUAAGAAGCAUGCUAGUAAUGGACCUUUCAGGAAACAACGAGUGCACUUGGACCUUGAAAGCCUUUUGAACCAACACAUUGAAUAUAAAUUGUAUAUGUAUAAGCUUUUUGGCAAUGGAAUAUAUGCAUGUCAGAAACUCAUACUGCGAUCUGCCAAGUAACGAGACGUGUCUGCUAAUUGUAGAGGUACAUGCAUGAGAUUAUAAACACGUAUGACAUUCUUGUGAUUUUGUUCCCUACAUAAUACACGACAUGAGUCUGCAUAUUUAAUUUGAUGAUGAUAUGUUUAAAGUAUAUUUAUUCAGUAAUAUUUGUAAAAUCCUUAAUGAAAUCAUAAUGUACAAGAACUUAAAGUAGAAAAUAUCAAAUAUGUUAAGUUGAACUUAUAAAGUUAAAAUGAUGUAUAGAUGAUAGGAUAUAAAUGAUCGUAAUGUAUUGUUAAAAGACAAGCUACACUGCCUAAAAUUAGAAUAUUGUUAGAAAACAAAAUUUUGGCAAAUGGGAAGGGAGUAUAAUCUUCUUGUAGAAUGCAGUAUGGUAGCUCAUCCUUCUUGUUGCAACUAAAUGUUCGCCUCAUACAAUAAUAUCACAUGUUCCAUGUACCAUCCCAAUUCAAAUGAGACAAUGUUGUCAAAACUAAGACCUCUGAUAAAUGAAAAGAUAGUCCGUCAUCAAGGAAGCCAAUGAACACAACAGAUGUUAACGUUGCUUUAGAGUGUGUUAAUAACAAUUUAAGCAAUUAACUGUCACUAAACUUAUAUCCUAUUAAAAAUAUAAACAUACAUUAUUAUUUUUUGUAAAUGUUUUCCAUUUGGAAGACUACAUAUAGACAGACACAAAGGGAGGGAAAUUUUAUAAAGACGAAGAAAGAGUAUACUUAAACUAGGAGUUCAGAAAAUUCCAUCUCAUUGGAACUUUUUUCUUGUGUAUCAGGCUUACGGAAACCUACAAAGUUCAUUCCCAACCAUUGUCAUGACCAACAUACAUAUCUAGGUCUGUUUUGACCAGAGCUCGAGGCUUUUCGAGUAUCAAGCUAAUCAAGUUAAUGAGAUUGCUCCUCGACCUUAUCUCUAAAUGUCUAGAUCAGUCAACCUCAAUGAUUUUUCAACCGAGUCUCUUGCUACCAUGGCAACAUCUAUUGUUUCUUCUUUAGAUCCAACCACUGCUUGCUUCGCCUCUUCAAGUUCUUGUCGGACUAUUAAUAACUGCAAGAAUGUUAAAAAACACAUGGUUAACACAAAAUCGGAAUUGGGUACCAUAGAGGAUCAGAAAUCAACAUAGUACACAUAUAUGAUCGGAAUUCAUUUUUUGUGGGUGCUUUUAUAAGCUUCCGUGUAAAAAUUAUAUUUUUAUAGCCAUAUUUACAGGUUUUUAAGUACCUGGUCUAUCUUAAAGAGUAAUAUAAAAAGAAUACACUGUAAAAUGCUUUAGACUUGCAAACUCUCUGAUGUCAUCUGAGAGUAUAUGAACUUCUCAUGAUGUGAAAAGAUAAAUAUUCAAUUCAAAUAAAUGAAAAUCCUGAAUUGAUCUUUACUACUUCUAUCAAAGAAAAAACCACGCAAAGUUAUCCCAUAUAUCACACUCUUUAAGUAAAUGCUCUUUUAAGAUAAUGACAUAUUUCUAGUCAGAUUGUGUUCCUCUCUCCCCCUUUUUUAGCCAAUCCCACUAUAAGAGGUUAAAUUCCAAUUUAUCCUUCAUGAAGUGAUGGAAUAUCAAUUUUACUGUUAGAUCCUACCGAGUUGAACAAUAAGCAGAGCAGUCAAGACUUGCUGAUAAUACUGUUAUUAUUUUAUUUAUUUAUAUAGCUAAAAUGUGCAACAAAAAGUCAACAAAGUCAUGAAACCCAUAGAAACGCUGCUUAUUCAAUAAAGCAAAAGAGAACAUAAAAGCCUCAAACCAACGCUGAAAGACUACAAAGAAAACCUCAGGCUCCCAACAACAUUCAUCGGACUCAUAGGUUAAUGACAUCCAAGCUUCACUGUGUGUCAAUGUCUAAACGUAUAAAGAACAAAUAAGCAUCCUUCCAAGAGGUGUAAAAAUGUGAAAUAGAUAGCCUUAAACCCCUAAUACACAUUUGAUGACUCAUAGGUCUUGCUAUUUCACUUUUUAUCUUUUACUUUAUCAGAAAUUCAGAACAUAUUUAAUUUACCAGGACAAUCACAACUCUUUCUAUCUAAAGUACUUACUAUCGAUCAACUCAUAUUCCAUUCGAGGAAAAACAUGUUGGAGUAGUUCUGUUGUUGAUGGACGAUCUGAUGGACUUGGGGACAUCAAGGGUCGUAAUAAAGAUUCCUGUUCUGGAAAUCCAGCAACCCAAUCAGAAGGAAGUUCUCCCUUCUGCUUCAUAUCAGAUAGGACAACGUGUCACUCCAUUGCUGUGCUGAAUGGGUGCCAGAGCUCAAGAAAUACAAUUCCAAAGCUGUACAUGUCUGCCUGCCAAAACAGACCAAUGAGAUUAUGAGAAGCAGAACAGAUGUUCACAAGUGGUUAAAGUUAUUCAGAAGUGCUGGAGUAACCGAAUAGACGCACUUCAAAUCAACAAAAGACAGACCUUCUCGUUUAUCUUUGGCCACCCUUGCUCAAUUUCUGGUGCAGUAAAAAAAUAUGUACCAACCCGCCCAGUUGUCUCUGCAGGAUCUAGAUCCUGCUCUAGUUGCUCCAGCUUCAAGAACUUCGCUGAAAGACACAGGAGAAGAAACAUUAUUUCAAGUGUUGAGAACUUCUUAUCUUCAUUUCUCCAGUCUGCAUUUCAACUAAUAUGCAUAAAAGCAACCAAAGUGAUGCAGUCCAAUGAGCAAGUGACUAUUUUCCAAAAACAACAAAAGGAAAAUACAGCCAAGCUUACCUGAAGAACAAUUUAUAUCCAGUAAAACCAAAUAAAAAGGACAAUGUAUACCUUUUCAUUUUUCCGAUAGUUGAUAUACCUAUGUAAUUAUUUUGAGCCUGCUCUUGAUCUUAGAAAUUAAAUAAGAUUCUCAUAAACAAAAGGACUUGUUUUCUCAAGAGAAUCUAACCAAGACUUGUAUACACUAGAAAAUGUCUUUAUUCACAACUGUGUAUAAUAUAGCCUGGAGCUUGUAUCAAGAAAAUAAUGAGUUAGCUGCACCCACAAAAAAUGUGUUAUUGCUAAAAAUUAAAACAAGUUAUUCAUAAGAAGAAUAUAAAUAACGGAAAAGCUUGGAACAGGUAAAGAACUAAAGAUAGCAGAGAAGAUCAAUAAAGUUUUAUGAUUCUUUCUUUUUCACUCCUUUUAUGUUAUAUAUGAAUAUAAAAAAUAAAUGAAAAACAGGUUUAUCAAUUGAUAAAUCCACCUCAGAUGAACCGUGCCAAAUACAAUGGGUGGUCUGACUUGAAAAGAGUUGCACCAUUUGUUUUUGAGUUAACUCAGUACUCUACUCUCGAUCUAUAAACAUUAUAUUAAAAACUAUGUAUUGCUGUACACAAUACCAAGAAGCUUUUUAAAAAAGAUAAAGAAAAAGAGUUUAUUAGAAAGGUGGAAGAAUUAAUAUAGGAGGAUGAGAUCCUCCAGAAAAGGAGAAGAAGAAGACUGAAAACUCUUAUAAUAGGGAAGCAUCUCCUUAUAACAGGGCAGCCAUUCAAUCUUCAUAUGCAGAGAAAGACAAUCAAACAUAUGCAGAGAAAGACAACCAAGCAUAUGCAGAGAAAGACAAUCAAGAAUAUAUUAUCAAUUUAAUAAAGAGAGUGGAACCUUUAUAUUAUCAAAACAAGUACUCCAGAUUCAAAUUUACAAUCUCAGACCAUUCAUGACUUCUAAUCACUAUACCAAAUGUGAAAUGUAUGUAGACCCUAAACCUUCUCUCUACAUUUGGGACCCAAAAAAAGUUGAACAAAUUUGACGCAGAUUGGAUGCGUAUUGAACACGUUUUUGAUUGGACGCGUUUUGAAGGCGAAUUUGACGCGUUUUGGACGCGUUUUGAAAUGAAAUGGUACUUGAAAAUAGGAUAUGUCUAAAGAGAGCGCUUUUUUUUUUCUUUUUUAAAAAAGGGAUUUCAGCAAUUCAGCUGGAGACUGAAUGAUGAAUACACUUGUACAAAAGGUAAUUUUGAGUUACAAUUUGAUUUAAUCAUGACUCCAAGUCAAAUUUUUUUAAAGCUAAAUCAUCCAAGCUCUUGUUAUUUGCUAGAAAAAGACAAUUUUCCGACAACCAAGAAGAGAAUGGGUGCAUGACGCUGAUAUACUCCGCAUGUAUGCUUGACGCAUUUGAAAACAGGCCAUCUGAGAGAGGAAAACAAAUAAUCUUGUGGUCAACAAAUACCUCCUUAGCUAAUUAACAUCAGUUCCCAAUGAAAUAUAAUGAAUGAAAUUUCCAGUUGCUGAUAAUGUAAUUUAGCAUAGCAUUCACUCAUGUAGAAGUAAACCCAAGCCGCUGAUAUACUGCUCCAAUAUUCACUCGAUCAUCAAUUUGUAUAACUAACUAACUAACUAACUAGAAAGACUUGCAUAUUUGGAUCAAACACUCAACCCAUCGUCAAAAUCAAAGAACAUGAAGAAUAGAUUUUCAUUCAUUCAUGCAUUUCAAACUCCAAUUACCAAACAACGAUGAAGAUUAGCAAAAACUGAGACCAUACCGCCAAACCGAACGAAGCAGUAGAAAAAGAAACCGGCUAAAAAUGUUAAAACAACAUAAAAUGUAAGAUUUACCGUAGGGGAACCACAUAACCGGAGAGAGUCCAAAUCCGAGAGUCCACCCGACCCAGGGCCGGACUGCACAAACUGUGAAAUUACCAAAAGGUAACUGCACGAACUGUAAUUUUUUCCCGCACAGCAGAGAAGACGGACUGUACCGGAAGAAAAUCGGCUCGUGUGUCGCCAAUUCGGUCCCCCUGCCUCCUGCCAUAUUUCCCGGAAUGUUGUGUGUGCGACGAUGUCUGCAAAUCUUGGAAAUUUUAAAUAUGUAAGGCCAGGAUGGAACUGUGGAGUUUAGGGUGCUGGUGGGAAUGGUGGGAGAAAAGCUGUUGGGGACGCCAGGCGGAGGCGGAAGAUGAGGGAUAAGAACAGGCAACUGGCGUUCGGCUGGGUAGUUGGUGCCGCCGCAGUAGCCAAGCAGUAGCAACAACAAUAACAAUAGGACAUUGACAUUGACGGUGAGAGCUAGCUUGCUCCUCUUCCAUAUAUAUAGUUUCUCACUGUUUGUGUGGUUGGUAGGGGUGCUCAAAAAAUUCAUUUUUUUCGGGUUUUUACCGAACCGGUUGAAAUCGGUAUACCGAUUUUUCGGUUUUUUUAUACUUUUCGGUACCGGUAAUGAAAAUUUUGAAUUCGGUAAAUACCGAAAAACCGAAAAAAAGCUCAGUAAAAUUAUGUUUGUUCCCACGACUCUACCAAGCUCGGCUUUAAUCUUGAUCAUUGCUUCAGGAUUUCGAAAAAGCUCGAUCAUUGCCCACUCAAUUGAGGUGUUAAUUGUUUCUGUUCCGCCAACAAACAUUUCCCGCUCCCACCCCACCCCACCCCACCCCACUUCACUUGCGAUUAAUAAUAAAAUUUAAUUGAUAAAAUGAUAUGUAGAUAAAAUUUAAUUGAUAAAAUGAUAUUUAAUUAAUUAAUUAAUUUUACCGAAUUAAUUUAAGCAAUGAUCAAGAUUAAUUUAAGUUUGGACUUUGGAUGAUUGAUUACAAAAGUAGUGAACAGGACAACUUCCAUCCAUUGGGUUCCUUAUUUGUGUUUGUUUCAUUUUGGCCAAGGACAAGUCACAUAUGAAGAAGACACCACACCCAUGUGAGAUGCCCAUCACUCAUCUUUACUUCAAUGCUCUCGAUCAUAAACUUCUCCAUUACUAUUUACUACAACUAUGAUAGUUAAAUACUCUUAGACUAACAAUUAUAAUUAGUAUUUGUAAGAAUGUAAUUUACUAAUCUCAUUUCUUAGUUUUUAAAAAUUUGUUAAUAUAAAAAAAAAUUAUUUAAUUAUUGCGCUAUAACCGAAAAUCGAACCGAAAAAACCAGUACCGACUUUGUACUGAACCGGUUAUUCGGUACCGGUACUUGACUUUCCGGGUUUUUCGGUUCGGUACCGGUUCGGUUUUUUACCGAUGAGCACCCCUAGUAGUUGGGCUCAAAAUCAAAACAAAUAUAUAUUUUAUAAUUAAUGUUGUAUUUGUAUAGUUCUUUACAUAUAAGUAAGUACUAUUUAGCACCAAAACAACCUAUAUUAGGCUAAUGGAAAAAAUAACAAAAGGAAAUAAUUUCAAUUUUCUUCCAAUUUAUUUUCACUAAAAAAAAAGAAGAAAAAAAUGGUGUAUUGUUUUGGUUUAUAAAUUUAGUCUUCUAAGUAACAAAAUUAAUAAUGUAUUACUUUAAUUUAUUAUUUUUUAUAAAAUAAGAGAAAAGAAACUACAAUCUCUCUCCCUUUCUCUUAGGUCGUUUUUAUCCUUUUAUUUUAUUUUUACUUUUUUAGUCCAAAUUAUACCCACAAAUUAAGUAGUUCAGAUUUAAUGGACAUGAUUUUUUCCGUACACGUAUAAAUUUUUUCCAUUCGUAUGAAAAGUUUGUGGUAUGUACGAGACUCUUGGUAUUCUCUAUACAUAACAUAAUAGUGCGUAUGAAAUUAUUUUAGGAAAAAGUAAGUAAUAAUAUUCAUAAUUGUAAUCACAUUAUAACUGCAAAAAAUUAUAUAUUUACGGACGCGGUACAAUUUUUAUUUUUAAUAAUAUCAUAUGAUUGUGGAUGCAGUUGCGGAUACUUCUUACGCCGAUCCUACAAGGAAGAAGGACGAGAAAUAUCAUGGGUCAGAAGAAAUGUGGGCUCGUUUUGGACCGACAGAAUGCAAAGACUUUGAUGAAGCUUUAUCAAAGGUGAAACAAGUGGGUUCGUUCCGCUACUAACAAAAUGAAUUUGAAAAGCUCGGGAAUCGGGUGCAAGGAUGGACCCAAAAGACAUUAGUAGGGACGUUUAUGGGUGGUCUCAAACCGGAGAUUGCGAAAGACAUUCGAAUGUUCAAACCUAAGUCAUUGAAGGAAGCAAUAAGCUUGGCACGAAUGUGAGAUGAUCAACUAACUCGUCAAGGGAUAGACACAAGAUCUCUACAAUUUAAUCAUCGCCAACUUGACCUUGCUUCCCCAACAAAGGCCAAACAAGUUGUGGCUAUAAAGCGCCUUACCUAUGAUGAAAUACAAAAAAAACGAGCUCAAGGCCUCUGCUUUAACUGCGACGACAAAUUCACUCCGGGACAAGUGUUGAAAACCCCAGGUCUUGUUGCUGGAAGUAAAAGAUGGUUCAAGCAAAGAAUAUAAAGAGGAUCACGUAAGCCAAUGAACCUUGAGGACAAGGUUCCGCUGAAAGAGGCCGGUAUUGACAAGUAGCAAAAGUCGGUUAGAGACUUGGUCUUUUUGUUAGCUAUUGUCUUACUUUAUGAAUAAGUUGUAGUAGUGGAGUUCUUGUGGAAUCCUUAAUUCUAGUAGUUGUGGCUCAUGUGGUAGUAGUGGAGUUCUUAAUUCUAGUAGUUUUGGUCCAUAAGCUUAGGAGAGAGUAGUUUACUUUUAUGUAUUUAAAUCUUCAGUUAGUAGAAGAGGAAAAUAAGAAAUCAUUUGUUAUAAAACCUUGCGGUACUUUCUCACCUGAAGAGAAAACAUCAUUUAUCAUUUUGAAGCUUUGAUUGGGACCUAUCAACAAUAUUAUCAUUAAUUCCAAGGACCGCAUAUUAACGGGAUUUGUUCUACUACUACACCCCUCCCUCGUUAUAUAUGUUGGAUGUAGCUCUUUGGUAGAGAGUUCCUCAUUGAAGAGGAGUACUAAAGUAAUUAAUACUAUUUCUUUCGUUUAGAAAACAACAUACUACGUACGUAUGGCUUGUUUGAUCAUUAACAAAAUCAUGGUUAAAUUAAAUUCUAGUAGUUACUAGAUUUUACGUUUCCUCCUCUGCUCUCCUCCACUCCAAUCAAAGAAAUGGUGGUGUUCUAGUCUUUCUUCUCCUCCCGAGGAAGAAGGUGUUUGAAGAAACCAAAGAACCAACACCCAAACACACGAUCCAUAUCCCUAUGUGAACCGCCCAACUCACUCCUUCCGUCUCUAUGUCCUCCGUAUCUUCUUCUUCUUCCUCCUCGUCAACAGUAUGCUGCAGCUGAAUUAUCUCAAGCUGGGCUUGCUUAAUAAUACUCUCCAGAGCACCAGUCUGCUUAUAGCAGAUUAUACCUCAGCCAAAGAGACAAAAUUUAAGACCUUACAAGUUAAGAGCCUAAGACACUUACCAAAGUAGAUAUUUCGUUGUCCUCCGUCACCAGAGUACAUGCCUUAUCAUUUGAAGCUGCCACUUUUCCAUCCCCAAGAUGAUUACGAAAUUUAUAAUCAAAACCACCCUCUUUUAAUCAAUUUUCUGCAACUUUAAAAAGUUCAAUGGUUUUGGAUGACAAAUCUGUUGAUAUUUUUAUUGAUAACGCACUUCUUAAUAAGGCUCCAAUAUGCUCUUUUUCCUGGAUUAGUUGAGUCACCGUUUGAUUUAGCCUAUUUACUUCAUGUCUCCUUUUCACACCUCUGCUUUUGCUGGAUGAGACUAAGGAUAGAAUAAAUGAAUAGUAUCCCCAUCAAAAUCAGCACUAAGUGGCGCACAGAUCAGGGGAUUGAUAUACGGUCAUGAACAUAUACCGAUAAUGCUUGAAGGGAACGCUUGUGGGUAGUGGCUUUUGAACCUUCCCUUAAUGAGUAUGUAGAUGACCCAUCCCUAUAUGUUAAGCACAAUUUUUCGUCAACCAACUUUUGCAGAUAUGACAUAUUGUGCUAACUCACUUUCUCCUCAAAAGUAAUUCUCUGAGCUAUUUCAGAAGGCAAACCAAUUUCACCCACCCCUUUAUAUGGAUCACUAGUUAUAAUACUACAAGAGGAAAACCCAGAAGCUAAACAAAGUUCUCAUUUUCUCUAGCCAUACUUUUGUAGAAGAAUCGUUUGGUUCUCUUUUUAUCCCAAAACAUCCAUCCACAUCACGAGAUACCUUAUAAAAGAAAAUGUUUGAAUCAGCGAGAGGUAGGACAGUUGAUUAACAUACAUACUUAUAACUUGGAUGAUAUAAGUUAUAUAUGACAAACAUUCUAUUGGGACAAUCUAAUUUUAGACUACAGUAAGCAAUACUAACACAUAUUUCCUCAAGUCAAGCAAAAUCUAAACCAUCUUGCCAACACACACCUUGUCCGAGAAAAUAAAUGCAUAUAACAAAAUGACAAUGAGUAAAUAAAAAUAUCAUUUGAAGAAGCAUUAAGGACCUUUCCUCUCAAAUUUGUCUUAGUGAUCCUACUCGUACACCAAGUUUAGUUUACCAAGUCGUAUGAGUACCUUAGCAGUACCCCUAGCUUGAAGAUACUGAGCAACUGCUGCUCGCAAAUCAUUAGCUUCAAUUUCAUGGGAUUCAAAAUUUGGUGUCCCAGACCUUUUACUAAUGAUAAUCUCGAUUUGCUUUAGCACUUUCUUUAGAAUUUCUAUAGAAUGAUCCAGAAUAGAUAUUAUCAAAAUAGAAACAGUACUAGGUCAAACCUAAGAUUCAUGUAUGAAAAGAAUGAUUAACUAAAGAAAUGACGCUAGUUCCAUCCAAGAUGUUUGGCAUAGACAAACAGUAUGGAGGAAUUUGUAAAUAUUGCAAGAUAUACCCAUCUUGAGGUAAGAAUCCUUUCCCAACAAGUUAACAAUGGUUGAAGGCUUAUCAUAUGUGCAUAUAUUAAAUAAACUUUAUUAGACGUAAGAGCAUAUGCCCUAACUGAAUGACACAACAAAGUUUAACACACACCAACUGCUAGACAGUUGUGGAGAAAUUUACCUCAAGAUAUUGCUCAAUGAUUUUAUAAGUUACAUGAACUGGAUUAUUACGCAUUAAAUUUGGAAAAUAAGAAAUCCUUUCCAAGAAAGCCUCAAUUCUACUGUGCUGACCCCCAUCCCUUCUUCCAUUAGGAAUGUCCACAUUAUCACCUUUUGUAAAGCAUGAAAAGUUAACAAUUCCAGUUGAGUGAACCUUAAUAACAGUUUUCAGAUAAAGGAAAAGGCUUUCUGGGUGAGAGUCCAGCUCAAGAUAAAGUGCGUUCAUUAUUACCACUGAAAUGGUCAACAACCAAAAAGAAUGUACUCUCUCUACAAAAGGCAGAAAUACAAAAACAAUUUUAUCAAUCAAGUCUACUUCAGGUCUACAUAAACAUACGCACCAUGUGAAACAAAGAUCCAUCAAACUCAUGGUUAUCAAGCAGCACCUGCUUAAUUUGACCAGAUCUGGGAUUCGUGACAUGAUUGCUGAUUGGAAAGCAUCAGAUUCUUUGCCAUCUAGCUGAAGCAAUGUAUAACUGAUAAAAGAGAAGGCAUGAAUCAAUUCAUCAACGUCUUUCAUAUAGCUACCAAAGCGGCAAUAUUCUGAUGUCUGAUGGCAUGAGUACAUCCACAAACCUAAAUAAAUAUUUAAAAAUAGAUCAACCUUUCUGUAUGAAUUAUGGAUUUUUUUGUAUGGGGGGAGGGGGGGAGAGAGAAAUCAUGAUCAUAAACUUCCUUUAUAGAUUGAUAAAUGUGUAACGAACCAAUUGUCACAAGGAACGAAGAAGUACUAUUUUGUUAUAAAGCAUUUUAUAUGUCCAAAAUAAUGGAAAAAGGGUUGGGGAAAUCAAGGGGAAUGCAACCUUCGCUGAAGUGGGUAAAUGCCCUUACCAAAAAUAAGUUGGCAUCUAAUAUAGCACUUAACAAGACAGCUUACCCCUCUAACAAACCUAUUUCCAGAUUAGUGCAAGCAGCUAAGUUUGAAAUGGCUAAUACAAUAAUAAUAGAUAUCUCCUAAAAUUGUCCAUUCUGAGGCAGCUAUUCAAAUAUUAUACCUGAGACAUAGGACAACUUUGGUAAAAAAAAAAAUGUUAUAUACACUGUUACAAAUAAGAUCAAUAGAGAGCUUAUAAAAAGGAUCAAUACAGAAAUAAUCCACAAAAUUGAGAAAAACAAUUUUUUCAUCAACUAAUUUCAAGUAAUACAUUGAAAAGUAAUUGGUACAUUGUACUCACACCAUGCAUCACGACAAGGUCAAAUCAUGCAUCAACAUCUGCACAUGUUGGGAAAUCCAGUUCAUAAAGUGCAUGAAUAUUCUCCAUACCUUGAUAAAGACAGAAACAUGAGAAUAUGAGAUCACAAGAUGUGAAUACCUAAGCAAAGGAAGAAUGAUUUCUAAAGCCUACAUACCAUUGUAAUCUAGUUCAAUACUGAUAAUGAACAGAAGAUAACUUUAGUAAUACAUUGUUGGAUCCGAUAUCAAUUAUUGCAAGGCAAAAUAUUUCAAAGAAAUUUAAGUUCAGGGUUUACAUUUUGAAUUUCGGAAAUAGAAAAUUAUCCUAUGGACUCGUGAAGAUAUUGUACUCUAACUAUAAUAAUUUGAAUCACAAAUAUAAAUAGUGUAUAAUUUCUUGGGAACUACUUAGAACAAUGAUUCUUGCAAAAGGAUGGUGAUACAUAUAUUCUAUUUACAUUUUUGACUUAAAGUCACUCGCUGAUUGUCUGUUCAUCCUUAACUUUCAUCCAUUAUCCUAUGGACUCAUGGAGAUAUUGUGCUUUUACUAUAAUAAUUUGAAUCACAAAUAUAAAUAGCGUAUAAUUUCCUGGGAACUACUCAAAACAAUGAUUCUUGCAAAAGGCUGGUGAUACAUAUAUUCUAUUUACAUUUUUGACUUAAAAUCACUCGCUGAUUGUCUUUUCAUCCUUAACUUUCAUCCAUUGCACUAAAAGAAAAUAGGAAUAACUUCUUAAAAAAAAUUGUCAAACAAGUCCUACUUGCUCAACUUUUUUCUUUUGCACUGUAGCUGGGUAACUCCUUUCUUCUCAUUAAGCCUAUAUGAGAAAAUUAUAUUCGCCAUUCUUUACAAAGGAAGAGCAAAGGGAGAUAGAAAUGAAUAGAAGCACAAAGUUGGUCGGUGUUUAAUUAUCUCUACCAAAAUGGUGUUGCUUAAGAUAAGAGAUGCAUGCAUAAUUAUGAAACAAAGAUGACUUGGUGUAAAUCCAAGUUUAAAACUGCAUCAAGGUACAAAAUCAAUAAGAAACAUGCAAACAGUUAGAAUGCAGAAAUAGUAAUUGGAGAUUGUGAAUAAUUUGUGAAAUAUAUGAGAAAGUAUACCAAAAUUUCCUCCCUCCCUUAGAGAGUGUCACUUUCUAAUUUCAGGGUUAUCAAAAUACUGCUCACUUACUUUGACAAUUCAAAUCUUUAUAAAGAGAGUUCGAUUCGAGGAGAGCAUAAACUAAUACCAACAACCUUAUUAAAUUUGUUUCAUGUAGUUUACUUUGAAGGAGUAAUCUGGAGGGGGCACAUUAAUCAAGUAGAAAAUUUUCACAGUUAAAUAUUUUAGGCAAAAAAACUACAAGGCACAAAGGGACUCACUAGGAUGGAUAGAUUAUAUGAUAACGUCUAUCUUAUGGGAGACAAACCCAUGACUAUCCUGUUUGUUAAAACUUUUUAAAACUCAUGUUUUCAGUUCCUCCAUCUAAAUGAACACAAAUACAACAUCUCAUCUCAAAAUAACAAACACUCGUAUCAAAUAACAAUUUUGCAGUAGACUACAACUUUAAAAAGUGAUCCCCAAAUUACACUACAUGCAUCUCUCAAGGCAACAUGAAUGGAUCGAAGUAACAUGUCGCCAUAAUUUUUUUAAUAAAUUGACAUCAUUUGUCCUACAAUAUUCCUGUAGUUCAACAACCGACUCAUAUAGAGAACACCAUCUCAAAAAUAAACAGAAUUGAUGUGACACCCCCCAAAAUCCGGGUACUUCAAUUCCACGGGAUUUGGUGUUCACUGUACAAAUAUCAUCUAUCUAUCUACCCAUAAUAAAUGCAAGCCAUGCAAUAGAUAGAAUAAAAAUCUUCCCCUUAAGGGUUACAACAUUUGAAUAAUAAUAAUACAAUCCCAGGUUAAACUAACCUUAAACAUCUGUGCGGAAUCAUAAACAAAUAAGUCUUAAAUAACAUCAUUAACUCAAGUCUUAAACAUAAAUACAUCAUCUAAAAAAAAUAACAAGUCUUCAUCACUUGCUAACUUUGCCCUUGCCUUUACUAGUGGAAGGUUCAUCAGUUCUUUCGUUCUUAACUGCAAUGUUAUUAUUAAGCAAGAGUGAGCACUAUUGCCCACAAGUAUAAUAAUGAAAUAACAGUAUAAUAACAUGCGAGUAAAUCAAAGACAUCUGAAUAAAAGCUCAACUUUUGAAUCAAGAAUGAAUAACAAGAAUCAAAAGAAUUCUGAGGGUCAUAAGACCUUGAACUAUGUCCUAGGUUAUCAAGGGUUAUACUUGAAACCUUUAACAGUCAUAAGACUAUGGACCUUUCUACUCGUACUUAGGGGGAUCAGCCCUUAGUACCAUACUGUGCACAAUAUCUUAACGCUAACGCAUAAGUAAAUCCCUUUGCAGGGUUGUUCAUCUCAGUUUGACAUUCGAGUCCGCACCAAAGGAAGUUUGGUUUGGAUAAUUCAAUAAGGGUUCUGAAAUUUAGAACGUUCAUCAACUAAGGACUAGUUGAAUCAAUAAAGUUCACUAGUCUAAUAAGGUUCAACAAUAAUGAUAUUCAAUUUGAAUAAUAAUCUCAAGAAGUAUACAAUAGGACAAUUAUUGUAUAACUGAAUCAUGCUUUGAAAAGAUAAUCAAUCUUUAAUAUAACAUUUGAACUUGAAUAAUAGUAAUGAUAAUUUACUCGAGGUAAAUAAUAAACUUGAACAAUAAUGACAAGUAGGGUUAGGAAACUUGCCUCGUGCGUAGAUUACACUUUAACUAAGCACGUUCUUUGAAUUUAAUCCUACAUACCAUUCACAUUCACAAUACCAGUUAAUUAUAACUUAACUAAUCAUCAAUGAUCAUUCUUUUGUCUAAACUUUGGCUAUGACUAUACUUAGUCAAAUUAUCACAUAAAAUCACUUCAUGAAUAAUAAUUUAAUUAUGUAUUCCAUAACUCAAUCUACAUGUAAUUAUGUUAUUAACAUGUUAAACAACUCUUUUAUCAUCCUAUUAUACUUCUAACAUGUUUACAUGUUCAUUACAUUAAUUUACUAACACAUUGUUAGACUUAAACAUUUUGAAAAUUACAUUUCUGAACUUUCUGGAGAGUGGCGCUGCGACGCCACUGUUAUACUGGUACUCGGCGCUGCGGCGCGAUGGCGCUGUAGCCGGACUAUUGGCGCUGCGGCGCCGUGGCGCUGCGGCGCUGAAAGUAAGGCACGAGUCUGGCGUCGCGGCGCGGCGAACCAGAAACUGUUCUGCAAUUCGCGAAAAUUGCAGAAUACAGCCAAAAACUCCAAAUUAAUUUACUACUACACGAAUUUAAUCAUACCCACAUGUUAUAAUUCGUAUAUAAUCAUUACCCAACAUUUAUAAAGUGAUUUUAACCCAUUACAACACAUAAUCACAGAGUUUAAGCAUGCAAUUUUACUGACUUUGAUGUUCUUGAAGGUUUUGAAAAUAAAACAUGAAAAUUGUCACUACGGAUUCGUUAUAACACCGAAUCCGUUUAUUUAAACUUUGGUCUCUUCGUAUCAACAUGCAUAACAACAUACGAAUGUAAAAUUUAGGGAUAAUAUACGAUCAAUACAUGAAAUAUCACGUAUAAGGCCAUAUGGCCAAAACCCAAACUCUGUAAAUUUUUGAAAUAGCAAGUCAUCAUUUACUGAAACUUAUGAUAUGGAAUCAUAUAAUAUAUAUAAAACAUGUUAUGCUACUCGAAUUAUUACAUAUAUUUCUAACUCAAUUUCCCAAUUUACAGAAAUUCCACAGAACUUGAUUGAAAGCCAUUUUCAUAAAAAAACUAAAUGACGUAAAAGUAGAAUUUGGGUUGGAGAGAAUUACUCACAGAUUAGUGUAGAUAGGAGGGAUUAAACUUUCUCAAUCAAUCAAACAACUCACAAUUCUCUCAAUUUCUUAAUUCUGUCUCUCUGUGAUAAUUCUCUAGACUUAGCAAUAAUGGAAUGAAUGAAGAAGAAGACGUCGCAUAUAAUAAUUAAACUGACGUAGUUGUGGUCAGUUAACCAAUUCGUGGUUAACUGCCCUCAACCACUACUAAGGCCUUGUUUGGCUAUUCAAUAUAAUUCAUUCUCAUUUAAUUUGAUAAACUUCUUAUACUAUAGUUUAAUUAAUGUCACACUCCUUAUAAAAUAACUCCAAUAUUUUAUUUAAUAUAUUUUAAAUAAAAUAUAAUAAUUUCUCAUAAAUUCACAUAGUCACAUAAAUAAUUUUCUCAUUAAUAAAUAAUGUCAAAUUAUUAACUCUCUAAUUAAUAAUUAAAUUAAUUAAAUAACAUCAUGCUUAAUUAAAUAUUUCUUUUAAUACAAUAAGCUCACAUAAUUACAUAUUUGAAUAAUAAUUAUUCUCUACAUUAAUUUAAUAAAUGUAACACAUAAUUAAAUUAAUCUACCACAAUUGCAUCAAAUAAUUAUUUAAUCCAAUAAUUAAAUCAUCGAAAAAUAUUUAUUUAAUUCAAUAAAUAUUAAAAUUAAUUUACAAAAAUCUUGUUCGUCACAAUUGAAGUCCCAUAAACAUAAAUAGCAUCUUUUGAUUACUGUCACUUGCUUUCUUAGUGAAUAAGGUCACUUCUCUACCCAAACCUCAUAUUUGACAGAAAUGAUCAACUGAAAAUUUCAAAAAAUAUUCAAAACGGCAAAAUAAGCAAAAGAGCACAUAGCUAACAAUAAAAAUCCCAAAAGACCAAAGUUUAUGGUACUUGAGAUAAAAGUUAUCCAAAAUGAAAAAUACUAGAAGCAACGCACAUAAACAAGCACAACAUUCAUGAAGAAUCUAAGUUCAGGCAUAGUCCAAACGCUGAAAUUGAGUUUCAAUCCUAAACAUCUUCAAAACAAAAUAAAACAAAACAAUACCUGCAAAUCAUUCAACCCCAAAAUUUACUUUUUCUCACACACAUGCACUGCAUAUCUGCAUUCUUAAGGCUGAAAUAGAACAAUAAACAACAAUGAGCAAGUGUACCUAGCUUCAAAAUCUGCUCAACACAUCUUUGCAGAAACCCAGUCAACAUCUUCAAGUUGAUGAGACAGCUCCUCCACCUUAUCUCCAAGUCUAGAAGCCCCUAGAUCAGCCAACCAAAAUGAUUUACUUGCUGUCAUGGCAACAUCUAUUGUUUCUUCUUUGAAUUUAAGUUUAUUCUUAAACUCAACCACUGCUUGCUUCGCCUCUUCAAGUUCCUGUCAGACAGCUAAUAACUGCAAGAAUGUAAAAAAACAUGGUUAACUCAAAAUUGGAAUGGAGUAGUAUAGAGGAUCAGAAAACAACAUAGUACACAAAUGAUCGAAAUUCAUUUUUUGUGGGUGCUUUUAUAACCUUCUGUGUAAGAAUUGUAUUUUUAUAGCCAUAUUUACAGGUUUUUAAGUACCUAUUCUAUCUUGAAGAGUAAUAUAAAAAGAAUACACUCUAAAAUGCUUUAUAGAAGUUGUCCCAAACUUGCAAACAAUGUGGUACAAUGCCAAAGUUCAUAAGGUUGCCUCCUGUUUGCAACUCUGAUGACAUCUGAGAGUAUAUGAACUUCACAUGAUAUGAAAAGAUAAAUAUUCAAUUCAAAUAAAUGAAAAUCCUAAAUUGAUCUUUACUACUUCUAUAUAUCACAAAAUUAUCCUAUAUAUCAUACUCUUUUAAGCAAAUGCUCUUUUUAAGAUAAUGACAUAUUUCUAGUCAGAUUAUGUUUGAAGAGGUUAAAUUCCAAUUUAUCCUUCAUGAAGUGAUGGAAUAUCAAUUUUAAUGUCAGAUCAUACCCUCAUGAAGUGGACUAAAGGAGCACAAGUUUCGAAACAUGGUUGACUGUGAAAAUAUUUUCACAUUAUAAUUCAAGACGACCGUCCAGCCUAAGCUACAAAGUGUUAAGGGAAAAGGUGGCAAGCAACGUGGAGCUAAUUCCAAUCUCCAAGCAGAAGCUGAAGACUGUUAAUAUCUUGGGCAGUCAACGGUCAAAGUGGUUAGUUUAAUGAAUUCUUCUGGUUUGUCAAAAACAAACAAUAUAAUGGGACGUGUAAAAGGCUGUUUUAAGUACUCGCCAUCCUUAAAGAAAGGUUCAAUACCAAUUUCUAGAUACACCUGUGCCACAAAAUCUGGUUCAACAGUCUUGCCUACAUCAGCUUCUUGUUGCGCAACUACCUUCCAUCUUAUAAUUUCUUCUUGAGCUGCAGCAAUAUCCAUCAUAAGCCCUUCAACCUAAAACCAAAAAGUAGUCGAUAUAAGAUGUGAGAUAUAAUGAAUUUAAGAGUAGCUGGAAUGUACAUAUUCCUCACUAUAAUUUCACAUAAUCAUAUCAACAACCAAAUAAAAAAAUGAGAUUACAAAACAGCAGUUUGCUAAGAAAUCAUUAUACAAUCAAUAUAUGAACAAGCAUAUAUGUUAACUUACAUUACCAUUUGCCACUCUUUCUUUCUCUAAAAGUUCCUCUGCGUUUUUUCCUCAGGAAGAGCACCUUGGCUUGAGCUUCUACAGGCUGUUUGAGUAAACUUAAAUCAAAUAAACAACUCUACAAUUGCUGAUCAAACAAGGGAAAUCAAUUCUAAACAAACUUAACUUGAGGUAAACCUAAUAUGUAUCCCCCAACAGCUAGGGAAUAGGGAAUUAUAUCCCAAUUCAAUACAUUGCUUAUAAACUCUCAAUCCACAUAAAUAUGGCCUAGGGCGUCAACAAUCCUUGUAAACUCUUACCAACAUGUCCUGAUAGGAUGUGUAAAAAGUUACAACUGCUGAAAUACUAGUAGAAAUAUCUAUUUGGCGAAUGAUGAUGAUAUUUCUCUUAGCAAUCUGAUUCGGGGACAAACUGGUGCAAUAACAAAGAACUCUGCAGAUGCCAUGAUGACAAGUACAUGCAUUAUGCAUAUGCUACCAGACUAAACCAGAAACAUUACAAGGCUGCAGAACUUGGUUCCCUAGGACUAAAUAUUCCAGCUUAUACAAAUAUUAAUCUAAUAUUGAUAAUUUAAAUAUUUCUCACCUUCACAAGGACGACGUCGUUGCCUUUCCAAAUGAGGCAUCACUCCAUCAUCAUAAACUAUUUUCUCUAGCUCAUCAUAAUUAAGAAAUGGUUCUUCCUCCUCUUCAACAAUCCAAAACUCUGUUUUGUCAAUUGACUUAUAAUCAAUUGGAUCCUAAUUCCAUCUCUUAUAGCAAUGCCUAAAAUUAUGAUUUCAUAUAAUGUUAUGUGAUUUUUUUUCCAUAAAACUAACGUCAUAUAAUAUUAAUUAUUAAAAAUUCAAAGAAAGAUUGCUACCUCAACACCAAUAGCUUUUUUAUACUCCAACUUGCUUAUAGGGCCUCCAAUGUUAAUCAUGUCUGGCAACUAAAGGUAUUAACCUUGACCCAAUUUCAGCACAAUCAAAUUAGUGUAACCUUGAAGAGCUGGGAAAUGAGUGGCAUGGGACUGCCAUGCAUACUGUUCAUUAUCAUUGUGUUUUGUUGUGACAAUAACCUUCUCAACAACUAAGUAAGCAGAACAAAAACAAACACCAAAUUGUUCAAUCAUACUGUCAUCAGCACCACCAACAAGAGCUUUCUUGAAAUCCUUAAUACCUGAUCUUGCAAUUAUUAAUAUGCCCAAAGCCAUAGUAAGUUACAACUUCUAAAUUUUCACUUCAACCACAUAAUACUAAAAUGUACACAUGUAAGAGCAAGCACAAUCAAACAAAAGCCACCGAAUAAAUUACAUAAAGAUUAUGCAAAAUCAUUUAUGAUACAUUAGCACAGCAAAAAAUAGAGCGCGACCAGAGAAAUUGACUAAUCUAUUUAAUGUUUUUGCUUUCUGCAUGCAGUCUACUCUCUUAUUUAUAAAAUGCAACUUCCCAAUAGGCUACUAACUUCCUGUUGAGUAAUGCAACUAAAUGAACACCUAGACUAUCAAAUAAUUUGAUCUUACAAAAUAAAUUCAUUAACUGUAAUAGGCUAUCAAGAAAAAAAUUAAGCCAGUCAUAUACUUUGAGUAUACCAAUGUGAAAUUUCUAAACAAUCUAAGGCAGAGAGAAGCUAGAAUAGCAAUAUCUACAGUACCAAUAAGGAGAGGCAUGAUGAAAAGAGCAGGGAAAGAAUCAUAAGCCUCUUACCUCCACAGCAGAUGGAAAGAGUGUCAUUCCACCAAUGAUGCUAAGACCGAUGAGAUAUGCACUAUGACCAGGAAUAUCUUCUUGAAUUUCAAGACAUCCGUACUCCAUAAGCACAAGAUGAAUAAUGGAUAAGCUAAGGGCCAGUAUAUAUCUGCUUUCCAGUGCCAACUGCAGGGAAGCUGGAAUUGUUGAAAGCCAAUAAGGGAGUAUAGUCUAAAUAAAAGCCAAGUAAGACAUUCCCGAAAGACAACAAUCUCAGAAGUGGCAAGCAAGCAGAACACCUGAGAAAGCUUUAUCAAGAACUUCAACACAUCUGGACCUUGCAGAUUGUGAAAUGGGAAUCAUACACAUCACUUGUUCUGUGACUCCACCAGAAUCUGAUGUGAUAAAAUAAUACAAGACCCAGAAGAAAAUCAUCGACUGACACACAAAAUUGAAAAUACCUGCUGCUCCGGACACAAUGAAAUUACCAAUUAUGAACACGAGCUUAGCACUCCCACCUAGAACUGAUUUACCACUGGAAAAUACGCCUUGCAACAUGUCCAAUCCUUGAAAGGCAAACCCCUUUGCCUUCUCAACCAAAUCCUCCCUUGUGAUCAGUAAUUCCUUAAAAAUCGCAUCAACUUCCGUAUAAAUUUCCCACAAUCACAAUUAGUAACCCUCUUCUUCAAACUCAAAAGUUUCUCAGUGUAAAGGGGAUGGAGUCAUCAAAGCAGUGGACUUUGAAGAAGAAUUCAUUGUUUGAGUUGUUACAAAACGCCAAAUUCCAGCAACAAAUUGUGUCAUAUUAUACUGCAUUGCCAAACUAUCAAUGUGAUCAGAUACAGUAUCAUAAAAUUGUGUAGUGUCAAUUCUGAAAAUAGCCUACUCUAUGUUCAGCUUUCUCAAUUACAUCCAAUUUGUUCUGCUUUUCUGAAAAUAGGCCAUUUGAACUGGCGUUGAGAAUAAAAAUUCAAAUUAAACGCCAUUUUAAGUGGCGUUGGAAUGAUGUGAAUAAUUUCAGUGUCUAAUUUUGUUCUUAAUCAGAUUUUUUUGUUUAUCCGACUUUUUUUUGAAAAAAAAAUAUUUUUUAAAGAAUAUUUUGAAAUUUUGAUAAUUUAUUUUUUGUAUAAAGCAAAUUUGAAAAUAAAAAAUUUAACACCAUUUGAAAUGGCGUUGGAACAAUAUAUUUUUUUAUGAAGAUAAAGAAUAGAGCUUGAACGCCAUUUCAAAUGGCGUUGGAACUUUUUUUUUAUAAAGCAAAUGUGGAAUGGAAUAGAUGCACACAAGCAAAUGUGAACAGAGCUUGAACAGCACUUCAAAUGGUGUUGGAACAUUUUUUGUUUUUUUCUCAAUAAAGUAAAUGGCAGCUUUUCUGAUGCAGGAAAUGUAGAAUAGAGCUUGAAUGCCAUUUCAAAUGGCGUUGGAACAGCAUCACCAAACACAUAAAUGGAAUAUUGCAUCUUGCAAAACAAACACAUGAAUGUCAUUCCUUGCUUAAGCCUAUUGACAGAUAUUAACAAAAAAAUCCAAUUCAAGCCUCAAAAAUGCCUUAACUGCAUCAAAUUUAACUGAUAUUUUACUUUUUGGUAGACUUCUUCCUAGUUGAAUACGUUGCACUAUGGAGAUUCUUCAACGAUAUAGAUAAACUUCUUGCUUCCACUUGGUUGUGAUGCAUUGGUUGGAUGUGAUGUGAUGUGUUGGUUGUGAUACAUUGGUUGUGAACUUGUGAUGUGUUGGUUGGUUGUAAUGCAUUGGUUGGAUGUGAUUCUAAACUCGUGAUUUUUUUAAAAAAAAGUGAGUUUAAAUACUAAACUCGUGAGUGUCUGAUUUACAAAGAAAAGUGAGUUUUCCUUCUAAACUCUAAUGUGUGUGUUUUAAAAAAAAGUGAUUUUGGUUUCUUCUAAUGUGUGUUUUUCAAAGAAAAGUGAGUUUGGUUUCUAAACUCUAGUGUAUGUUUUCAAAAGAAAGUAAGUUUGGUUUCUAAAUUCUAGUGUGUUUUUCAAAAAAGUGAGUCUGUUUUCUAUACUUUAGUGUGUGUUUUCAAAAGAGUGAUUGUAAAAGGUGAAUUUUAAGUUUCAUCAAAAGUCCCUUUCAAGUAAUUAGUUUUUACCCUUUGAAUUUGAUUCAUUUUAGAAAGCCUUUAGUUUUGAAAAUCAUUUUUUAAUUACCCAAAGCAAAUAAAUGAGUUAGAGUCCAACUUAGGGCAUAGAAAUAAUCACAUUGGACGUUAUCACUAAAUUACACUAAUAAUCCACUAUUUAGGCUUUAAACUCCAUCUUAAGAGUUAAAGUCCACCCAAAUUAGGUUUAAGGCCCAUAAAUGAUAUACAAGCACGAUAGCCAUUUACAAUCCCAAUUUCACAUGUCCAUUAUUAUGGGAGGAAUGUCCUAAUUCCUCUAAAUUUGAAUUUAGAGGCCUUAAGUUUUCUAUUAAGCUCACAAUUUGCAUAAAUCUUACUCAAACUAAAAUGAUGGAAUUUAAUUUCAAGAUCCAUCAUUGGAAGAGUGCCACAAUUCUUCCAAAUAUGGAUUUGGAGCCCUUGGCACACAAACGAGGAAACGGCUCAAUCAAUGCAUUUGCAUGAAUUCUAAACACAUAUCCAACAUGGGUUACGUCUAAUUUUUAUGGAUAGAAGACCACAAACCUUAGAUUCACCUAGGACAUCACAAAAUUAUACUACAAAAUUUACCCAAGCAAUUUAAACACUAAGCAUAGUAAGAAAGUUUCACAUACUUCAAAUUGAUACCCAAUUCACAUAUAAGAAUUAAAAUAGAGAUAAUGUUGUAGAAAAAAUAGAGAUACCCAAUUCUCUAUAUGCAUGAAAUGAAGGAACAAAUGAAUAUAUAUGUUGAAAACUAGAUGUGUCCCGUGCCUCCGGCACUGUAUGGACGGUGAGAUUUAUCCCAAACUUUGGAUGGCCCAGAUGAUUUAUUGAGUGAGCGGGAAAUUCAAAAUCAUUUGUAUUUUAUUAGAUAGAUUUUAUCCCGGGGCCGCAUAUAAGGCCGCGGCUAGGCCAAGCUAUCAUUUGGCGCACGGCUUUGGGUGUGGAAAUUUAGGACAGACACGUGGAUUGGUUUGAUGUCUUUUUUCUCUCCUAAACCCCUUGGUUUUCUUGAUUUUGUUGUUUAGAACCUGAAAUUCUAUUUUUUCACAAUUUUCUCACUUUUGGGUGAUUUUUAUUAUUUUUGAGCAUGAGAUAAAAAUUUUGAUCGUCUAUAUAUAUAUAUAUAUAUAUAUAUAUAUAUGUUCACAUUAUAAUUUCAAUAGUAGGAUUUGACAAAUUGACCUGAAAAAAUUCAAAUGAAACUAUUUUUGUUUUUGGAAUAGAGACUAUUAACAAUCUCACAAGGUAUCUCUUUUUGUGGUACGGUGAGAGUUUGUGAGAACAUGAACAGCCAGGGAUGGUUAUCAAUUUAUUGUUAAGCUUUUCAAUAUGGAAAAGAGAUUUUAUCAAUAUGACCAGUUUACUUAUCUUAAUAAAAAGAGUUAAUGUCAAACUAUUAAGGGACGCUGUCAAGGAACACUCGAGACCAAAUAAUAGGUUAUAAGCUUGUAGCAGACUAGCCAUGCAGAUUAAGUAUGUGAUUCAAUCCAUCUUUAAGAAAACUCAAAACAGCAACACACUGCCACAUUGAAUACAUAGAUUCCUUCCAAUACCCCUAGAUUGAGCAUAGAAGGCCUACAACAUUUGUUUUUAAGCUCUGCCUCAAUAUUUGAUGAAUUUUGAAAUGUAAAAAAGCCUAGACAGUAUUUUUCAAGUUCCACGUAGGGCACGGACACGAACCUGAAUUUGUUUCCUCUCCCAAUCCGCUACAUCCUUAAAAGCAUGUUCUGGAAGAUUUUCAAAAGGCUCCUUCCAAGGAUCAUUUUUAGCUAAAUCAUAUGUAGCUCCCCUCAGUGCUUUUUUAUUGGGUCCACAAGGUCUCUUUGAGGUAAAUAUACUGUAUGUCGUGUUCAACUGCUCCGAUAAAUAAAAACCAGAAAAGUAAGAGACUCGUAGUUUUGCUGCAAAUUUUCAGGACAUGGCAACAAUGGAUUUAAAAAAUGAGAUUAGGGCUGAUACUGAAGUGAAGAUUUGAGGACUUACAUCCAUGUCACAGAACCAGAACAUGUAAGCAAUUGCAACAGCAGGAGCCCUACCUAAUCCAGCGGUACAAUGUACUUAUACUCUUCCUUUGCCCUCUGAAAUGGCCCAAUCUAGUGAGGAGACAGCUUUUGGUAAUCCAAAUCUCAAGGAAUCAGGAUCAAAAUCUCUUGCCUUUCAACACAUACGAUAAAUCAGGGAAUGUAAAGCAACAGUAAUAACCUUAAUUAUUCUUUUUGAUACUCAAAAAAGUUGAGGUGAAGGGAAACAAAAAGGAAAGUAAAUUUAGAGAAAAACAGAAGAGGGAAUUGAUAUUUCCGCAAAUGAAAAUGUUAGUUCCACAAGCUUCUACUCACAUGAAUAGUGAGGUCCACCCUUAUGCGAGAGAGAACUUUGUGGGGAACUAACAUUUUCACUUGAGGAAAUAUUAAUUCCCCCCCAAAAAAACUUUUUUUACUGGAUAUAAGUUCACCCAUGUAUAAUGAUGAAAGUAAGUGUAACGAAUUGUUUUCAUUCUCCUUUUCUUUUCUUUCCCCCACACAGUUCCCAAGUUCCAAAUAAAGCAUUAGUACGUUUUCUACCAGUCAAUUCACUAGUAUCCAUGAGUCCUUUAUAUGUUGGAAGUUUAUUGAACUUCUCUACACAGAUAUGUUGCUAUCUGCAUCCAGAAAAAUCCAAAACUUGGCAUACAGAACAUGAAAAACUAGCUAUGCAUACACCAUGUUUUUUAGCAAUUGUGAAAGGAUUGUGUAGUUUUGCUUAUACAUUGUUAUAGCAGCCUAGUUUACAAACAUGAAAACCAGCUAUAUUGUUUACAGCAGUUCGAUUUACAAACCUACACUUGCAUCUUAAGAUAGACAAGGCAUUAGACAUAACAACUCGCAAGAUCUGAAAUCUCAGAAAAUUAAAUACUCUUAUGUUUGUGAAUUACUACAACGAUAGUAGAAAUAUGUUAUCAUGUUCAAGUUUUGUAUGUUUGAGUAAUAAUAAAAAUAGAGUAAAACAAUGAAGGUUGCAAAGAUAUGUGAUAGUGAUAAUCAUUUGAAGGCAUAAUACACUAUUUGUGGGGCAAUUUAACAAUAAUAAGGGUGUAGUGCUUAUUUAACUACCUCCAUUCCAAAAUAUAAGAUCCUUAUUGACAUUUUGAAGUCAACGAAAGACAUUUUCAAACUGAAAAUUGACAUAGAUUCCUUUCAUUUAAGCCAAUACAAUGACGAAUAUUGUAAAUUAUCUCAAAAGUACUACUCAUCGUAAGAUUUAUUAUUUUAUAAUUUUUAAUGAAUCAUCUCUAUUUUGAGUUUAAAAAUAUCUCAAAUUGACUUUCAAAAGUAUAACAAUCCUAUAAUUUGAAAUGGAGUACUUAUAAGUUACUUCAUAACCUCCUUCCACGUGAAAUGGUUGGUACUAAAAAAAAGAUCUGCUUACAGGCCUUCUCAUGUGACGUAUUCCUGCUCUUUGACAGCUUUUUAUUAUAGACGGUAGAUCUAUUCCCCAAUAUUCAAUGUCUUUGUCCUGCUGCAAGUUAAGAAUGUAGGCCACAUUCUCUUCCUCUUUUAGAUGAUCUAUGUCUUCACCUUUCUGAGGCUGAGAGCCCACAAUCAUUUAUUCAGUUAUCAAUGAAUAGUUCAUGCCUGAAUCAAGGAUUAUACUGUUUAGAAUUUAGAUCAUAUAAAGAAGUAAAAAUCAUCACCACAAGGUUUUGCGAAUGUGGUACACAAAAAAUGAGUUCUGCAUAGAAUGAACCAAAUAAGAAAAGUGGUGGAUCCAUAUGAUACUUUCGACUAAUCAAAUGAUAUAGGACAACACACAAAAAUAACUAGGGUUUAGAUUCCGCACCUAAACAAUAGGAUCCCUUGGUUACCAAGAUUUGAUGGAUGCCAAUCUCCCUAGACGUACGAUGGUUUGAGGUCACUCUGCUGAGAUUACUCGUGCACGAGAGAGAAGAUUGAUCGCAAUCAAAAUCUAAAUUUUAUAAAAUCUCAAAAUGAAUAAUACGUCCCGUAGAACAAUUAAGCUUGGCCUCAUAUUACUGCACCGUAGCAUACAAGGUUGUCUAUUGACCACCAAUUUUUGAGUUGGGAUAUGACAGUAUGAACAUAAUUUUGUGAUGCUCUGGUUUAUAUUCCUAUGAUAAUGUACAUGAAGGAAAGAUCAAACUUAUAGUAUAAAAAAAGAUGAAGGAAUAGUACACUAUUUCAGGGGAAUGGGCGCGUGGACACUUAAUAGGCACAGUGACGAUAGUGUUGGGGAGCGCAGACACUAGCACGCCCAGUGCCGCUUGACCUACUAGUGCAUAUGAUCCUCAUCGCCAGGACCACUAGCACCCAUAUACUCACACGCCCUUGAAAUCGCGCCCCCUAUUCACGCUCUCGUCCUCACACAUGCGCGACACUCAAUAUCUCUGUCCGUACUUGAGCCCAGUACCCUUUAACUAUCAUACCCACGUGUGCAUGCUCUGUGCCCUAUUAAUUGCACCAAUUUUGCUUAUAAUGACUUUUGUCAUAGCAUUUGCACGCCUACGCACGCAUGUCCUCGAACGCCUAAUAACCGCGAUAGGGAUUGGGUGCCACAGUAUGCAUUUCCACGCAGACAUUUAGCCGUAUAACCUAAUCGUCCUUUGCCUUGUUGCCCGAAGUACCAACACUAUUGCUCACCCGCACUAGUGUGCCCAACCUAACCGCGUACCCAACGCCUAGGUUGAAAUAUAUUCAUUCUAAUAUCCUUUGAUUGUAAAAAAAUAUUUGUGAUUAAUAAAAUAGAUCAUUGUAUCGAGUAAAUUUAAUCCAUUCAAACAUGUAUCAAGGAUUUACUCACUAUUUGACUACCUAAUAGAGUUGUGUUUGUAAUUCCAGUUGUUUUAAAUGAAACACGUUUAGUGUUGAGAUGCUUUUUUUUUUUGAGGAAUGUAGAGAUAUUUAGUUCCAUAUGAACCUCUUAAUUUUCUAAAGGAUAUAUACGUAUAUUUAUGACUGAAAUUCUACUGUAAUAUAUACGUAUAUUUUCUCAAAUAUUUUGCAGAUUUUUGAAAUAGUAUUUGUGCACUUAAAAGCCCUUCAGCAGACUUAUGAAGCAUUCUAGGGAAUGCAAAACAGCACUGCCAGCGAAAUUAGAAGGUGUUGGAGGACCUCUAUUAACAAAGUCUUGAUGAAGCACCUCACAACUCUUUACAACCAUUGUAUUGCCAGACAAUCAUCCAUAGAGGAAGAAGGUAUGCAAACUAAAGUGAACACUAAGACCAUAAAAAGAACGUCACAAUCAGAGAAAUUCAUAAUGGAAUAAGAAUAAACAAACAAUCAAAAACAUACCAGAAGUGGCAAAAUGGUCCAAUGAAGCCAAGACCGCAACCUGCUUUCACCUAAUUUUAAAUUCUUCAUCUACAUGUUGAAAUGCAAAACAGAAACAUUAAUCCACUGAAGCACAUACUUUCACAAAAAUGUUUUGUCAAAUAGUUUAACAAGAACUUCAGUUUACAUCAGGAAACAUUAAAAGGCCAACACUAGCCUUGCAUCUAACAGAAGAUUAAUAAGUUAAAAGUUUUUUUUUGGGGGGUUGGAGGGGGGUAUGUGGUGUUAAAAUUCAAGAAACUCAACUAGUUAUGUAGGACAAGAUAUUGAUCAACUACUGACUUUUUUUUAAUCAUUAUGAUUUGUUACAUUUAUUAGAAUAUGACCUUCUGUAAACUCCCAACUAAUACAUUAAAAUGCACAUACGCACAUCCUGCUAAGACAAAGUAAUAAAAAAUAUAUCAAACCUUUUCAUUUUCAUAUGUGAUUAUACCUAUGUCUCCUUGAUUUCUUUAUAGGGACAUGAAUGAUAUAUAAAUUGGAAUAUAAGAUUCACUCCAUAUAUUAUGAAGGACUGCAUGUGUAUAAGAUACAUCAGAGGGAUAAUACUGAAAUCAAGGUCAUGUUAAUAGAAGUCUCACUCGGGUCUCCAGCUGUAACAAGAUAAAGCAAAAUAAACAUCCAAGUCUACUUGUAGUGAUCACAACUAAUUAAAAACACUCUUGAUGUUCUGUGAAAGAUUAUUUCAUUCAUGCACUCCAAUAAAGAUGAAUUAUUGCAAAGGUUGGAUAUAAUGAGACCCGAAACAAUAAGAACAACCAUUCAUGGCAACAUUUAAUAGCAAGAGAGAACAUAAAGAAAAUUAACCAGAUAUGUUAGGAUAAUUAAAGUCGCCAAACAAAAUUGGCCAGCAAGCUGGGUGUAGUAGUUAUAGCCAAAAGCCAUAUUUGAGCUGACCCAUUAAUAAUUGUUUUAAUUUUUCUAAACAGGAGAAUAAUGGAGUACAUAGCAAUUGAUUCAGGAAAGGAAACUUGUUGGAAAAAAAAUGAGCUGGUUCAUGCUUAAAGUCUUAAAGAAAGAAGACAAAUAUGUAGGAUGACAUGAUAGAUUAUAUAUUAAUUUAGUUCCAUACUUCAAAGUUCAAACUGAAUAUACUAAGAAGAUGAACAAGUGGAAGAACUAAGAAGAUGCAUAGACAUUAGUGCACAUAAUUUACGGUAGGCAGUAUGCAUAGUAUAAAACAACAAAACAAAACAAAAAAAUCAAAACAUAAAACCCUGAACCAACAAAACAUCUGUCAUGGCAAACUGUACAAUGCAAGUUAUCUCCUUGGCUACAAAAAAUCACAAGAGACGCUAAUAAAGAAAUCACAAAAUAAGAAUACAAUAAAAUGAAAAACAAUAAAUUACCACCGAGAAUCCCCAUUAAAUCAACAAGUUCCUCCACUUCACCGCGUUUAAUAAUCCGGCAACAUUCUCUCCCAAACGCCUCUUUUGCAGCCCCGUCAAACAACUCCAAAUUACCAAUCCCUAGCUUCUGAGCACCACUCAACGCAUCCACCAGUCUCCUAAUCUCUUCUUUUUCUACCAUUUAAACAACUCCCAUCGAAACAAGCUCGGAGUUGAGAAAAGCCACGAAUUGGGAGGAUUUUACGCUUCUCCCGGAAGAAAGCUAGAAGAAACCGCGCGAAAAAUGGCAAAGAACAGCGGGAAACGGUCAUGUACCGGACGGAACCCAUAUAACCUGAGGGAACCUGAAAAUCCGUCCAUUAAUGGGGCUCCGACCCGUAACUGUACGAACUGUAAAAUCAUCAAACCCUAACUGUACGCACUGUACACCUGUUCCGAACAGCAGGGGAGGAAUAACCGCAGGGAUAGAUAAGCGGAGCGUGAAGGCGCGUCGAAGCUCCGAUUUGGUCGAGCUUCCUCCAGCCAAAAAGCCCCGAUCGACUCUGACCAGCUUCGAUUACAUGACACUCGAGUACAUCUACCACUACCAGUCAAGAUGGAGAAGCCACGUGAACUCGGGCUUCUUUACUUGGUGUCCGCAUGUGGCUGCUGGUAGUAUUCGGAUUGCAGAAAGAGUGAGGGAAAGAGAGGAAGAAGAAAAGAAAAUUUAGAAAGAAAAAUGGAGUCCUCUAUAUGAUAGAGAAAAAUGUGAAUAGCAAACAAAGCUCUCGAUUAUCUAUUCUUUAAUACUCCAUAAAAGGUUAAGAGUAAGAACACUCUGAGUAGAGCUGGAUAUCACUCAACUCAUUAAUAGGAAUAUGUAAUUUUUAAUUCAAACGAUAUCUCCUAAUAUUAUAAUGGGGGAGAGUUAGAAAAAAACAGUACAUCUCUUGAAGUUAUGCAACACAGUCUAAAAAAAAUAUUAUAAUUUUUCCUCACUCAUUUCUAAAUUAUCUCCCCACUAAUUAGCUUGUAAUUUUUUACUUGCACACACAAGUACGGACCGGUAUAAAUAAUGAAUAUUAUAAUAUUGGCCCAAAACGAAAAAAAGAAGAAGAGGAAAUGUCCAAAAAUGAGACAAAAUUAAUACUAUAAAUUUUGAGCAGAAAAAUUAAUAAUCAAGUAAAUAAAUACAAGUAGGAAGGAAAGAACUGAGAUGAAAUGAUCAAAUGAAACAGCGGUCGAAUGCUCUACAAGAAUGGAUGCUGAUUUUUUUUUUGUUGAAAAAAUUCAUCUCAUAUAUAUAUAUAUAUAUAUAUGUGUGUGUGUGUGUGUUAAGCUAAUACUCUUAUAUUUUUAUUUCAUAGUGAUUUGAUGAUUAAAAAAUGAAUACUUAAUCAACUAAAAACAAUUUGACAAGUUAUUUGUAAGUCUCGAGUAGAGUACGGGGGAGGGGUGAAAAUAAUCCCAAGUCGAUUCGAACACCCUAAUACUCAAACUCGACUCGAAUUCAAACUUAUAAUUUUCAAGGAUGAUCAAGUUCGACUCGAUAAAUUACUCGAUACUACUUGACUCAGAGUUACUCAACUUGUUUAUUCGCAAGCCUUUCUAUUCGAGCUCAAGUCUGAGAUGGAUUACACCAAAAUGAGACAUAAAAAUAAAAACUUAGAAAAACUUCAAUUUCAUUUAUAUAUAAAAAUACACAUGUUACAAAAAUUACAAUAAUAAAUUUACAAUAUUAAUCAUACUAUGAUACAAUUUCUAAUAACAUCAUUACAUUUAUCCGAUCUCGUACAUACACAUCCCCUCGCUUUAUUUCCAUCGGUAUUUGCAAGAGCUAUUUAUACUUUAUAGUUUAUACAUUUAUCCAAUCUUUGUAUAUAUGCAGAAAGUGACUAGUUGAGUAGAGGUUCAACCAAAGAGCCUAAAACAAGAAUGAAGACAGAAGAAGAGAAGUGAUUUACAAGGAUGAACACAUCUUCUAACAAGUCUAAUUCCUUCUUCACCAGUUUUUGAAGAUGUAUCAUCCAUUUGCAGUAUAUGGCAAGUCAGAAAGCCAUAUGCGAUGUCUGUAAAUGCUGCUCCACAAAUCACAAUGGGUCCUGCAAAAGUGUAGAGUUCAAAAAUUGAAAAUAUAUAUCUAUUAUGCAAUUACCACAAAUAUCAACAAAACAAAAUUAUAUAUAUCACCGAAAAUCAUAUAUCUUGCAUUCUUGCGACUUUUGUUGCGAGUAUACACAAAUAGAUUAUCCAAUCUGCACUUAUUUUCAUGUGUCAUUGUAUAUGCAGGUCGUAGUAAACAGGACCAUAGGAACAUAAAUAAGCUCAUGACCAAUUUAUGUUACUAUUAACAUACCUGGACCAAGAUUAUAUAUGUGGUGGGUAACCACAUCGAACUUGGGUGUUUUGCCAAUAAAUUCUUUGAACCAAUUUGCAUAAAAAAUCCUCCUGGUGUUAUGAUUUGCGACUGAAAUUCUUCACCCUUACAGAUAUCUUGCACUAUCUUUUGUAGAGAGAUUGUGUCCGAGGAGUAUUGAUCUGCUGCAACUCUACCCGUACUCCACUUCCACACAAUUCAUUUCCUGAAAUGAUAUGAGAUAAUGUUAAUAAUUGUAUUUGCAUGUUUCUGAGUAUAAUCUUCCUAUAAGUUUGCAGCACUUACCUACCUCCCACCCAUGGAUAGUGUAAUUCUUUUUGACAGUAAAUUGUACAAAAGAUUCCGCGUUUGUGGAAUCCCAUGCUGCAACAGCAGAGCUAUUAGACCUUAUGGUUUUUCCAUUGAGAGCAUUCAAUUCAAAAAUAAUCACAGCCCUAAAUUUGAAAAACGAGAUUGUAAGUCAUUUUUCUUGCAGCUAUGAAGUUCAAGGUAAAUGAAAAAUUGGUUGGAAUUCCUUUUUUACCGAUAUUUAUUGAAGAAGGUGUUUAGUUCAUCCCAUCUGUACAAGGGUAGGCAGCCCCGAGUGAAACCAAACAACUCUGAGGUGUUUUUAGUAAAUGGGGUGCAGGGUUGCUUCUUCAGUAUCGUAGAUGACUUUGUCUUGUAAAGUACCACCUAAUCUAAUCUUUAAUGGUGAAAAAGCUGCAUAAUUACUUGAAUCAGUUACUUUAAGGCACCGAUUAUUCAUCAUCAGCAAUAUAAAAGAACUGAAAAUCAAGUUAAAAUAUGUCAUCAAUACUCAAAGUAUUUAAAGACGAUUUUACCUUUAAUGCCAUUUAAGAAAAUCUCAUUCUUAAAAUCCUGCAAAAAAAAAAAGAAAAAAGGAAGAACCACCAAAUUUAUACAUAAUGAGUUAUGAUUACAAUAUUUAGUUGUUAUUGUUGUUGAAAAUUUACCAAUUCUCUUGCACAAUGAGCAUAAGCACGUAUUUUCUUUAUUCCGGAGAAGCUUGUGGACAAAACUUUUCUUCCCAUCAGUCUGUGCCAAAGAAGAGCACUGCAAGAAAGAAAGCAUAUCAAACACACAGCCUUAAACAUGAAUUGUUCUGCACCUGGGAACAAAAUGGAUGCCUCUUAUAUGUACAUUUAUCUAUUUAUCUGUUUAUAUAUACACAUUGGGAGUCAUUAGAUAGAGGAAAGCAAAGAGAAAUAGAACGUAAAAAAAUGGCAAGAAGACAUCAUAAUGUAGAGGUGUAAGCUUGCUUGCUUAUAGAAGACAGCAGAAUUGCUUAAUUUGAAAGUGAAGACGAAAAGUUACUAUCACUAGGAAAUAAUGCAUUUGAAGCAACUUAGCCAAAAUUGGAUAGUCAAUUCCACAAAAGGAAUUCACAAAUUUAUAGUUCUUUUUUUCAUUAGGCAUUGACUGAAAAAAUUCUAAUCACCUAUAGUAAUCUGGAUUUGGUACAAAGGUAGUAGUGUUGAGUAAACCAUAGUUUCCACCUAUCAGUGAUUGUCUGCAGUAUGUCUUGGUACCAUAAGUCGCUGACAUGCCAAGCUGAUCCAAGUACCUAAAAUAUAAUGUCCAGGACAACAUUACCCGACGAACCAUUAGAGUUCCAACUCGAGCAACUAUCAUUUUUAACCACCACUUUUGGGGGAGGUUGUCUGCAAAACAACGUUAAAAAAAGAAGAGGGAGUUAGAGAAACAAAACAAGGAAAAUGAAUGUGAGUUCACCAGAAAUUUAAGAACCAAUUAGUUGAGCAAGUUCAUAUACCUUCUUGGAAGGCAUCUCACUUUCUGUUUUUUAUGAGAUCCAGAUACCUCAUUUGGCAGUUUCAAAGAGGCAAGAAGAGGGUAUAGCCUGACAAAGUUAUCCUGUAGCAAGAAAACAAAAUCAAAGUUGCAAUAUAUGGGGCAAAGCUCAAACAUAGUUUAGAAAAUGACUAAAGAUGUUCAAUGUUUUCUAUGCCUUAUCUAAGUAUUCAGGAAAUCUCAGAACAAAGCAUUACUGUUGCAAAAAAGAAGCUAAACUGCAUAUACAUAUAUACUGAUUAAACCAAGAUUUUGAGCAAAUAUAAUACCCAUUGUUGAUACCAACAAUAAAUUCACGGCGAAAAAUAUUUUCAAUUAAUACCCCAAAAAAUUAGUCAAAUAUUUGAAGUAUUCCUUAACGAACACCAAAAACAUAAUAAACUACUUAUUUAUUGUCUUCUUGCAACCCUUAAUCACCACUUCCUUGCAACCUUCAGUUAUUGCUUUUUGGUUCCCCACUCCCGCAAACUACACAUCAGGUUAUGUGAAUAUAAAUUAGAGAUGACAUUCAAUUAAAAAAAUGCACUGUAAUGAUAAAAUUACAUUACUUGUUUAGAUGUAGCAGAUGAUGACUCAUUUGGAUUCAAGUUAUACACCCUCGUUGGUGGUGGCUCAUUUGGAAUCUACACAAAUUCAUUUAAAAUUGUAAUCAAGGACAAGCAAGUGAAAACAAUGGUAAAUAUAAUUAUAAUUAGUAAUAUUACCCUUGUACAUGUAGCUGAUGUAGCUCUAGGAAGAACCCAUGAUCCCUUUGUGCCCCCAAUAAGUAAGCCAUAUGAUUUAAGUCAAUCAUUGUUGUAGUCUCAAAGUUGCAAUAAUCAAUAUAACUCACUUUGCCUCUUAUGUAUUCAAUCUCAUCCUUAGAAAAUUGACCUGAUGCAAUUUUAUUGUGAAGCAACUGUUGAGCAUUAAUUGACCUUCAAGACAAUAUUAAACUAUAAUUAGGGAACACAAUAUAAUAUAACAUUAUACAAAUAGAGAGGGCUGUCAACAUAUGAUAACAAAUGUACAGAAAUUAACUAUGUACAUUUGUUAUCAGAUUAGUAUGUGUGUGUUGAGUUACUUUAACAAGUCCACAAUUUGUAUGUAUGUAUGUAUGUUUAAACAAUGUGUUAAUUGCUAAAAACUGCGUUAUUGCUAAAAAUAUUAAAACAAGUUAUUCAUAAGAAGAAAAUAAAUGAUGGAAAAGCUUGGAACCGGUAAAGAACUAAAGAUAGCAGAGAAGAUCAAUAAAAUUUUAUGAUUCUUUCUUUCUCACUCCUUUUAUGUUAUAUAUGAAUAUAAAAAAUUAAUGAAACAUGAACAUGGGAGGGAGACGGACAGAUAUACAUUAGAAGUACCCUAAAAAAACUCAACUUUUGUUCAUUCUGUUUCUUUUGACAAAUUACAGACGGAAAAAGAAAGCGAGAAAUGAAGUAGUAUAUUUUUAGGUGAUUAAUAUUUACUAAAAUGGCCAAUGGGUGUUUUACUGCCAAAAAGUGGAGAAUCUUCCCAUAGUGAACAUCAAAGAAUGUGUUAAAUCUAAUUUAAAAAUGAAAACUAUUAUUUCCACAUGAGACUCUCACAUGGAAGUGAGACCCACUCACUAUUCAUGUGAGAGGGAUCAUGUGGAAAUAUCAGUUCCCUUUAAGAAUUAAGACACAUAUAAAGGUCCUUUUUUGGGAAGUGAUGCUACUAGUACUAAUGAAGAAGGAAAGAGCAUGGAGAAGUGUGGUCGGUGCCAAAAAACACGAGGGAGGGACACGGAAUAAUAUAUUGGUGAAUAAUGAAAGGCCUUGAGCACCAAUUUGAAAUUUGAAAUUUUGGGUAAACUUAUAUACUCCUAUCCCUUUACUCAUCUCCCUUUAAUUUUGAAAUUUUGAAUAAAUUUAUCGUAUCUUAAAUUUUUUAGAGUUCCGUUAUUUUCAUUGCAAUUUCGUUACUUUUCUUACAAUUCCGUCACAUUAUUGCAUAGAAUGCACAUUAAAACAGAUUCAUAAGAAUUUUAUAUAAAAAUGAAAUUUUGCAUGUAACACAUAACAAUAAGUUCUGAAAAACUUGCCUUAAAUGUCCUGUAUAACUUCGCGCUAAUGCGCCCUUCCAACGUCUUGAAUAGCUUAUAGCUUGCUCAAAAGUAAAAAACAUCUCAAGAAUUAUUGAAUAGGGGAUGAAUCGACUCGUGUCAAUUAAAUGGAUUACAGGAAGGCAGGAGUCUAUUAUUAUCUUUCAUGAUGAAUCUCAGAACACUUAUCAAGUAUAGUCUAGCCGAACUCGAAUAACAUAGGUUGUCAAUAUAAAUUCACGAAUCAAAAGAAACUUCAAUAAUAUUUAGAUAAUGAAUUCAUAAGGGAAUUAUAAAUUAAAGAUACAAAUUAAUCAUUUCAAGCUUGAAAAGGAACUUUGAUCCAAGAUUUCUCCUCAAAGAAGAAAGUUAGUAUACUCGCAAUAAGGCUUGUCAUUGAAUAAAGUUUUUCAACCAGAUGUUAAUUAUGGAUGAAAGUUGAAAUACUUAUUUUCUUGGUGCAAAACUAUUGAUUCUAUGCGAUUACGUGAAUCCGAAACGUUAUGUUCUUGAAAAGCACCUAUUUUACACACAUAAGGUCAUUACUAGAUAUAAUACAACCAUUAUAUUUCACAAAUUCCUUUUAAACUUGUGUUUUUUUGUAAUAUUUAAACAACUCACUUUAAUUACUAUAUUUCUUAAAUUUAUUCCUAAUAUUACAUACUAAUUAUAAUUAAUAUAUCAAGUUAUAUGCAUUUAUCAAUUUGCUUCCACAUUACAUGAACUAACUGUCAAGAUGACUACAACAGAAGCAAAACAUUCAACAAGCAGGCUAGGCCAGGUCGUGCUGCAGCAGCUACCCAGCAUUGCCCUGCAACCGAGCCUCAACAGCUCUCCUUUGCUAAUUUCUAUCUUACAACUCACAUCAUUAAAUGCAACCAAACCUUUAACAAGUUAUAAUAGGCAUGGCGUAGUAUUUUUAAAAAUUGUAACUCAGCUGAAAUGGACACUCUAAGACAGGCAAAUCAGGUGCCAAAGCUGCCCAGUUGAUACUGUUCAGCGCAGCGCACGGCUGCUGGUGCUGCUACUGCUCCAAUGCCAAGUUGCUAGUUUUGUUAUUUUAUAAUUCGCAAACCAUAGAUCCAAUCAAAGUCAAUUUCUAAUAUGCUAUAACUGGUAUAGCAAGCUAUUUUUAGAAAAUAUAAAAUAGCUAAAAUGAUCAGUUUAGAUGGAUUUUAGGGAGUUCUGAAACUGCUCUGUAGAAACAGUUUCGAAGCUAUGCACCAAUAUGACUUUUACUUUAAAACAGACUUCCAGCCACACUUGGCUUAUGAAAAACAUUCCAUGUAUACUCUAUAACAUAUAUGAAGUAUACCUUACUCACGACAGUACCUCAAUUGCUUAUAUUGGUCUUAACAGUUCUAUGAAGCAUACAAUCAAACAUGUCAUAGGCACAAGCUUUAUGGACAGACUUCAUAAACCUUUGCACAUGUUUUAAACUACAUUCUCCUCCCUUAUUUCUCCGCACAACAACAACUAAACUCCAUCUAACAUACAACCCAAUUAGCACAGUUAUAAUACUCUAAAUUUUAUAUAAAACAGUUAAUUUUUGCUUCAAAAAUCAAGAUUUUAAACUUACCUUGCUUUAACAGUAUAAUAAGCUGAAAUUGACACUUAUGAUUCAGCUAGAACCCUUUCUUUUUGCUGCCCUGCUAUCCAAAUUAUCCAGCUCAGUUUACAUUUAAACUAUCUUGCUCCAUUCCUUGCUCAAUUUGCUAGUUUAGUCGACAAAGAAGAGAAGUUUUGAUAGAAUUUUGGGGUGCAUAAAUUCGGUUAUCAAGAGGGAGAAGAAAUAGAUUUGAGAUGGAAGGAGAACACUUGUGCUUGGCAAGUUCAGAGGAUUUAGGAUGCAAUGAACAGAACAGAGUUUUUUUUUAUCUCAAUCAUUGCUUAAUGCACUGUUAGUACAUUACUUUCUUGCCAACUCAUGCUUUAUAUUGGCUUAGUGGCUUAGUUAUUCUCCCUAAGAACGACGGCAAAACCUUAAUAAGUAGCAGGAAACCGCGAACAAGGAGCAAAACUUUUAGUCAUACUCUUUAAGUAAAUGCUCUUUAAGAUAAUAAAAUAUUUCUACUCAGAUUGUGUUAUAAGAGGUUAAAUUCCAAUUUAUCCUUCAUGAAGUGUGAGAAUAUCAAUUUUAAUGUCAGAUCAUACCCUCAUGAAGUGGAUAACAUCCAACAAGACUUGAAUCAUGUCUCAGUAUCCUAAUGGCACCCUUGAUAUCGAGUUAACGCAUUACUCUGCAAAGUGCUUCGAGCUCACACGCAACAUAAAACAAGAAUCACGUUAUGGCUAGAGGUCUUUGAUGCUAUUAGUUAAUCAUGUGGUGUUCAUGUUGAUUCAUAUUUAUCUGAUCAUGUCGUAUUUGAUAUGAACCAGCAUUACAUGACACGAUUGACAACCCUACUAACAGCCUCAAUAUUAAUGAUAGGAAAUUAUUAGAAGAAAACGGAGCAUAGACUUCAUACCAACAGCCUGACCCUGAACUUAACUGAGUAAGAUAGUGAUCCAAUAGCAAGACAACAGGAGCACAAGUUUCGAAACAUAGUUGAUUGAAAAUGUUUUCAGGUCAUAAUAUAAGACGACCGUCAAGACUAAGCUACAAGGUGUCCAGGGAAAAGGUGACAAGCAACGUGGAGCUAAUUUUAGUCUCCAGGCAGAAGCUGAAGACUGUUAAUAUCUUGGGCAGACAACGGUCAAAGCGAGCCCUUUCUGAAUUCUUUAAAUUAAUCAAAUCUCCCCAAGUAGACUAACAAAAAUUUGAUGGCUCGACAUUACAAGAGAUAGAAAAAAAUCUUGUUAUAAGAACCUGAUAAAAUAUUUCUUAUUUUAAUCUUCUUCCAUUAUCGCCAAAUUUUUUUUAAACUCACUUUUCUUCCGCUCUAUUUUUAUUUAUUUCUUAUAUAUAUAUAUAUAUAUAUAUAUAUAUGUAUAUAUAUGUAUAUAUAUAUAUAUAUAUAUAUAUGUAUAUGUAUAAACCAGGGUAAGUAAAAAAUGUAUCAAAAUUGCUCAUGAUAUGAUCCUGUUCAGUGUGAUUUGGUCUCUCAAUAAACAUCUAUUUCUUCAAUUGUGUUUGUUUCACAUACGCAAGUUUCUGUAGGAAGUCUAUAACUGUAUCCCAGGAAUGUCAAGCUGGAUAGUUUAAUGAAUUAUUCUGGUUUGUCAAAAAGAAAAAAGAAACAAAUAAGAUAAUGGAGCAUGUAAAAGGCUGUUUUAAAUACUCGCCAUCCUUAAAGAAAGGUUCAAUAACCAAUUUCUCGAUAUACCCGUGCCACAAAAUCUGGCAAUCCAUGCCCAACCUUCUUCAAUUCCAUGCAGGUUACGAAAACCCUCAACUUCAGUCUGAAAAAAGACAAUAAUUUUCCUGUCACUUGUGAUCCUUCAAACUAGAAAAGAGCAUGGAAUAACUUUUUUUUUUCCUUUUUUUUUGACAGGUAGAAUGUACAAUAACUUAAUCUUAUAAAACUAAAUAUUUGUUUUCCAUGGCUGCUAAAAUCCUGCACAACACACAAAUCGUCAGUUACUGAUCAUGAUAUAAUCCCUCGUGUUAAAAUACAUAUUUACGUAGGUAGUUUACAUGACAAAAUGAAGAUCAAAUGAAAAUAACCACUACCACUACUAGCUAAAGAAUAAGUUUAGAACAUCCAAAAAGAAUCACAUAACCUACUAUACAUAGUUUAAACUAAAAAUCUUAAAAUUUUUAUUAAAAAAAUAGAAGAAAUAAUCUCCAAAAUCUGAGAUUAGUUUAU
rnacentral:lncRNA from 1 species